rnacentral:lncRNA from 1 species
UUGAAGACAUGAUGAACAUUUUUUAAAAGCCUCACUUAUCUAGAAAAAAUGUUCAUAAAUCAACUUGUUCAUCCUAAGAGAAAAAACUACGACCAGCGGUAUGAAUGCAUUGCACACGCCUGAAUUUCUCUUCAGUUUCAGUUCACGGAUCUGAAAAUUGACUUGAAGUAAUGGCAAAAUCACAGUGUCCUUAUCAUGUCCAUUGCCUCGAACAGCUGCAGUUGUUCGGUUGACAAAUCGACUUGUUUAAAUUAGUUGAUUCAUAAUAACUUGUUAUACAAAAUACACACUGAAAUUACAAAAUCUUGAUAAAGCAAGCAACACACAAACCACCCCCUCAUACUCGCCUGAUACACUCGUAGUACAUGACUGUUAUUCUGAACCCUCAAUUCUGUAAUGCACAUAGUAAAACGGAGCAGCGAAUGGCGGAGCACCAAACAAUUCCCACGCAUGCAACGCAUCAUAAAUAGCAACGACGUCGAUCACUCACUGACCAUGAACCGGCCGGUGAUAGAUUUCAGUGCCGGGCUGGACGUACGGUGGCUGAUCUGAGACUCUGAGUCAGUGGUGUCCGUGGUAUCCACCGUCGCCGCCGCCGGCGUAGGCGGGCGUGGGAGGGACAGGGUGGUAGUCCGGGUGGGGCUGCGGCUUGGGCUCCGGCUUGGGCACGGGGCCGUAGUCCGGGUGGGGCUGGGGCUUGGGCUCCGGCUUGGGCGGCACGGGCUUCUUAUGGUGGAAGUGCUCAAUGAUGUGCUUCUUGAUCGGCCCGCACAGGGUCAUGGACGCGCACUCGGGCGACGCCGCGGACGACGUGGCGGUGUUCUCGCCGGCGACGACGCCGUAGGUUGUGCCGUCAGACACCGGCACGAUCUUGGACGGCUCCUGGCCGGGGCACGGCGCGUUGGAGGCGGCGCUGUGGAGCUGAGCGACGCAGUCGGCGCCAUGAAGGUCAGAAGCGAGGGGCACGCUGAAGGCGCCGGUGCCGUCGAGGGCGCCCACGGCCUUGCUCUCGUACUCGCCGGCGCUGUUCUUGCACUUGAUCGCCACCUGCAGAGCCUUGAAGGCUUCCUCGGCCUUCAUGUUCUUCCUGGUGCAGUCGGCGCAUUUGGCCAGGCCGACGACCACGGACGCCGCCUCCGCAUUGGCGACGGCGAUGGCCAGCAGGACGCAGAGGGCGAGUGCUCUCGGAGCCGCCAUGCUUGAACCUCUGGAUCGAACUACUGCCACUUGCUGGUGUGAAGUGGCUGCUCGAUCGAUGGAUGGACGAGUGGAUGGAACAGGCGACGCAUGGCUUUUAUAGGCCUCUGUAUUGAUCGACACAGCUCGAAUGCUCAACUGGCCGAUCUGUCUGCAAGCGCAGAAGAAGAAGGGUGGCCGGCGGGCGCAGUGAAGCGAGACAACGAGAGAUGAGCUAAUUCGCUUUCGGCGCGCCGAAGUUCCCGAUGGCGAAUUAAUACCGAUCGUCGUUUAGAUCCACGUCAUUGUUCAGCUGGUGAUUUAUUUAAAAUAUACAAACAGGUCACGAAUAUAAAAAUACAUUAAUAUUGCAAAGAUAGCAGUUGCAUCCAGCCUCUGCAACAACGUCAUGACGUAAAGACAUUACGGAUGCAUACAACCUAAAGAUAAAAAGAAGAAGAAGGAAAAAAGAAAGAUCCUGCUAAAGUGAUUAAUUCUUUGUAGCUGCAGCACUGAUCAUCACCUAGACAACAUCUGAAGUCCAAAUUCUUCAAAAGCGACGCCUCCAAGAAGAAAAUACUGCACAAACACCGUCAUCGCUCGAUCCUAGAUUUUAGGUUUUCACCCUGGAGAAGAUCUGCGCUGUCAAAACAAUGCCUUCAACAAAGUUAUUGGAAGGCACAACCAAUUAAGUUCAGGCCUUGGAUUUUCACCAGCAGAAUGCCAUCUUAGAGAAAAGAAGAAUGAAGGACCGCACCACCGUUCGGUUCCCUACAGUAGGCCGGAGAUCUCGAUGGGCACCGCCGCCACUACCCGCACCAUGUGAAGAUGAGUAGCUGUGCCGCGCCGAGCCCCCGAACCAGUCACCGUGCCGACCUCGCGGUCACAGCAACAGCCAAGGUUGCUGAUGAAAUUCGGCCAUUGUUGGGAACCUCGACCACCUGCUCAUGCCGUUGCUGUAUCCGUCACGAAUGUAUCCUAGCUAGCAAACAUCUUUGUCGUGGAUGCUUCAAUCGCAUCCAAGAUUCUUUUUUCCACAUAUCUCAAUAUAUAUAAGCUCUCACGAACAGGAAUACAACUAUCAUCUGAACUGCAGAACAAAAUACGUACGGUUGCAACCGCAUUAUUAUAUUCAAGGUUUGAGAGGUUUUUAUGUUAUUAUGCCACCUAGCUCUGGUGCUCAAAUCCUUCUAGCUCUGAUUUGGUUGUAAGGGCAUCACCAACGCGAAUCCCGCCUGCAUAAGUCCGGACCAUAUUGUGGCAGCCAACGCUGUUCUGUAUCUAUUCGCUCCACGGUUCAGACGCACUUUUUCUCGUUAACUGGAGACAAAGUGUGGUGGCUUUGAGGGUGUCCGAAUCGCUGUCACGUCCGCUUCUGACCGCCAUGGCCCACCCAAAUCCCUCCCCUUGCGCACGCGUGCGCUUCUCGCCCGAAAUAGUCAGCGCUGCUCCAGAGCGUCAGUACCGCAUUCAUGCCCGGUUAGAGCGGACACAACCUCUCACUAGCGCCGUCAUUGAAGCGACACCGGCUGAGAGAGCGCCGCUGAUACGUCUCCGUCGUAUCUACUUUUCCAAACACUUUUGCCCUUGUUUUGGACUCUAACUUGCAUAAUUUGAAUGGAACUAACCCGGACUGACGCUGUUUUCAGCAGACUUUCCAUGGUGUUUUUUAUGUGCAGAAACAAAAGUUCUCGGAAUGACCUGAAACUCCACGGAACAUCUAUUUGGAAAAUAAGAAAAAUACUGGAAGAAAAAUCCACGUCAGGGGCCCCACACCCUGUCCACGAGGGUGGAGGGCGCGCCCCCUGCCUCGUGGGCCCCCUGACGCUCCACCGACCUCAACUCCAACUCCAUAUAUUCACUUUCGGGGAGAGAAAAAUCAGAGAGAAGGAUUCAUCGCGUUUUACGAUACGGAGCCGCCGCCAAGCCCUAAAACCUCUCGGGAGGGCUGAUCUGGAGGCCGUUCGGGGCUCCGGAGAGGGGGAUUCGUCGCCGUCGUCAUCAUCAACCAUCCCCCAUCACCAAUUUCAUGAUGCUCACCGCCAUGUGUGAGUAAUUCCAUCGUAGGCUUGCUGGACGGUGAUGGGUUGGAUGAGAUCUAUCAUGUAAUCGAGUUAGUUUUGUUAGGGUUUGAUCCCUAGUAUCCACUAUGUUCUGAGAUUGAUGUUGCUAUGACUUUGCUAUGCUUAAUGCUUGUCACUAGGGCCCGAGUGCCAUGAUUUCAGAUCUGAACCUAUUAUGUUUUCAUGAAUAUAUGUGAGUUCUUUAUCCUAUCUUGCAAGUCUAUAGUCACCUACUAUGUGUUAUGAUCCGGCAACCCCGAAGUGACAAUAAUCGGGACCACUCCCGGUGAUGACCGUAGUUUGAGGAGUUCAUGUAUUCACUAUGUGCUAAUGCUUUGUUCCGGUACUCUAUUAAAAGGAGGCCUUAAUAUCCCUUAGUUUCCAUUAGGACCCCGCUGCCACGGGAGGGUAGGACAAAAGAUGUCAUGCAAGUUCUUUUCCAUAAGCACGUAUGACUAUAUUCGGAAUACAUGCCUACAUACAUUGAUGAAUUGGAGUUAGUUCUGUGUCACCCUAUGUUAUGAUUGUUACAUGAUGAACCGCAUCCGGCAUAAUUCUCCAUCACCGAUCCAAUGCCUACGAGCUUUUCACGUACUGUUCUUUGCUUAUUUACUUUGCUACUAAAUACUUUGCUGCAGAUAUUAAGUUAUCCAGGUGUGGCUGAAUUGACAACUCAGUUGCUAAUACUUGAGAAUAUUCUUUGGCUCCCCUUGUGUCGAAUCAAUAAAUUUGGGAUGAAUACUCUACCCUCGAAAACUAUUGCGAUCCCCUAUACUUGUGGGUUAUCAAGACUAUUUUCUGGCGCCGUUGCUGGGGAGCAUAGCUCUAUUCUUUGAGUCACUUGGGAUUUAUAUCUGCUGGUCACUAUGAAGAAUUUGAAAGACGCUAAGACAACAAUUUAUCCCUCAACUACGAGGGGAGGUAAGGAACUGCCAUCUAGCUCUGCACUUGAUUCACCUUCUGUUUUGAGUAAGCUUGCGACACCUAAACCUGCUUCUGCUAUUCGUUCUGAUAUGUCACAUGUUAUUGAUGAUGCCACUUCUGCUAUGCAUGAUACUUAUGAUGAAACUACUUCUAUGCUUGAUACUACUGUGCCACUUGGUGAAUUUCUGGAUGAACAACUUGCUAGGGCUAGAGAGACUGAAAUUAUUGAUAAUAUUUAUGAAAGUGAUGAUGAAGACUCUUCCCCUAAUAAGUAUGAAUUACCUGUUGUGCCUGAGGGCUAUGUUAUGGAUGAAGCAAUUGCUAACGAAAUUUUUGCCUGCAAAGAUAGAUAUGAUGUUAAGAAAUUAUUAGCUAAAUGGAAGCAGCAAUCUCUUAAUGCUAGAAUGAAACCUGACCCUGAUUUUGCUACUUCACCUAUCUGUGUUACUGAUAAGGAUUAUGAAUUCUCUGUUGAUCCUGAUAUAGUUACUUUGGUUGAAUCUGAUCCUUUUUAUGGCUAUGAAUCUGAAACUGUUGUGGCACAUCUUGCUAAAUUAAAUGAUAUAGCCACCCUGUUCACUAAUGAUGAGAGAACCCGCUACCUUUAUAUCCUUAAAAUAUUUCCGUUCUCAUUAAAGGGUGAUGCUAAGAUAUGGUUUAAUUCUCUUGAUCCUGGUUGUGUGCGUAGUCCCCAGGAUAUGAUUUAUUACUUCUCUGCUAAAUAUUUCCCUGCUCAUAAGAAACAAGCUGCUUUAAGGAAAAUAUAUAAUUUUGUGCAAAUUGAAGAAGAGAGUCUCCCACAAGCUUGGGGGAGGCUUCUCCAAUUACUUAAUGCUUUGCCUAAUCAUCCUCUUAAGAAAAAUGAAAUACUUGAUAUCUUUUAUAAUGGAUUAACCGAUGCUUCCAGAGAUUACCUGGAUAGUUGUGCUGGUUCUGUUUUCAGGGAAAGAACACCAGAUGAAGCUGAAAUUCUAUUGAAUAAUAUGUUGACAAAUGAAAAUAAUUGGACACUUCCUGAGCCAGUUUCUGAGCCUAUUCCUAAACCAACUCCGAAGAAGAGAGGUGUUCUAUUUCUCAGUCCUGAAGAUAUGCAAGAGGCAAAGAAAUCUAUGAAAGAAAAGGGUAUUAAAGCUGAAGAUGUUAAGAAUUUACCUCCUAUUGAAAAAAAUACAUGGUCUUAAUUUACCGCCUGUUGAAGAAACAUAUGAUCCUAAUCCAUUACCUAUUGAAGAAGCUCAUGGUCUUGAUAACCCGACACGGGUAGUAAAGGUGAAUUCUCUCUAUAGAUAUGAUAAAGCUGAAAUCCCUCCUACUAAGUUUGCUAGCCAAUAUUUGGAUGAGUUUGAUAACUUUAUGGUUAGGCAAGAAGAUUUUAAUGCUUAUUUUGGUAGACAAUUAAAAAAAAAAUGCUUAUAUGAUUGAACACUUGGGUGAUCAUAUGUCUAGAGUUAAAGGUGAACUUAAACUCAUUAGUAAACAUGCUUCUAUGGUUACCACUCAAGUAGAACAAGUACUUAAAGCUCAAAAUGAUUUGCUCAAUGAAUUGAAUAGUAAGAAUAAUGAUUAUGCUGUUAGAGUGGCUACUAGAACUGGUAAAAUGACUCAGGAACCUUUGUAUCCUGAAGGCCACCUUAAGAGAAUUGAGCAAGAUUCUCAGAGAAAUAAUAUUGAUGCACCUAGCCCUUCUAAAAGGAAGAAAAAGAAAAAUGAUAGGACUUUGCAUGCUUCUAGUAAACCUAUUCCUGAACCACCUGAGAAUCCAAAUGAUAUUUCUAUUUCUGAUGCUGAAACACAAUCUGGUAAUGAACAUGAAACUAGUGAUAAUGUUAAUAAUGAUGUUCAUGUUGAUGCUCAACCUAGCAAUGACAAUGAUAUAGAAAUUGAACCUGCUGUUGAUCUUGAUAACCCACAAUCAAGGAAUCAACGUUAUGAUAAGAGAGAUUUUGUUGCUAGGAAGCACGGUAAAGAAAGAGAACCAUGGGUUCAGAAACCCAUGCCUUUUCCUCCCAAACCAUCCAAGAAAAAGGAUGAAGAGGAUUUUGAGCGCUUUGCUAAAAUGAUUAGACCUAUCUUUCUACGUAUGCGAUUAACUGAUAUGCUCAAAAUGAAUCCUUACGCUAAGUAUAUGAAAGAAAUUGUCACUAAUAAAAGAAAGAUACCGGAAGCUGAAAUUUCCACCAUGCUUGCUAAUUAUACUUUUAAGGGUGGAAUACCUAAGAAACUUGGAGAUUCAGGAGUUCCUACUAUAUCAUGCUCCAUUAAAAGAAACUAUGUUAAAACUGCUUUAUGUGAUCUUGGAGCCGGUGUUAGUGUCAUGCCUCUCUCUUUAUAUCGUAGACUUGACUUGAAUAAGUUGACACCUACUGAAAUAUCUUUGCAAAUGGCUAAUUGUGACACCCAAGUUUUUAUUUGGAUUUUUCAAAAGAUUUUUAUUUGACUUGAGGGGAGUGAUUUAAUUUUUUUUUCUUCAAGAGAACUCCCCCUCUCAUAUAUUUUUCUUUAUGGCAGAAGUUUUAUUUGGAUUCAACCAAGAUCUGUUUUUGGUCUUGGAGGCUCUUGCCUUUCAUUUGGACUCAAGGCAAAAUGUUUAAUGUCUUUCAUUUGGGAAAAUAACUUUUGAAAAUCUUUUUGGGAAAUGCACUAUGGCUUUUGGAAAACUCCUUUGCCACUUUCCACAAUUCCUUCUUGCCAUAGCCUUAGUGCAAAUGCUCUCUCCUAACUCCUCCCUCACCUUUGGAUCAGGUUUUGCAUCUAAUCCAGCAAGUUGAACCUCCCCAUGUGAUCAUUUCCAUUUAAAUUCUAUUCAAAUAAUUUUCUGCCUCCUUUUCUAGCACUUGGGGAUUUACAAAGGAACUCCACUUUCUGUCUUGAUUUUUGCCACCAAACCUUUUUCCCUCCUAGUCCUUUGAACCCUCAACCUAGAACCAUGAAGAUCCACUGGUCUCCAGUUUAAAAUUUUCAAACUACACCUGCUGCAAGUUUGGACCAGAUUUGCCAAAUUUGGCAAAAUUCAUUCAAAACUCUCCCCAAAAAUUCCAAGUAAAAUCAUGCAGCCUCUGGGUGCAUUGAGUGGUCAUCUCACCAAGUUACAGCUCCAGAAAAAUUCAUCUCAUUGCAAAAUCCUUCUGUCGAACACCUGCAGUGCACUGUCUAUGUCAAGUUCAGAAAGUUCAGACAACACUGCAGUGGCUGCUGUCGUUUUCUUCAGAGGAGGACGUCGAUCUCGCCAGUGCCACCGCGUCGCCUUGCUCCUCGUCCCCGCCCUCUUGUUCCUGCACCGCACGAACGCCUGGCACCUUGCGGGCGUCGGCGACGAGCAGCAGAAGGUGCGCCGCCCUGUGACCGACGCCGGCGGCGGCUUUGCGGACGCCAGCGGGAGACACGGCACCGACGACGCCACCCAGCGCCGCCCAAACCACCGGAGCCCGCCGAGUGGCCUUCCACUCCCCCAAAUGCGCUGCCGCUCUCGUCGUGAACCGCAGGGCGUGGAGCGCGCUCUCUGCCGCCGUUGAGCCCGUGCGGUCACCUCACCGUGGACCGACGCCAUUACGCCGAGACCAGCCCCGUUUAGCUGUGGAACGACUCCAGUAACCUCCACUGAUGCUGCCUGGCCGCUCAAACCACCUGCCAAUCCACUGCUCCGCCGUAAUCGCUCGCCGGAGAUUCUCCGUUCACGGCCACCCCGUCGAUCUGCCUAUAAAUAGAGGCCCCGAGCUUCAACUCGAGCACCCACCAUCCCUGCACUUCCCCUAGAGCACGCCUAGCCACUGGAAGAACCCCGAGGAGGUCUCCUUCCUCGACUCCGGCCGCCGCGACCCGCCACGGGAUCCAGCCCGAUUCGCCCCCGUGUGUGCUCCUCCGCCUCCAUUCUCUUGCCAGUAGCUUCACCUGGCACCCCUCAUUCUGACCCGCGCCUCAAUUCGUAAUUUGCAGCCCUACACCGGAGUUCCCCAUCCUCACCCGAGCCGCCGUCCGCCGGAGAUAGUGUCGCCGUCGACGUGGUGCUCCCCGUUGGACGAGUCCACCACCCACCGACGCGGAAGAAGACGCUGAAGCUCUUGGUACCCUCCGUUUCUCCUAACUCGCCGUGGUUCGACGCCGGCGUCCACCGCAGUCUUCGGGCGCCGGCGAGCUUUUUAAACCUGACAGGUGGACCCCGCCUGUCAGCCUCUAUUCUUUUCUCCUCCGAACCGUUUUCUGUUGACGCCUUCGGGCAAAUACGCUUUCUCCCUUGCGCUUGCGCAUUCCCAGCCGAAGCGUUUUUUGUUUUCUCAGUUAAAACCCUGGAACUUUUCUGUUUCAUUACAAAAAGAUCCCUAGACAGAAACCUUUAUAACUUUUUAAUAAAAAGGUAUUUUUGGGUGAUUCUUUUUCUGACAAUCUUCAAAUUUUGUCUAGUUUUUUAUGGGAUUUAUCUGAAAAAUAUUUGGCAAAGUUUCUGUGCAUGUGUUGGUUUUCACGUUAGUAUCCGUUUGGUGAUUGCCGUAGGUUCCGGGAGAGGUGACGGAGCCGCGAACUUCGCCGAGCUAGACUUCGACUUCUCCGAACCAGGAAAGCAUGUUUUGAAAAUUUGAGAUGACAGGUGUUUUGCAUGUUUGCGUGAAAGUUGGUGCGUGGCAUAUGAGUGUCGGUAAAUACCUCGUUGCUUGUAAGGCAACUACCCGGUUGUUCCAAAGUCGUGAUGAUCUCUGAUGAGAGAUGGCCUAAUCAUGUGGUGACAUGAAGGGCAGCAAGGGGGUACUGUUGUAGCAUGCCAGCCUUGCGUCAUCCGACUUUCUCCGACGUUAACGUGGUUGGAGCCACGUUAUCGUUCUUCCUUUUUUUUUGCAUGUUCCAAAGUUGCGAUGAUCUCUGAUGAGAGAUGGCCAAAUCAUGUGGUGACAUGAAGGGCAGCAAGGUGGUACUGUUGUAGCAUGCCAGCCUUGCGUCAUCCGACUUUCUCCGACGUUAAUGUGGUUGGAGCCGCGUUACCGUUCCUUCCCCCUUCCGUGCUACCACAUGUCUCAUUGCCAGGGAUGCGGUUUAGUAAGUUGGUAACCUCUUUCCGUGUACACACCAAACAAAGAGGCCGGGAUGAUGGUACCUUGGCCCAGGAUUAAUGCCAGUCAUCCGGUCAGGGGGCAUGGGUGUUUCCGGUUGGGACCGAGAGGGGGGGCACCCCCUUAAAGCGCGCGUAUAGAAAUUUGAUCCCAUGCUACGCGAGGUUGUAGCCUCCCCGUCUCAAGGUUUUUCUUGAACGAUGCUUAGGGUGAUCCCUGGCUUCGGAUGGUUGAAUUGGGUGUGUACUGGUUAGACGUGUUUCUUCCAAAACACCGUAGACGGAACUAGUCCCCGUGACUACUGAAAUCCAUUGGCUGUGGUUAAGUACAAACUCUGCAGAGUCAAUUCUUUCCAAAUCAUCGUAUCCCUGAUCAAGUAAUUGAAAACAUUAUAUCCAUAUCUAUCCGCGUGGAAAACUUGUUCCCGGCGAGCAAGCUCAGGUGGUAAUCCAGUUUUAUUGUUAUUCCUGUGGAUGGACUAACCCUAUAUUUGUUUCAUGCUCGUGAUAAAUUAUGUUCCCUAACUGUUGUAUUAUUGAGCUGUGAUAUAAGCCCUUUAUGUGACGUCGCGCAGACGUCCGACUGUGGCGUGUUUUUGUUUCUUACAUUAAAUAUAAGCCCUUUAUGUGACGUCGUUCAGACGUCCGACUGUGGCAUGCACCGUCCUUAUUUUCUAUUAUAAGCCCUUUAUGUGGUGUCGCCUCGACGCCCGACUGUGGCAUUAUUAUUUCGCAUUUUCCGCUCGAGGAGUCUUUCAGACACUCGUUUGGCACCAGUAUUAUUAUUCCGCAUUUUCCGCUCGAGGAGUCUUUCAGACACUCGUUUGGCACCAGUAUUAUUAUUCCGCAUUUUCCGCUCGAGGAGUCUUUCAGACACUCGCUUGGCACCAGUAUUACUAUUCUGCAGUUUCCGCUCGAGGCGUCAUUCAGACCCUCGCUUGGCACCCAGCAUUUAUUACCUCUAUGCCUGAAUCGUACUGGUUAACUUAUUCAUGUACUUCAUGUUCGCAUUUGUUAUAUCUUAUGUCCGAACUGUCUUGCGAGUACUUUCAUAGUACUCACCUGGCUUGUUGAUUUGGCCAGAUGUUGAUGAAGGCGAUCUCUUGGAUGAAGAGUUUGAUAGCGCGUCCGAUGCCUAGAGGAGUCCCAGUCAGUCCUGCGCGAUCCCGGUUUUUGGUCACUUGUUUUGUAUACGCUUCCGCCACCCGCAAUAAGUCUUCUCGAGCCUCACUCCGACGCUCGAAGAGCUGUAGUCUUCUGGAAUCAUAUCAGUCGCUUCGCGGUGAUAUCUCCACCACCGUUAUUAUCGUGAGUUAGUAGUUUGCCACCCUAUCCGCCGUAUUGUUUAUCGGCGGGCAUGUAAUAAAUUGUUGGGCAGUCUCUGCUCAACCUUGUAUUAUAUUUAGUACUCCUGGUAUUUUUCUUCUGUGACCAAGAUAAUGUCUACCAGUGAGAAGGAAUUCUUCCUCGCUGGUCCGUAAAAGGGAUUGGUCUCUCAAUAAUUAUUUUAUUGAAAAACCGGUCGUGACACUAAUAAAUCAACUGCUAUACCUGUCGGUAUUUGUGAGGAUGUGCCUGUUGUGGUUGCAAACGUUACUAUUUUAACGGACUUUGUUAUUCUUGAUAUUCCCGAGGACGAUAGUAUGUCUAUUAUUCUUGGAAGACCUUUUUUGAAUACUGCAGGGGCUGUUAUUGAUUGCAACAAAUGCAAUGUCACUUUUCAUGUUAAUGGUAAUGAGCAUACGGUACACUUUCCGAGGAAACAACCUCAAGUUCAUAGUAUCAAUUCUAUUGGAAAAAUUCCAUCAAUUAUUUUUGGAGGUUUCGAAUUUCCUCUUCCGACUGUCAAGAAGAAAUAUGAUAUCCUUAUUAUUGGGGAUGUGCAUAUCCCCGUUGAGGUAACAUAGUGUCAUUCGAAAUUUCUCCGGUUCCAUGUUAUUCGGAAUGAGUUUGUUAACAAGACUUGAUCAACCUUGUUAGUGGAUUCCUUUCGAUGAGCAUGAGAUGGAUGAAACUAGAAGGCACAACCUUCUGUACCCUCCUUUUAUUUUCUGUUAUUUAGUUGAAAUAAAGUAAAAAUAGUAUUUUCUGUCUGUUUUCUGAUUUAUCCGUAAAAUAUAAAAAUACCCCGAAAAUAAAAGUUCUCCAAAUGCCCUGAAAAUGGAAUAUGAUUUUUCUGGAAUAUUUGAGAAUAUCUGGCACUGAGAACACAGCAGGAGGGGCAAGAACCUGGCCACGAGGGUGGAAGGCGCGCCCUACCCCCCUGGGCGCGCCCCCUGCCUCAUGGGCCCACGGUGGCUCCCCUCCACUUAUUCCUGCACCCGCACACUUCUUCUUCCUCCCAAAAAAAUCACUAUCCAGCUCAAGCACGAGUUCUAGCUCACUUUCCUGUGAUUUUUGAUCUCCUUGCUCAAAGCACCUCUCACAAAACUGCUUGGGGAGAUUGUUCCUUGGUAUGUGACUCCUCCAUUGGUCCAAUUAGUUUUUGUUCUGGUGCUUUAUUCAUUGCAAAUUUGUGCUGCCUAGGUGACCAUGUUCUUGAGCUUGCAUGUCAAAUUUAUAUGGUUCCAAGUAGUUCUAAUGCUUGAUAUAGGCUCUAGGCACUUGAAGGAGUAGUUGCUAUCAAUCUUGUUGAGCUUGGUUCACUUUUAUUGAAAGUUACUAAAAAUUUCAGAAUUUUUCAGAAAAUAAUGAAGAGAUUUUUGAGGGGCUCAUCGAGCCGAAGCUCGAAGGAAAAGCAAAGUGAAGAAGCACAGAGGCCCAAAUAUAAUUUGCCUCGCAUCGCGGAGAUCCAGCCGUGUGAAUGGCCUUCCAAUGAUUUCUUGAGAGAAGCCGGGAUUUAUGAUGAUUUUUAUGAAUUGGCUGAGAAUGCAGGCCUCACCGACUUCCUCCGCGACCAACGCAAUCAGUAUCUCUUACUCACCAAUACUUUUGUGCAAAACUUCUACUAUUUUCCUAAGGAAUCACCUCCUUCAGUAGAGUUUCAUUUAUAUGAUGCGGUUAAGAAGAUGCCACUAGAUGAAUUUUGCAAUAUUUGCAAAAUACCUUUUGAGGGUAGUUUAGAUGAACCACAUCGUAAAGAUGUGGAUGGGUUUAUUGACACUAUCACUGUGGGGGAAACCAGGAAGGUUUUCGAUGCAAGAAUCACUAGCAUACAUUUUCCUGUUUUACGCUACUUUGCCAUAUUUGCUAGUCGUUGCUUAAUUAGUCGCGGAAACUGUGGAAACCUUAGUGUUCCUGAUAUUAUUAUUCUGUUCCAUGGUUUAUUCUGCGAUAACACUGUUAGUAUGGGCGGUAUUAUUGCCAAACGGUUAAGUCUGAACCAUACAAAGGGCCCCAUCUUUGGAGGUAUUUAUGCUUCACGCCUUGCUGCACACUAUAACAUACCUAUUAGACACUAUGAAAAAGAAGAAAAAUUGCUGCCCACUGCUUAUUUAGAUUAUAAGAGUAUGGUAGCGCAUGACUUUAUUGUUAAGAAUAGGGAAGGAGCGCUUAAAUACAAAUUGUUCUUUGAUAAACAUCACCCUGAGACUAUUACCUUGCCUGCUCCCUCCUUGUUUAAUUUAUCUGAAGGUCCGUAUCUCGUUCCGUUGGCGGCCAUUCACGCCUACCGGAACCGUACACCAGCCACGGAGCCGGAACCACAAUCUGAACCUCCACGACAGUCUAACAAUUAUUGGGAUCCGGAGAUGAUUUCUAACCAGUGGCAAUCAGAGUCUUCUUCAUCUCAGUACGACCCCGGCUACAACUAUGGAUAUCCGCCAGGCCAUCCGUGGCAAUGAACCAACUUAGGCCAAAAGCCUAAGCUUGGGGGAGUACGUAUUUCUCACCGACAUUACAUUUAUGUUCACACACUCAUUGCUAGAUGUCGGUGCUCAUAAUCUUUCACUGUAAUAUUCAUGCUAGUUUAUUUUCUUUUUCUUGCUUCCUUCUUGUGUGUUUUUUAAACCUUAAGAAAAACAAAACAAAAAUUAGUUAUAGCUUUAAGCUAGUUUACUUUCUUGCUGUAGUAGUAAUAAUUAAAAAGAAAACCCAAAAAAGAUUUCCUUUUCUUCUUUUGCUUGUUGGGAGCUUUCCCGUGUAAAUAGUUUUUUUUCUUUUCUUUUCUUUGGGGGUCGAUAGGAGAAGACCAUAAUUAAAUUGUUGAAGUGGCUCUUAUAUGCAUUAUUGUUGAUUUAACCAAGAGCCCAUAUUGCCUUGUCUUCUCCUGUUUAUUGAAUGCUCGCAGAUUCCAGCUUAGUCCAAUGCACGUGCACUCUUAUUAUUCACGUCAUUCGGUCGUGCAAGUGAAAUGCAAUUAUGAUGAUAUAUGAUGGACUGGCUGAGAUGAGAGAAGCUGGUAUGAACUCGACCUCUCUUGUUUUUGUAAAUAUGAUUAGUUCAUCGUUCCUGAUUCAGCCUAUUAUGAAUAAACAUGUUUGCAAUGACAAUUAGAGAUCAUAGUUGCUUAUGCCAUGCUUGAUUAGCUAUGAGUUAUAAUGGUUUACCUUGCGUGCCAACAUGCUAUUAAAAUGGUUGUGAUGUGGUAUAGUGGGGUGGUAUCCUCCUUUGAAUGAUUUGAGUGACUCGACUUGGCACAUGUUCACACAUGUAGUUGAAACAAAUCAACAUAGUCUUCACGAUAUUUAUGUUCAUGGUGGAUUAUAUCCUACUCAUGCUCGUACUCAAUGUUUAUUAAUUUUAAUGCAUGUUCAUGACUGUUGUCGCUCUGUAGUUGGUCGCUUCCCAAUCUUUUGCUAGCCUUCACUUGUACUAAGCGGGAAUACUGCUUGUGCAUCCAAUCCCUUAAACCCCAAAGUUAUUCCAUAUGAGUCCACUAUACCUUCCUAUAUGCGGUAUUUACCUGCCGUUCCAAGUAAAUUUGUAUGCGCCAAACUCUAAACCUUCAAAUGAAAUUCUGUUUUGUAUGCUCGAAUAGCUCAUGUAUCAACUAGGGCUGUCCGUAUCUUCCAUGCUAGGCGGGUUAUUCUCAAGAGGAGUGGACUCCGCUCCUCACUCACGAGAAAAUGGCUGGUCACCGGGAUGCCCAGUCCCAUGCUUUAUGCAAACUAAAUCAAAAUAAUUGCAAACAAAACUCCCCCUGGGACUGUUGCUAGUUGGAGGCACUCGUUGUUUCGAGCAAGCCAUGGAUUGAUGCUUGUUGGUGAAGGGGGAGUAUAAACUUUACCAUUCUGUUUGGGAACCGCCUAUAAUGUGUGUAGCAUGGAAGAUAUCGCCAUCUCUUGGUUGUUAUGUUGACAAUGAAAGUAUGCCGCUCAAAAUAUUAUUUAUCUCUGCUUUAAAAUCGAGCUCUGGCACCUCUACAAAUCCCUGCUUCCCUCUGCGAAGGGCCUAUCUAUUUACUUUCAUGUUGAGUCAUCACCCACUUAUUAAAAAGCACCAGCUGGAGAGCACCGCUGUCAUUUGCAUUCAUUAUUAUUAAUUUAUAUUGGGUAUGACUAUGACUGGAUCUCUUUUACCAUGAAUUACAAUGUCUAGUCAGUACUUGAUCUUUAAAGGUGCUCUGCAUUUAUGUUUUGAGGUCUCAGAAAGGGCUAGCGAGACACCAUCUUGUUAUAUCAUAUCAUGUUUGUUUUGAGAAAGUGUUGUCAUCCGAGAUUUAUUAUUAUCGCUCGCUAGUUGAUUAUGCCAUUGACAUGAGUAAACAUGAGACCUAAAAGUUAUUGUGAAUGUGGUUAGUCAUAAUCUUUGCUGAAAACUUGAAUGCUGGCUUUACAUAUUUACAACAACAAGAGCAAACAGAGUUUGUAAUUUUUUUUCUUUAUCACUUUCAGUUAAUUAACUGAAUUGCUUGAGGACAAGCAAAGGUUUAAGCUUGGGGGAGUUGAUACGUCUCCGUCGUAUCUAAUUUUCCAAACACUUUUGCCCUUGUUUUGGACUCUAACUUGCAUGAUUUGAAUGGAACUAACCCGGACUGACGCUGUUUUCAGCAGACUUUCCAUGGUGUUAUUUAUGUGCAGAAACAAAAGUUCUCGGAAUGACCUGAAACUCCACGGAACAUCUAUUUAGAAAAUAAGAAAAAUACUGGAAGAAAAAUCCACGUCAGGGGGCCCACACCCUGUCCACGAGGGUGGAGGGCGCGCCCCCCUGCCUCGUGGGCCCCCUGACGCUCCACUGACCUCAACUCCAACUCCAUAUAUUCACUUUCGGGGAGAAAAAAAAUCAGAGAGAAGGAUUCAUCGCGUUUUACGAUACGGAGCCGCCGCCAAGCCCUAAAACCUCUCGGGAGGGCUGAUCUAGAGUCCAUUCGGGGCUCCGGAGAGGGGGAUUCGUCGCCGUCGUCAUCAUCAACCAUCCUCCAUCACCAAUUUCAUGAUGCUCACCGCCGUGCGUGAGUAAUUCCAUCGUAGGCUUGCUGGACGGUGAUGGGUUGGAUGAGAUCUAUCAUGUAAUCGAGUUAGUUUUGUUAGGGUUUGAUCCCUAGUAUCCACUAUGUUCUGAGAUUGAUGUUGCUAUGACUUUGCUAUGCUUAAUGCUUGUCACUAGGGCCCGAGUGCCAUGAUUUCAGAUCUGAACCUAUUAUGUUUUCAUGAAUAUAUGUGAGUUCUUGAUAAUAUCUUGCAAGUCUAUAGUCACCUACUAUGUGUUAUGAUCCGGCAACCCCGAAGUGACAAUAAUCGGGACCACUCCCGGUGAUGACCGUAGUUUGAGGAGUUCAUGUAUUCACUAUGUGCUAAUGCUUUGUUCCGGUACUCUAUUAAAAGGAGGCCUUAAUAUCCCUUAGUUUCCAUUAGGACCCCGCUGCCACGGGAGGGUAGGACAAAAGAUGUCAUGCAAGUUCUUUUCCAUAAGCACGUAUGACUAUAUUCGGAAUACAUGCCUACAUUACAUUGAUGAAUUGGAGCUAGUUCUGUGUCACCCUAUGUUAUGAUUGUUACAUGAUGAACCGCAUCCGGCAUAAUUCUCCAUCACCGAUCCAAUGCCUACGAGCUUUUCACAUACUGUUCUUCGCUUAUUUAUUGUUUCGUUGCUACUGUUACAAUCACUACAAAACACCAAAAAUAUUACUUUUGCUACCGUUACUUCUGUUACCGUUACCACUACUAUCAUACUACUUUGCUACUAAAUACUUUGCCGCAGAUAUUAAGUUAUCCAGGUGUGGCUGAAUUGACAACUCAGUUGCUAAUACUUGAGAAUAUUCUUUGGCUCCCCUUGUGUCGAAUCAAUAAAAUUUGGUUGAAUACUCUACCCUCGAAAACUGUUGCGAUCCCCUAUACUUGUGGGUUAUCAGCCGCCCGCGCUGCUUCCCAGUGCGCGUGACUGCUCUGCGUUCAAAUGACUCCACGGCCGUCCGUCGCCCUACAUUACUGACACGCGAUUGCUGAGGAACCUACUCCGACGUGACCCAUCCGCCUAUCUGCCGCCCACCAUUGCCAUUCUCACGCUAUAUGAACUCCAGUCCCGGCCAUCGCCGUGGUCAUCGUCCUCCGGUCCCUUUCUCCUCUCCGGACCAAUCCCAUCAUGGCCUCCUCGUGCUCCCAAGCUCUCUGGGACGGGCUAUCGCCGGAGCAGAAGAAGGAGAUGGCCGCCAUUGCUGUCGGCUGGCAGGCCACAGGCAGCCCGACACUGAUGACAUCCCAAUGGAGGAUGCCGCCGAGGGUGAGCUGGCGCCACCCUUCUCGCGGUGCAUGUCAGCAUGACCAUCGGCGAGGCCCGUGUCCACUAUAUGGACACGGUGUGGGAGGAGAACGAGGAGCAGUUCUGGGAGGGGCAGGCCGACCAGGCCGACAACCUCCAGCUCCUUAAGGAGCACGGGCAGGCGGAGGAGCAGCUCGCCGCCGGGUGGGCCAUCGCUUCGGACGCGGAUGUGGCGGAGCAGGCGGCGCUGCUCGAGUCCCACUGCUCCGCCUACGAGAUCCACCUCGACCAUUGGCGGUAUCGCAAGCAUCGGGCAGAACCAGAGGCCACCAACAAGGAGAUGGACGAAGUGGCAGACGAGGUGUGGGGGCAAGAGUGACAACGAGGACGACAUCGCCGGCUCCUCCAAGGCCGCGCCCCGCUGGCACGUCAGCGGGUGCCGCCGGCAGCGAGAAAGAGUAGUGCAUAUGGUAGGUCGCUGCCGCUCGGGUCCCAGGAAGGCCACCGCUCUUCCUGUCCGCCUGAAGCCAAGCUUGGCGAGCUUUAAAUUGUCGGCUGAUUAGCCGCUUAAGUUGAGGGGUCGGAGGCUGCGGAGGCAGAGCUGGAGAGCGCCGAGGCGAAAUUGGAGAAGGCGAAGGCAAGUGUCGGAGCUUCAGUUCUCAGGGCUCAUGGUCAGACAUGGGGAACGGGUGCCUGUGAUUAUUUUGAUUACGUUUAGACAAGAUGAUUAGUUGAAGUAUGUCCGGAAUUAUACCUCCGGAGUUGAAUGAGUUCCGCUUUUAGUUGAAGUAUAUCCGAAAUGUAAUGAAUUUCGUCUAGUUUAUAUGAAAUCCACUGUGUUUGCAUGAACCUCUUUCGGUUUAUAUGAGAAUCCGUCAGGUUUGAAUGAAUUUCAUCCGAUUAGUUUGAACCGUGGUUGAAAUGUAUGCGGACAACGUUGGAUUGCGCCCUUCGGUAUCAACAUCCGUGGACUGGUUCUCCGGUUCGCAGAUGGAUGUCGGAGCAAAUUUAGGGAUCAACUUUGAAGAUGCCCUAAGAUUGCUUUCAAAUUAAGCCUGUAACCAGCCAAUCCACGCCGCUAGCUCCUUUGCCAUAUAAAUGCACGGAGGUGCACCGCACGGAGAAAGGGAUCAACAGAUAAUUAACACUACGUACGCUCUGACGACUUUUAUGUAGGCUCCAGGUGAUAAAGAGUACGUACGCACUUAGGCUGAUUCAUGCGUGGCCAUGUGCGGGAGCAGGGAGUGUUUGAGAAAUGGCCAGAAUUUUCGGUAGAAGGCCGGGCCAAAGCUGUCCGGCCCUGGGCUAGCAUUGGUGUUCAUCUGCAUGAAAGAAUCUUUUAUCUCCUGUUCAGAGAAAGGCUCGUCUAAGGAAAGAAGUUGAGGAAUUUGAAGCGGAUAGAAAAGAUUGAUCCCGCCAUCUGAACAGUAUUUAAAGAUCAACAUAGAUGGGGCUCUGAACCUUGAGGCCUUGUUUGGUACUAGUGUAUUUUAGGGAAUUGGUGGGGAUUAUUCCGGUAAACCCCUAAAUCCCCACAUAUCCCAAAACACCGUUUGGUUCUAGUGUAUUUGACAUGUUUCAUCCUCACAUUUCCCCAAAAUCCUCAAACUCUAGUGCAUUUUCUCAGUGCCCAAUACACUACCCCUACUUAAUGGAUUGGGGGUAAAUGGGGAUUUGAAGGGAUCGGGUGAAGGUUGGGGAUUCUCCCAAUCCCUGUGGGGAUUAUCCCCAUCAAUUCCCUCAAAAACCCUAGUACCAAACAAGGCCUGAGGAGCUCAAAACUGAUUUAGGUCGGGUGGCGCGAUCUUCUUCGUCGCUGCUCGGAGCCUGGAGCAAACUUCACCCUGGAGUUUCUGAUCCGUUCAUUGCUGAGUCAAUGGCGCUGCAAGGAGUGCUUUUUGCGAAGCUCCGUGGGUACCAACAUGUGAUUAUGGAGACAUAUUGCCAAGAGUUGGUCAAUCAAUGUACUUGUCGCCGCACCUUGCUUUCGGUUGUGGCACCGAUUUUCUUAGAGAUUGGAGGGCUAGCUUCAUCUUUUUCUUCUUUUGUAUUUCAACAUGUAAUAAGAUCAGACAAUCAGUCGGCUCAUCUUUGCACGAAACAAGCCUGUGCGCUGAUGGUUACCGGAAGUUGGAUGAACUCAGCACCCCCAUUCCUGGCCACUAGCCUCUUGGCUGACGGUCCGGCAAGUUUCUUUGUUGAAUAAAGCUCUCUAAAUUUCCCUAAAGAAAGAAAAGUUUGAUGUUGAAGCGCCAAGAGGUAGCUUUAGAAGAGCCACUAAGAUUGCUGUAGAAGUCUUUGAGGACCAAGGCUUUCUGGUCUUGAGAGAAGAGGUCGACGACGUUGUGCUCAAGAAUGGGAUUUUUUUUUACGAUAGCUCUGGGAAGCACAAACGUGGAAGUAUUUAGUGUUUUCGUCGCUUGCCAUUUUUGACUUGCUUCUAAGUUUCUAAAAAAGGAUUUUUUUUUGUUGAUAGCCCGUUGGAGGGUAGUGAUGACGAUCGAGCGAAGCUUUCUUUCGGCCGGGGCAAGAGUUCGAGAUCUUCGAGGAGGACCAAGAGGUUAAUAACAAUUUUGCAGUCAAUCUCGCGUUGGUGGACAAGCUUAAGCUCUUUUUACCCAAGACUCGCAUAGACAGAGUGCCACCGGCAGUGCCGACGACUGGUAAAGCUACCGUUUGAUUGAGGAACCAUGGGAGGAAAGAGAUUAACUUUUGCACAGGAUAAUAUCAAGUUUAGUUUCUCGGAUUAUGACUAAGUCUGCUUUGAGGUUUAAGAGUUCAGAGAGGACACUCGCGCACUUGUUGUCAUCAUCGAGAUCGCGAACGUUCCAAGUGCAGAUGGAAAGGGAAACACGAUUCAUGGUUUACAAAGCGGACACUGCUUGCAGUGAGAUGUGAGGCCGACGGGUGCCACAUGCGCAGGAAGGGAAACUAGGCAAGCUAAUCAUGCGUGGAAGGGAAAUAUAGGAAAAUAAAAGCAACCUAUGACUAAUGGGGCCGAACAUCCAAAAGCUCCCAACAGUGGCACUUAGCAGAGAGGUGCAUUAUUCAUACGGCAACCAAGAGGUUAGAGUAAUAAUUUGUAACGAGAUCAUGAAAAGGUUAGAGAUAAUGUGGAGCUUCAUUGGGCUAAUGGGGGCCAAUGCCCCCCACCCCCCAACACGUGCGCACACAUGGACACAGCUUCAUUGACUUUGUGAAGUGAAUUAACGCAUCGCCUUAGCCUCAUACACCAGCACCUCGGUCUACAUCCAACGGAUAGGAUUCACUCAAGGCAAAAAGACCCAGCCUUGGUAGUUUUUCAGCUCUCCAGUGACAUGAAUAAAGCAGCAAUGCACUUGACACUCUCCAGCCUAAAAUUGUUUUUAUACGAUAAAUAGAAAGGCAAAGCAGCUUGAGAUGUGAUUUAAAAUCUCGCAAAGCAGCUUUUCCAUCUAUCAUCAACACACCAUUGAUCUUUUCUUUUACUCAACCUUGCUUAUGUUCUCAUCAUCUGCCAAUACGCAAGAGUUAAAAUGAGAAAUAAAGAAACACAAGAGACAACCGGUAAUAAAAAAGUUUAACUAGCACUUAUUUUGUUGUUUAAUCGCACUUUGGCCUUCCCUCAACUGAUUGACUUAGCCGACCUAUAACUUAUGCUGUGUAUAGAUUGACUAAUUAUCGGGUCUACCCUCAGGGCGCCCUAUAACUUAUGUUGGGUGCCAGGGAAGAAAAGAAAGGGAAAGCGGUCUUCUUCAAGCCAAAGGGGAGCCUGGAUAAUUGAAUGAAGGUUCGGACAGAACUCCAAAAUAACAGAUAUCUUCCUACUAGUUUGUUGUUCCGGUUGGGAAAGCAAGAAUUGGGAUAAUCAUUUCAAGUCAAUUUCUCCUAGAUUUCCUUCUUGACUUCCAGUUAGAAAAUCAAUGAAAUAGGAUUUGGAUCCGAGUUUAAUCGCAAAAUUACUUGGCCAAGCCCAUACAUAGCUCACAUUUGAUAGUAAAAUAAACUAGGAAUAUCAGUUUUUUUUGUUCAUUUAACAAAUUUAAUUCUGAAUAUACCAGUAGAAACUCAUACAAGGCUUUCAGGAGUCACUCUUGUAUAUACCAGUAUAAACUCAUACAAGGCUUUAAUAAGAUGAGAAUAUUUAAUGGAACCGAAAUGACAAAAUCUUGACAAAGGAACACACCAAGCACAACCUCACACUCGCCUGACAUAAUGACACACACCCACACAGCUGUUAUUCUGAACUCUCAACUCUGCAAUGCAGAUACUAAAACGGGGCAGCGAAUGACAGAACACCAAACAAUGCGCCCACGCAUGCAAACUGAUCAUGAACCAAGUGAUGAGAUUUCCGUGCUGCGCCAGACGGUGGCAGAUCGGAGUCAGUGGUGUCCGUGGUAUCCACCGCCGCCGCCGCCGCCGUAGGUGGGCGUGGGAGGGACGGGGUGGUAGUCCGGGUGUGGCUGCGGCUUCGGCUCCGGCUUGGGCACGGGGCCGUAGUCCGGGUGGGGCUGGGGCUUGGGCUCCGGCUUGGGCGGCACGGACUUCUUGUGAUGGAAGUGCUCGAUGAUGUGCUUCUUGAUCGGCCCGCACAGGGUCAUGGAUGCGCACUCGGGCGACGCCGCGGACGACAUGGCGGUGUUCUCGCCAGCGACGACGCCGUAGGUUGUGCCGUCAGACACCGGCACGAUCGUGGACGGCUCCUGGCUGGGGCACGGCACGUUGGAGGCGGCGCUGUGGAGCUGAGCGACGCAGUCGGCGCCAUGGAGGUCAGAAGCGAGGGGCACGCUGAAGGCGCCGGUGCCGUCGAGGGCGCCCACGGCCUUGCUCUCGUACUCGCCGGUGCUGUUCUUGCACUUGAUCGCCACCUGCAGAGCCUUGAAGGCUUCCUCAGCCUUCAUGUUCUUCCUGGUGCAGUCAGCGCAUUUGGCCAGGCCGACGACCACGGACGCCGCCUUCGCAUUGGCGACGGCGAUGGCCAGCAGGACGCAGAGGGCGAGUGCUCUCGGAGCCGCCAUGCCUGAACCUCUGGAUCGAACUACUGCCACUUGCUGGUGUGAAGUGGCUGCUCGAUGGAUGAAUGGAUGUAACAGGCGACGCAUGGCUUAUAUAGGCCUCGGCGUUGAUAGGCAGAGCUCGAAUGCUCAACCGGCCGAUCUGUCUGCAAGCGCAGAAGAAGAAGGGUGGCCGGCGCAGUGAAGCGAGACAACGAGAGAUGAGCCAAUUCGCUUUCGGCGCGCCGAAGUUUCCGAUGGCGAAUUAAUAUCGAUCGUCGUUUUGAUCCACGUCAUUGUUCAGUUGGUGUCUUGGUGAUCGAUUUUUUAUUUAACAUAUACAAACAGGUCACGAAUGGUAUCCUAGCUGGCAAACAUAUUGGUUCUUUUCUUUUUUAUUGUACAUAUUGGUUCUGUAUUGAAGUUAAACUUUGUAAAAUUUUAUCAACCGUAUGUUGAAAAUAUCAAUAUCUAUAAUAUCAAAUGAUAUGAAAAAUAUAUUUUAUGAUUGAUGUGACAUCGAUUUGGUAUUGUAAAUGUUGGUAAGUUUCUUUCUUUCUAAAAUCUUGGUCAAAUUUUGAAAGUUUGACUUAGGACCAAUCUGACAUGCGAAAUAAAAAGAUUGACGCAUCAAAAUAUAUGACACUGCUGUCUUCUAUGUUCAUUUGAUCAAAUAGAUAUACUCACUCCAUUUCAAAAUAAAAGGCGUAUUCUUUUUUUAAAAGCCGAACUUCUCUAACUUUGACCAAGUUUAAAAAAAAUAUUCAAUGUCUACAAUACAAAAUCAUUUUCUUAAGAAUCAGCAUUAAAUAUAUUUUCAUAUUUUUUUAGUAUUGUAGAUGUUGAUAUAUUUAGCUCUAAACCUGAUCAAAUAUCGAAAUGUUUGACUUUUUAAAAAACUAAUAUACCUUAUAUUUUGAAACUGAUGGAGUAUGACAAAAACAUGUGACUCAUGACAUUGUACAAACUAAUGCGACCUUUUAGUUUAAGAGUCUGGAAUACACACCAAGAACAGACGCCGUAAAAACUUGAUGUUUCUCAAAUUGGUGGAAGCAAUAAGAGAAUUCAUAUAUGAGUGGACAUAAUAAAGCUUCAUCUCAUUUUCAAUGAAAGCUCUACCGAGGUUGGCAAAUCCAAGGACAACGGUGUAUCCCGGACGAUACCGUAAAAAAAUCCAGGGUCGUAUCCUAUUUCGCGAUGCAUCCAAUGGUUAUGCGGUUCAUAUACUCUACGUGAAUCAUUGCUGCGUGAGCUUGUUGUGUCCCAGUGGAAAAGAUCUACACAUAUACAACAUCGUUUUUCCAAGUAUCAUGGUCGUAUGGAUGUUAUUAUUUUUACACUUAAGGUCUCCUUGUAUUCAAUGAGUAGCAUUACAUUGUUGACAAGAAUUUCGAUUAGCUCCCAAGGCGCGUCAUCCAUCCAAGUACCAUGUGUAGAAGAUCUAGCUAAUAUAGUUAAAUCAUGUGCGGUUGCAUUAGUCUCUCUAGGACAGUGAUCAUGGAUUACAUGAGUAAAAUCAAGAGACAUAUUGUACGUAACAAUCGUCAAAUAAAGCACUCGUGACGCCUGGUGAUGAAGCCCUUUCCAGCAUUGUCGUAAUCACCUCCAGAUUAUCCGAAUUCACUUCAAGCUUGUUGCACCCAACUAUGUGUGUGCAAGAUUCACCCCAUAUCUCAGUGUUGUGGCUUCGGCCGUGAAAGUGUCAGAACAAACACAACUCUUUCAUUAGCAGCAACGACGAAUUUUCCUAUACAAUCUCGAAGGACAAGUGCUACAGAUGCCUAGAGUAUCAAGGUCAAACGAUGUGUCCGCAUUGAGCUUUAAAUAACCAUGGAUCGGCUAGGUCCAUCCUCCAUGCUUCAUAAUUGGUUUGAGGUAGCUUGCUAAUUUGAAGUUUGCUGCCAAUGCUCUCACUGCAAGAUGAAUUUGACUCGGUGUUUGCAUCGACUGGCCAUGCAAGAGUUUCCUCUACUCCCACCAGACAAACCAAGAUGCAAUAGCAAUAAUUUAUCGGGAUGCCUAUCCUAAAAUCAUUGCUUCUUGAUCAAGGAAGUUCAAUAAAUAUUCCAGCGUCUCCUCCCAGGACAAGCCAGAGACACAUGAUUUAUGGAUAAUAUCACCAAGUCCUGGGGGAUUCCACACUUCACUAGCCAAAGAGUAUUCAAAUAGAAGAUGUUUAACGUCCUCAGACCAUGAUCUGCAAAUGGGACAAUGAGGAGACACCUUUAUAUGUCUAUCAACAAGAUUUGCACGACAUGGAAUCACCUCUUUCAAUUGCCCUCCACAAGAAAAAAAUUACCUUGGCCGGACACUGCAGGUUCCAAACUAAUUCCCACGUACCUUUAUGCCUCGAUGUUUCAAUAGUGUUCUCAUUAGAUAUUUUAUCCAAUGUACCAUCCAUCUUCACCAAUUCUCUUAUUUUUGUUGGAUGCAAACUUUCUUAGGCAAUCAAAACAUUGUCAGUAAUUAACCGUCCCGGAACAAGGGCACUCUUGCCGACCCAUGUGUUGUUGGUUGCUGUAAAAAAGAGUAUAGCAAAGCUUUUCGAUCAGAAAAGUAUGUUCUUCUAUGGUGGCACGGCCAAUCACAAACAUAAGUUUUCUAUAUCUUGAGAGAAUCCUAGAGAAUCUAAAUAGCUAGCCCCACUAUGUAAGCAAGCCAUCUCAGCGUGUCAAAGACCCAUCUUUAAUAUGCAACAAUGCGUAUGAAAAGCCUUACCUCGAUAUGCAAAUAUGAAUUGAAUUUCCAUUGUAGUAUUAUGCUAUUUACAUUUAAUAAAUAUUUUACAACCAUACAAUAAUCAAACACAAUAAACCAUAUAUAUAUUUUCAGUUUUAUUUGUUAUAAUAUUAAUCUAACUAUUCAUAUUCCACACAACCAAAUAAAUUAAAAUAUAAUGCGAAACAUUCCCCCAACAAUGUGCGAGAUAUCAUCUAGUUAUAAUAAACAUCUAAUCACUUGGUUUCUGAUGUUUGCCAUUCAUCAUUUAUCAAGAUCACCCAACUUGUCAUACAUGAGUAUUAGCUCCGACCUCGAUUUAGUUAUGGAAACUACUUAUCAAUAUAUUGUGGCACCAAUUAAUAGAAAUCCCACAUUCGAUGAACCGGUAGUCAUAGAGCAACUUUCAAGUAAAAUGGAAUACAACUAUCUUCUGAACAACAGAACAAAAUACCGGCGUUAUUAUAUUCUAAGUUUGAGAAGUGUUUAUGUUAGAGCAUGGUUAAUAAUAUAGCCAGCUGCUGGCUAUAUAGAUAUGCCAUGUCAUCAAGAGUUAGCAAUAUUAAUUACUCAUACAAUACAGUUGGCUAUAAGGAUGGCUAUAAGCCCACAACUUUUUUUCACUUUCUCUCUACCUCUUUCAUCUCAUUAAAUGUUUUUACCUAGGAGCACACAUAGAGUUUGGCUCUUGCAUGAGAGCCCACUUCUUUACUUUUUCCUUGUCUUUCUUCUUCACAUAGGCAUAAAUGUCAUGUAAGCGCGCUUAUAGCCCACUAUUUUACUUGCUCUAGUAUGCCAAUUGUGCUGCUCUGGUGCUGAAAUCCUCCUAGCUCUGAGUGGUUGUAAGAUUGCUUUCAAAUUAAGCUUCUAACCAGCCAAUCCACGCUGCUAGCUCAAGUCUUGUUGCUUUCGUAGAUAUAAAUGCUCCGGAGGCGCGCCGCACGUAGAAAGGGAUCAAUAGAAAAUUAGGUACGUAGGCUCUAACUUAUGUAGGCUCUAGAUGAUAAAGUGUACUGUUAGAAGGGAGAGAGAGAGGGAUUGUUGCGGAAUAUGAUGGAUGUAUUAUUGAGCCUCGAGGGCGAGUAUAUAUUGAGUACAAGGCUUGGAGGGCAAGACGCCUCUCCUAGAGAUAAGGUAGGAGACGGAUUACAAAUCCUAAACUACCAAACACGUGUAACCCAAAUAUAUCUCUAACACCCCCCCGCAGUCGUAGCGGUAGCAUUGCGAACAACAUGAGCGUCGCGGACGGUCAGACUGGAGAGAAUAGCAGCCGAUGGGCUGACAUCCCCCCCGCAGUCGUAGCGGGAGCGUCAUGUACGGUGUCGCGUCGCGGACGCGUUGACUGUAGAGGAAGCCGACGAGUUGCUCAAGCGGAUGAUAACCCUUUGUGCCGAUGUCGAUGUAGCCGAGAGCGUGGUGUAGCCGUGCGAAGAACGCCGUGGUCAAUGUCGAGUCGGGGUAGCCGGUGUCGAGGGAGUCGCCGUGGAGCCGCGGGCGCAAGGGGGCGCCUAGUUAGCAUGAGCGCAGUGGUGUCGAAGUAGGGGUGUGCCGGAAAAAAAAUGUUGUUGACGACGCGUCGCGACGGGUUUGCCAAGCCCGGGGACACAUCGUGGACGAAGGCACGCACCGGUGUUGCCAGCACCGGGCAUGCGUAGACGGACGAAGACGAAGUUGACGAUGCGCCGACCAGGCUUGCCAGGCCUGGGGACACGUCGUGAAUGAAGGCACGCAUCGGUGUUGCCAGCACCGGGCAUGCGUAGCCGAGGGACCUGCACGAGCUGUACGCCAUGUCGAAGAAGUUGGAGGGGCCAGCAGAGAAGAACUCGACGACGAUCGCGGCGUCCAUCGGCGCGGGGCCGAUGUCACAAACGGUGGUCGGAGUAGACGAAGUGGUCGGGGUAGAUGACGGCGACGCUGGCGACGGGCUGGUGCUUGGAAGAAGACGAAGGGGGUGGACGGGCGUCGGCGGCGGCUACAGGGGUAGCGGCGGCGGCAGCCGAAGAAGAGCGGCGACGGCGGCCUGACGACGGCAGCGGCGGCUAGAUUAGGAGUGCGGCGGCGGUGCUCGAAGUAGGCGAAGAACCCUGAUAGCGUGACGAAGACCGGCACGGACGGUGGUGUUCCCGCGCCAAGGGAGACGGCGCGACGCAUAUCACAGGAGGUCGACGCGCGGUGACGGCGAAGUGGACCGCAUGCCGUGACGCUACGGCCCGAAGGGACGACGUAGUGGCAGCGGGCAGGUCGGGGCGACGACGGGAAGACCUCGGGGCGGCGGCGGGGACCGCGGGCCGUGGAGCUGCGGCCCGAAGGGGCGACGCAACGGCGGCGGGCGAGUCGGUGCAGCCGCGGGGACGGCCUCGGGGCGGCGGCUGGGACCGCGUAUCGCGGCAGUACGGCCCGUAGGGGCGACGCACAAGUCGAUGUAGCCACGAGGAGAACCAUGUGGCGGCGCCGCUGCGGCCCGACGGGGCGACGCAGCGGCAGCCCGUUGCUUGAUCGGUGGAGGGGCGCGCUGAACUCAAGGGACGAUCUUCACGGGACCUGCGGAGGCGCGCGUAACCAACGGGACAGGUCGGUCGCGCGGCGUAGAUGAGGCGGAUCGCGGCGGCGAGCGGGUGAUCAAGCCGAUCGCGCGCGAGGUCGGGGACGCCGCUCGAUGGAGACGGGGUGGCGGCGGAGUCCGAGAUGAAGCCGGCGACGGCGGGCAGCAGGGCGGCUAUGAUUGGCCGCCGCAUGACGCGAGGCCGCCGGGUCGGGGUCAUGCAGGAGUCCCGGUCGAAGCAGGGCGGUGACGGCCGGCGUAGAUCGACGGGCGGGCCGGGGCGCGAACGGCGGCGGUGAGGGCCGCCGCAUGACGCGAGGCCGCCGGGUCAGGGCGACCGGCGGGCGGUCGCGCGAGGCCGCCGGGUCGAUGAAGACGCCGGUGUAGUCGAUGCCGAAGUCGGAUUAGAGGCGCGCGGGGGUCGAUGGCUGCGGCGGGCGACGGGCAGACCGACGCGUGGACGGCGGCUGGCCCUGACGGGCCGCCUCGACGCGCGUGGCUGCCAGGUCGGAGGAGAGGUCGGCUGGUCGCGGCGGGGUCGGAGUAGAGGCGCUCGGGGUCGUCGGCGGCGGUGGGCGACGCAAACCGAUCAAGAAUAGAUCGGAAAACCAAAAAGAAACCGCGCGAUCAAGAUGACCGGCGGGAGAGAGAAAACCCCGAAGCAAGGCUCGGGGAAAAGACUCUUUAGGGCAGCCGGUCAACACGACUGGCGGACGAACCCUAGGUACGGGCAGCGCGGCCCCGGUGGCGGUCAUGGAGGCCGACCGCCCGGGGGCGGCGCGCGGGUGCGGAAGCGGCGGCGGCUAGGGUUUAGGAUCGACUUGCGAUAGAUACCAUGUUAGAAGGGAGAGAGAGGGAUUGUUACGAAAUAUGAUGAAUGUAUUAUUGAGCCUCGAGAACGAGUAUAUAUUGAGUAUUAGGCUUGGAGGGCAAGACGCCUCUUGUAGAGAUAAGAUAGAAGACGAAUUACAAAUCCUAAACUAUCAAACACGUGUAAUUCAAAUAUAUCUCUAACAUGUACGUACUUACGCUGCAUGCAUGCAUGCGUGCAUGCGUGGCGCGUGGAACCUACGAACGAGAAUCAGCCACCAGCCAAUGCAAAGUCGAUCACCAACCGAGCAAUGACUAACGACGUGCGUGGACCAAAUCGAUCGAUGAUCGAUGCGUGCAGAAUAAAUCGAGUUUUAAUUCGGCAUCUGAAAUUUCGGCGAGUUAGCCGGUCUCUCCUUGUCAGACAUCACUUCGCCACCUGAGGUGUACAGGGCGUUCAGCUACCGUGAGUUCCGGGAGCAAGUGCAGGCGGACGUGAAGACCACCGGCUCCAAGGUCGGCCUCGCCCGAUUCCGCGUCGCCGUCGGCCAAUCAUUGGACGAAGCCUGAUCGAUCCAUGGAUGGAUGUGGAGGGAGCAGAGCAGAGUAGACCGUCUCAUGUUUUUCUUCUUCUCAUUUUGUAGUAUAUGUUUGUAGCGGGCCGAGAAAGCUUUAGUAUUACAUCCGUGCUCUCGUGCGUGCCCACGAUGCUCUUUGUUUGGAUGGAUCAUCAGAGUCCUUUUAUCUGGGUUCCGUACGCCCGAGUUGGUUGCGGCACAGUCGAGUUGGCGCACGCACGGCACGAUCGGAUCCACAGCGAGCGGAGCGGAGCGGAACGAUGGCCGGCGGCGGCGGGCUUAUGAAUAUGGAGCCAGUGCCAGACGACGGCUGCGGACGGUGUAGUCGGAUUGUGGCGGCGGGUUUGCUGACCCUGCCGAUGGCGGCCUUGUCCAUCUGGGUGCCGGGCCCUGACGCACCGCCACGACCCAUGUUGCUCUUGUUCGCCAAGAUCCUCUGCGUCCUCACCCCAUGCACCAUCUUCAUGAUCCUGGUCACAGUCAUCGUCACGGAGCAGGGCCUGUAAGACUUAGGAUUUGGGAAACAGCACGACAUCUGUUAAGGGUGUGGAUAUCUCAUAUAUACAAGGGUACACAAAGGUGUACGGUACAAUAUACAAGACCUAUACAGAGGCUACAUGUAAAUACAGUCUAACACCCUCCCUUAAUCUUAACUAUGCCCUGAAGUACAAGUACGUUAAGAUUGCGCCUGCAGCCUACAAACUGAGGUUGUGGAAGAGGCUUUGUGAAGAUGUCAGCAAGUUGAUCUUUUGAAGAGAUGAACUUGAUGUGGAGUAGCUUCUGUGCAACACGUUCCCGCGCAAAGUGAUAGUCAACUUCAAAGUGUUUUGUCCGAGCAUGAAACACUGGAUUAGAUGAUAGAUAUGUAGCACCAAUGUUGUCACACCAAAGAACAGGCGGCUGAGUUUGAGAAACUCCCAAUUCUCUCAAUAAGGACUGUACCCAUAUGAUCUCAGCUGUAGCAUUUGCAACUGCUUUGUAUUCAGCUUCAGUGCUACUCCUGGACACUGUAGCUUGUUUACGAGCAGCUCAGGCGAUCAAGUUAGGACCAAAGAAGACAUCAUGUCCCCCUGUAGAUCGCCUGUCAUCUGGAUUACCAGCCCAGUCUGCAUCUGAAAAAGCAGAAAGCGUAGGAAACGGUGCUGGCUGAAGGAGUAAACCAUAUGAGGCAGUAAAGCAAACAUAGCGAAGAAUGCGCUUCACCGCUGUCCAAUGAGAAGUCCGAGGAGCAUGAAGAAACUGACAGACACGAUUGACUGCAUAUGAGAUGUCAGGCCGAGUGAUAGUCAGGUACUGCAGACCACCAACAACGCUACGAUACUCAGUGGCAUCAUCAGAGGUGAGAGGAUCUCCAUCAAAAGCAGACAGACGAGCAGUAGCGGACAUAGGAGUCAUGACAUGUUUGCACUUCAGCAUACCUGCCCGUCACAACAAGUCCAUCGAGUACUUAUGCUGCGUAAGUGUCAAACCGACAGGAGAACGUGAAACUUCCAGGCCAAGGAAGUAAUGCAACGUUCCUAAAUCCUUCACCGCAAAAUCACCACUCAAGGAAGAGAUCAGACGAUCAGCAGCAGCAUCCGAGGAGCUAAUGAGGAUAAUGUCAUCAACAUAUACCAGAAGAUACAUCGUCACCUGAGGCCGAUGUAGAAGGAAGAGCGAGGUGUCAGCAGUGGAGGGAACAAAAUCAAGUGACCGAAGAACAGAGCCCAAUCUGGCAUGCCAAGCACGAGGAGCCUGCUUCAGCCCAUAGAGUGCCUUGACCAGGCGACACAGAUGAUGAGGGCGAGCAGGAUCAACGAACCCCGGGGGCUGACGCAUGUAAACCUCCUCAUCCAGAACACCAUGAAGAAAAGCAUUCUGAACAUCCAGCUGACGAAGAAACCAGCCCCGAGUAACAGCCAAGGACAUCAGAAGCCGUAUAGUCGUCGGUUUGAUCACCGGACUGAACGUAUCCUCGUAGUCAAGACCAUACCUUUGCUUGAACCCUUUCGCCACUAACCGCGCCUUAUAGCGUUCAGUAGAACCAUCGGCAUGCUUCUUAACUUUGAAGACCCACUUGGAAUCAAUAAUAUUGACACCAGAGACCGGGGGAACGAGCUGCCAAGUACCAUUUGUCAACAAUGCCUGAUACUCUUGCUCCAUAGCUUGACGCCAAUGAGGAAUCCCGAGAGCAACCUGGAAGUGACGCGGUUCAACCAAAGGAUCUUCCUUGACGUGAGCAACACAGGCCGCAAGCCAGGCCACCGUCCCAUCUUUGCGUUGCUUGGGACACACAAUACCGGAUCGACUGCGUGUAUGCGGUCGAAGAGCAACAGAAGCAGGUGGUGCAGCAAGUGGCGACGGCACUGGCGAUGAAGAAGCAGCCGGCGAAGCAGCUGGUGACGGAGCAUUUGCGCCAGGCGAGGACGAGGCCGACCCAGGCGAGGCAGAACCAGGCGAGGCAGCAAUCGACCGGGCGGGCGAGCCAGUCGGCUCGAGGCCGACCAAGUCGCGGGAGGCCGGCCCAGGCGAGACCACCGGCUCAGGGGAGGCCGGCCCAGGCGAGAUCGCCGACUCAGGGGAGGCCAGCUCAAGGGAGGCCGGCCCAGGCGAGACCGGCCCAGGCUCAAGGGAGGCCGGCGCAGGGAAGGCCGACACGGGCAAAGCCGGCGCUGAAGAGCCCGGUCCAGACGUGCAUGGUGCAUGCACGAGACCGCUCCCAACGUCAGGUGCAGUCGACAGCUCCGGCUCCUCCAAUAACUCAAGGCGAGCUCCACGACCCGUUCCUGCAGCAUGAUUAGGCAACAACGCAGGAGAGUAUGCAAUAUCAACAAAUUGAGCAGGCAGUGGAGAGGUGGAAUGCGAGGAGGAGACUGGAGGUGCGGGAGUUGUGGACAAAGACGAGAACGGGAAUACACUCUCGUCAAACACAACAUCACGCGAGAUGUAGACAUGGUUGGAUGGAAUAUGAAGACACUUGUACCCUUUGUGAAGAGAGCUAUACCCAAGAAAAACACAAAGUUUUGACCGAAACUCAAGCUUACGCUUAUUGUAAGGACGAAGAUGAGGCUAGCAUGCACAACCAAAAACUUUGAGAAAUGUAUAAUCUGGAACCUCAUUAAGCAACAGUUCUAGUGGUGUUUUCAUCCCAAGGAGUCGUGUAUGAAGCCUAUUUAUGAGAAACAGGCAGUGGAAAACGCAUCACUCCAAAAGCGAAAAGGUGCCGAUGCAUGAGCAAGUAAAGUGAGACCAGUUUCGACAAUGUGACGAUGCUUACGUUCAGCCGUGCCAUUCUGCUGAUGUGUAUGAGGAAAGACACGCGGUGCGAAAUCCCAAGCUUAUUAAAAAAAGAAUCGAGGUUGUGAUAUUCACCCCCCCAAUCUGACUGGACAUGGAUGAUCUUAUGCUUAAGAAGACGCUCAACGUGAGCUUGAAAUUGUAGAAACACAUCGAACACAUCAGAUUUACGCUUGAUAAGAUAAAGCCAAGUAAACCGACUAUAAGCAUCAAUAAAACUGACAUAAUAAUUAUGACAGCUCACAAAAGUUUGGGCAUGCCCCCAUACAUCAGAAAAAAUAAGCUCAAGUGGAGUUUUGACGACACGACUCGAAUCUGAAAACGAAAGCUGAUGACUCUUGCCUUGCUGACAGGCAUCACAGACUGUGGCAGCAUCUUUAUUGGACACAACGGGAAGACUAUGACGAUGAAGAACACUACGAACUAUGGGAGUGGCAGGAUGACCAAGCCGUGCAUGCCAAUGAGUAGGCGACACACGGACACCACUGAGCGCUUGAGGAGCAGAAGGCAGAUCAAGUGCAUAUAGUCCAUCGCGCAGGCGACCUCUAAGCAGAACAUCCCUCGUGGCCCGAUCCUUGAUAAAAAAAUAAAAAGGAUGAAACUCAAUGAAAACAUUGUUAUCACGAGUAAGCUGAGGAACAAACAAUAAGCUACGAGUAGCAGAAGGAACUCUAAGGACAUUACAAAGAUGGAGAGAUUUUUGUUUAUGAGUUAAGAGAGAAGCCUGACCAACAUGUGAUAUGUGCAUACCUGCUCCACUGGCGGUGUGAACCUGAUCAUGUCCACGGUAUGGCUCCUGGACGGAGAGUUUGCCCAUCUUGCCCGUCAGAUGAUUCGUAGCGCCCGUGUCCAUAUACUAAGUUGGAUCGAUGGGAUAUGAUGGAGUGUGGCCUGCUUGACGAGCAGGCUCGUGAGUGGCCAAGGCAGCUUGUUUCUCGUUGCCUUUGCCAUUGUUGCCGACGCCGAGAAAGUCCUGCUUGAAGCGGCGAUGACAGCGGGAAGCAAUGUGACCUGGAAGGCUGCACAACUGGCAGGGAAGCCGGACGUCACAUGAAGGGCAGCAGGCACACGAGCGGCCACCCCCGGUCGUGGGCAAGGAGGCAGCGACAGGCGACCGCUGAGCCUGUGAAGUCAGUGGUACUGAUUUGCCACCUGCAGAUGACUUGAAGGGCUUCCCUUUUCCAUGAGUGGCAGCAUUGGCAGCAAUAAAACUCGGGUUGGUACGGCGGGACUUGACGCGCUGUUCCGUGGCGAGGAGGCGGGCGUAGAGCUCACGAGGUUCAAGCGGAGUAUCACGACCAUUGAUGUUCUCAGCAAGGUUAUCAUAGUCGUCGUCCAGGCCGUUCAUGGCCAAGGUGGUGAAGUCCUCUUUGCGAAGCGGUUGACCAAUGGAGGCCAAGGUGUCUGCGAGAUGCGUCAUCUUGCCGAAGUAGUCGGUAAUGCUGAGGUCAAGAAGCUUGGUCUCCCCCAGCUCCGUACGAAGAGUGUGAGCACGGGCCUGCUGCUGAGAUGCGAAGCUGGUUUGAAGGGCAGACCAUGCCUCCUGGGACGUGGCAGCGAAGAGGACCAAGGAGGACACCGCCUCGGUGAGUGACAACUGGAUCGCAGAAAGGAUGGCCUGAUCCUGAGCCACCCACGCAUGAUACGCCGGGUGAUGUGGUGGAGGACACGACAAGGAACCGUCGACGUAGCCCUCCAGGUAGCGACUGCGGAGAAGUGGCAGCACCUAUGCACGCCACGACGGAUAAUUAUCCGUCGUCAGUUUCACUGGGAUGAGAUGCGCUAAGUAGAACAGCGCACUGGCCACGGCAUGAUCAGCGACAGGAGGCGACGUGUAGUAGCUCAUGUAGGAUGAACCACCAGGUGCACCAGGACCCAGCGCUGUGGAGGAAGUAGCAGCCGGCGUAGGAGCUACAGGAUAGGGCGCAGCCAUUGCCGGCGGGUAGUAGCCGCCGUAGGGCAACGACGAUGGCGGGGUGCCGUAGGGCACGGCCGGCGCCCUGCCCGACCCGGCGGUCGCGGCGCCAAGUGCAGCCGCAUAGGGUUGCGGGGUUGGAGCCGCGUAGGACGCCGCGGGGACGGUGGCAUGUGGUGCAGCCGCAGCGGCCGCGUAAGGCGAGGCGCCAUACGCUGCGUUGUACGCGGAGGCAGGUGCAGGCGUUGCCUCGUAGGAGCCUGACGGCGGAGGAGCAGCCCCGUAAGGCCCGUAGGACACCGAGUCGGCAGGAACAGGCGCCACCCUGUAGGGGCCUGCUGGCGGCGGAGGAGCAGCCCCGUAGGGCCCUAGGGCGCCGAUCCCAUCCAGGGACCAGCGUACGAAGGAUCUCCCAACGCAGGCGGAGGCGCGGCCGGUGAUGACGGCGGCGGCUGAUCUGAGGAGGCGCCCACCAUCGAGGACUGGCCGGUGUAGACCGAGACCAGGGGGCGCGACGAGAGGAACGGCGAUGCAGGCGCCGUGACAGAGACCGGCGCGACGGCGGCGGCGGCGGAAGACAUAGGACCGGUUAGAGUUGAUACCAUGUAAGACUUAGGGUUUGGAAAACUGCACGACAUCCGUUAAGGAUGUGACUAUCUUAUAUAUAUAAGGGGUACACAAAGGUGUAUGAUAUAAUAUACAAUACCUAUAUAGAGGCUACGUGUAAAUACAAAUACAGUCUAACAGGGCCAAAGGCGACCACCUUCCCCGACGGACGGCCCAAAGGCGUCGUCGUCGUCGUCGUGGAUCCAGAGCCAGAGCCAGAGCCAGAGUGGGGGAUGGCCGGCUUUAAAAUCGACUGCGGCCGGUGCAUGGCGAUCUUCUUCCUGGGUCUGGUGACGCUGUCGAUGGUGGCCUUGACCAUCCGCCUGCCGGGCCCUGACCCUCCCACACGGCCCAUGUUGGACUUGGACAUGAGGAUCCAAUGCAUCGCCACCGCCUGCAGCUUCUUCAUGCUCAUGGCCGCACUAGUCGUCACGGAGCAGGGCCAAAGGCGACCACCUUAAUUCCCCUCCACGGACCCACCUUUACCAUGCUUCUUCUUCUUCUUUUUCUUCUUCUUCUUCUUCUUUCAUUUGAUUCACUUUAUUUUUUAUUAUUCAUUUAUAGAUUGAUUUUCUGGCCCCUCCAUACGUGUAUGCACAUGAUGACAUAUUUUGUUCCUCAUGUUUCCUACUCUCCAAACACAGAAUUGAGACAAUGAACACACACCGUGCGGAGAUUUUGGGAAAAGUUUACGAAAAAAAUAACGAAUUUUGAAAAGUUCACAAAUUUUAAAAUAGUUUGUGGAUUCGAAGAAAAUCAUAAGUUUGAUUUUUUUUCUGAAUUUAAGAAAUGUUCAUAAAUUUUAAAUAAUGUUCAAUGAUUGAAAUAACUUGACGAAUUUGGAAACAAUUCAUGGAUUUGAAAAACUUUCACGGACUUCAAAAAAAGUUCAUAGAUUUUGUGGAUUUGAAAAGAAUUUGAGAUAAAAUCACUAAUUCUGUGGAUUUGAGAAACUUUAACAAAGUUGAUUUUUUUAACUAAUUCUGUGGAUUAAAAAAUUUCACGAAAAUGAGAACAUUUCAUUGAUGUAAACUGAAAAUAAAAAGGAAAUGGAAAUAAAUAAAAAAGAAAACCCAAAAAAUAAAAGGAAAAAAACACCAAAAACCACCAAAACCGAACAAAAAAACACGAGUGAACAAAAGAAUGCCCAAAAAAACCCAGCCUAAAACCAGUGGGAGGUGAGAUAUUGGGCCGCAGCCCACUUAGAUGGAUAUCUGGAGGGCAGUUAGUCGGAUGUGGUCCGUCUAAGGGCUGAAGCCCUUUCUAAUCUAUGAGGCCUGGUAUGGGCCCGUCAGCCCUACUGACUUGUGGUCAAGUCCACUCCAGUCCCAUCAAUAUCAACGGUAGAAGCCCAAUGCCAAACAAUGGUUGUUCUCUCAGAUGGAGUCCUUAUCACAUGCGUCCUUUGUGAAGCUAGCAGUAACCUUGUGGGCUUUUUGGUCAGCAAGAAGAAAGGCUAUUCAUGAAGGUAUUUUUCAAAGCCUGCAUUCUGUGCAUUCCUUUGCCACAAGAUACAUUGGGGAGCUAGAGAUGAUCAAGGAAACAAAACCAGCCGUUGAUCCAAUCGCUGAUGUGGCUCGGGCUAGGAUUGUACGGCCGAGAGCACCUCCUGCUGGGCAUGCAAAGAUACACGUAGAUGCGGCAGUCAGACUAGGUAGAAGGGGGACGGCAGCUGUGGUGUGCAGAGACCAGGGAGGCAUUUAUUUGGGCAGCUCCGUUCUGGUAGUACAAGGUGUGGACGACCCAAUUAUUCUGGAAUCAAUAGUAUGCAUGGAAGCUUUAUGUGUUGCAGAAGAUUUGCUCCUGAAUCAGUUGUCAUAGCCUCAGAUGCUAAGCAAGUGGUCAGAGAUAUAAAUCAAGGGAAUCAUGAGAAACAUGGUGCAAUCAUCAGUGAGAUUAAAACACGGUCUACCUCUUUUUUAUGUACUUUUGUUUAUGAGGGUCGAAAUAGUAAAAUCAAGCUCAUAGAUUAGCUAGAUUUGCUCUUAAUCUAGCUCCGGGCGUCAUGUGUGAUUUGGCCGACCACAUGAUGCGAACGUUAUCCCACUCUCUGUGGUUUUUGAUCAAUAAAGAUUAGGCCUUACCCCUCAAAAAAAAGAAGCCCAAACCAUGUAUGACGCCUUAAGCGGCGAUUAUGAAGCAACUAGUUGACGAGCGCUCCUUCGGGAGCCUCACAACGGUCAGCGCCACUUGACGCGCUCUCAGCCGUCCGCCACGUGUCGUGCUCUGGGCCCUCCCCGGGGUUUUUUUCAGACGCGUUUUUGGCUUUCUAAACGGUUUUUUUCAGGGUUUUUUUGAUGUUUCGGUUUUUCACCGGUCUUCCUUGGCUUUUGGAUCAAUUUUUUUUAAAAAAAAUUAAAUGAAAGAGAGCUUCAAAGUGGGAACAUAGUGAACUAAAAGAAUUGAAUGGAAGAGCCCUUGAAAAUUGUUGACUUGGUCAAAAUUGUGCUGAUCCAAUUAUAAAUUGAAGGUUUCAAUUAGUUGCGAAAAAAUAGGAAGCAUGAUGUAUAGUAUAAAGAAAUUGAAUGAGAUAGCUUUGAGAAAUUGUGCCCCCGCAAAAAAAACUUUGAGAAAUUGUCGAUCCGGUCAAAAUCGGGUGACCCAAUCCUAAUUGAAGACCUCAAUUGAAUGUGAGCUCUUUAAAACUAGGGAGCUUAGUGUUAUAGACAAUACCGUUCGUGACGGCACGAUCAGAUCGGAUCCACAGCGAGCGGAGUGGACCGAUGGCUGGCGGCGGUGGCAGCAGUCAGGAGAGCGGAGGCGGUCUUAGACUAGGCACAAUGCCCAUGUUACUAGUCUAUGUUACUACCUCUAUAGUUGGGGGUAACAUAUGUGCGGUAACAUGGAACACUUCAUUUAUUAGGCUAUAGACACAUCUUACCUUAAUAUGUGUGAUGUUAUCCAUACUAGUAGUAAUUAGCUAUGUUAUCACUUUCAUCUCUUUCUUCAUUUAUGGCAUGCCACAUCAUCUAUUUAACCUAGAUAUGUGUAAUGUUACUAGUGGGUAGUCUUAUGGAGCCAGACCACGGCUACGGACGUGCAGGGUGAUCGUCGCGGCGGGUUUGCUGAUCCUGCCGAUCGCGGCCGUGUCCAUCUGGCUGCCGGGCCCUCACGCACCGCCACCGGCACUGCCACGACCCAUGCUGCUCUUGUUCGCCAGGAUCCUCUGCGUCGUCGCCCCCCCUCUUCAUCCUCCUCGCCACACUCAUCAUCACGGAGCGACCACUUUCCCCUCGACGGGCGGAUGGACAGGCCAAAGUCGUCGUCAUCGAGGAUCCAGAGCCAGAGCCAUGGCCGGCGGCAAAGUCGACUGUGGCCGGUGCAUGGCGAUCGUCUUCCUGGGUCUGGUGACGCUGUCCAUCGUGGCCUUGUCCAUCGGCCUGACGGGCCCUGGCCCUCCCACAAGACAGAUGUUGCUCUUGUCCGGCAGGAUCCUAUGCGUUGGCGCCGCCUGCAGCAUCUUCACGCUCGUGGUCGCACUGGUCGUCACGGAGCAGGGCCGUUGACCACCUUCCCCUCCACGGAAGGACAUGUUCCAUGCUUCUUCUUCUUCUUCUUUGAUUUGAUGAUGAUAUAUUUUGUUCUUCUUUGAUUCCUACUAUCCAAAAUAACUAUUUCUAAAUUUCCGGCUAGCUAAAAAUCAUCCCAUCCUAAUUUUGAAAUCAUCAAUGUAAAUUAAAAUUAAUAACCAUCAUUUGAGUAUAUAUAAGUCGAGGGAGUUUUAUGUGGUAUUUUUACAAAGCACAACAAGUCAAUAACUAGAAAACCCAAUCAUCCAUUAUAUUAUCACCAUGGCGCUACAAACGACCCAAAAUACACAAACUCAACUAAUGGUGCCAGAGCGUCACAUUGUACUCUAUCACAUCGCCACUGGGAGGGUUCGUAGAGGUGAGACAGUGAACGCACACCGUCCGGAGCAUGCCGUACCCUUGGGCCAUCCGGAAUGCACCCCGGCCUCCAAUAACGGGGAGCUCCCUGGUUGAUCUCAACGGGUUCCUUGAGAACAAUACAAACGAACUGCCAUUGAAUGGGCCAGUUGUGAUCUCAACAUCGAUGGCCAUCAAAAUCGUGUACCCAUCUUUUGUUGUGCCGACAUACAUGCCCUGUGCAUUCCCAAGCACCUUAGACGUGAUCGAGGGCCCCUCGGUGAUCACAUCGUCAAACACGUAGACAGAGCUAAAGGCCACGAUACCACGAGCAUGGGCCGUGGCAUUGGCGUUUUGUGCGACAAGGACCGAGGAUGAAUCCUUAUCGGCAUGGAUGUUGUGGAGGUAGAAGAGGAUGUUCGUCUCCUUAUCUCUUACAAGCGAGGAGGCAACGGAAGCGUUGCACUGGAGAGAGAGAACAAGGAUGGUGAGGAUCAAGAAUGGAAUUCAUCUUGAGUUCUUGUGGCUUUUGAAAAUUUGUUUGCGAUUGAGAAAGUGUUCGGUGAGAAGGUUUGGUGUGUGUAUUUGUAGCUGAUGAAGAGGAGGAUAUUGUUUGGUAUUCUAUACAUGGAAAUAUAUAACNNNNNNNNNNNNNNNNNNNNNNNNNNNNNNNNNNNNNNNNNNNNNNNNNNNNNNNNNNNNNNNNNNNNNNNNNNNNNNNNNNNNNNNNNNNNNNNNNNNNNNNNNNNNNNNNNNNNNNNNNNNNNNNNNNNNNNNNNNNNNNNNNNNNNNNNNNNNNNNNNNNNNNNNNNNNNNNNNNNNNNNNNNNNNNNNNNNNNNNNNNNNNNNNNNNNNNNNNNNNNNNNNNNNNNNNNNNNNNNNNNNNNNNNNNNNNNNGUAGGUGUAGCAUUUUUGUAUCUUUAGAUACGGAAAUUAGUUUUUUCUAUGCAGAAAAAAAGGAAAUUAGUUUGUUUAGGCUAGGAUACGGAAAUUAGUACGAGCACGUCGGGUUAGUCAGAUGUUGCUCGACCACAAAAAAAAAGAUCGGGCUCUUUUUUCUUUGAGGAAAAAAAAAGAUCUGGCUCGACCACGGCCGAAUCCUGGGAGCAAGUAGUUAACGAGCGCUCCUUCGAAGCGCUUGUAACGAGCGGUUCGGGAGCACUCCGUGCGUGACAAGUGUCGCGCGAGGAGCGCUCCCGUAAGGGAAAACCAGUUGCGUGGUUGGUUCCCGGUUUUCUCUUUCCGGUUUGUGGUUUGGUGCGUUUUGCAGUUUGACCCUCGAACUAUCAGAAUUUUCCGUUUUCCCUUUCCGCGCGAAAACACAAAGAAAAUACCAGUUCGCGCGGUUGGUUUCCUGUUUUCCUUUCUCGUUUCCCUUUUUGUUCCCAUUAUAUUUCCGUGUAAUGGAGAUUUAUGGGGUAGUUACGGGCGGGGACUACCAACACUAUCAAAUGUGACCUUUCAAGUAAAGAAAAAGAGGAAUUUUUUAAUGUAAAACGGCAGUCUCCAGAAUCGUUCAAUCGUGUGACUUCUUUAUAGGCACAGGUGAACACUAGGAGAGGCACGGGUGUAUAACUUUACUAAAUUGAAGAAAAGUGCCUCCGGCGCGAGGGCACCUCCUGCUCGCCUUCAGCUCGUUUAAUUUUCAUAAACAUCUUGAAGGGGGGGGGGCAUAGGUCGAAGUGUGUGUUGGUCGUGCAGCGUGCUGGUUCGUGCGGCGCGUUGUCUCUCGUGGUNNNNNNNNNNUCGUGCAGCGUGCUGGUUCGUGCGGCGCAUUGUCCCUUGUGGUGUGACACGGCGCCUCCGGUGCGAGGGAACCUCCUGCUCGCCUUCGGCUCAUUUAAUUUUCAUAAACAUCUUAAAGGGGGGGGGGGCAUAGGUCGAAGUGUGUGUUGGUCGUGCAGCGUGCUGGUUCGUGCGGCGCGUUGUCCCUCGUGGUGUGACACGGCGCCUCCGGCGAGAGGGAACCUCCUGCUCGCCUUCAGCUCGUUUAAUUUUCAUAUAGCAGGUCAUGCAAAAGGCAAGCUGCUUUGUUUCAAAAGGCACGGGUUUGAAGCAUGUGCAAUCACGUCUACUUAAGAGCUAGGCUUUGUUGAGGAUAUAUAGGUUUGUGCGUGCAUGCACAUGUGUGCAUACUACGAAGGCAUUGGUAUGUUGCCUCCGGAGGCACGGGUUUGAAGCAUGUGAAGUCACGUGUGCGUAGGAGCUAGCAGCGGUUGAGGCGCUAUUAGUAUGUGUGUGUGUGGAUAUUGCCCGGAGGCAUGGUGACCCAGGUUUUGGUGGCACAAGGCCGUGUCGCCUCUGGAGGCACGGGAGGGUGGUCUCCAGAGUCACGCGUAAGGGUAUGUGUGUGUGUGUGGAUAUUGCCCGGAGGCAUGGUGACCCUGGCUUUGGUGGCACAAGGCCAUGUCGCCUCUGGAGGCACGGGAGGGUGGUCUCCAGAGUCAUGCGUAAGGGUACGUGUUUGUGUGGAUAUUGCCCGGAGGCAUGGUGACCCAGGCUUUGGUGGCACAAGGCCAUGUCGCCUCUGGAGGCACGGGAGGGUGGUCUCCAGAGUCACGCGUAAGGGUUCGUUUUGGGAGUCACUGCUGUCGUACAAAUAAGAAGAGGCAUUGUUGUUUAUAGUUUACUGGCAUUCUCUGAUGAUGUAAGAGGCACUGUUGUCGAAAUAAUUCUUUUUUCAACAUGAACACAUAAUUUCUAACUACAUUACAUAGAAACAUGAGUUAUUGAUAAACUGUUUUAGUCUUCAUUUUUGCUGAAGAUCUUACUAAUCUCGUCACCCAUUUCACUAGCUUUGACUUGAUUCAUCUCGCUACUUAAGAGAAUGUACAUUGCCUCUGCCCUCCAGUCUUCGACCUCAUCCUGUGAAAUUUUGCCGAGAAGAGAAGUAUAUUAUUAGAGUUUGUGCAUAUAAGUUGUUUAUAAGUAAAUAUAUAUAAACUUACUGUGAAAUCUUCCAGGUCUUCGACAAACUUUUCACCAUUGUAGAGGAAUGCAAGCUUUAAAACAGCAAAUGUUGAUUCUCCCUUCUCUACCACUGGAACAUCUUGCACGGUAUGAAUCUACCAUCUUGUACCCUUGGCAUUCAUUGUUCGUCCUAGUAUGAUGUUGAAGACUUCUUUAAACCUAGGUACCUGGGAAUAUUACAUUUUGUAAUUAAUUGUUUUAAUAUUGCAACUUGUAAAACUGAAAAAAUUGUUAUGUAUAAAUGCUUACGAUUGCCGACUUAUGAACAUGAUAUUCCUGAAACUGUCUUUCUCUUUUUUUUUUAGCAUCUUCAUGUUCCUGAAGAACUCGACAUGCUUCUUUUGGAUCCAAUUUAUCCUUGUCUAUCUUUUCUUUCUCAAAUUCCUCUGAAGUCGUUUCUCGAGGAUCAAUAAUGUGAACUUUGUGUUUGUAUUUAUCCAACACAUAUAGUACAUAGCGGUCAUGCUUCUCCAUUGGAAUGAAUAUCUGCGUACAAAAUACUUGUUGCUUAGAUGACAGUUUAAUAUAAAGUAAUUUAAUAGAACGCAUAUUUUGUGAUUUUGUCAUGGAGGAAAAGGUUGUUACCAUGUUUGCUGUUGAGAGCUUUUUCCGUUGAUUUUCCUUGAGAUACAUGGGAACCAGCUGAUUCUUUGUUUUUUGCAAUUCAUUUUUAAAUUUUGUAAUACUAGUUUUGUGUUCCUUUAAAUCCAAUAUAUGCUGCAAACAAUAAUUACGAUGAAAAAAACUGUUAGAAAAAAGAGCUGUGUAACAAUAUAAAAAGAGUAGGUGUUGCAAUAUAGACAAUAUUUUGCUUCUUAAAAGUUUACCUCUGCAAUAUAGACAAUAUAAAAAGAGUAUGUACUCUGUCGCUCUCUUUUGAAUCUUGUCUGCUUUUCCAGAUUUCUGCUAUGUCAUCGAGCACCCUCUUUUCCAUAUGAUGUGGUAUGUUCGUCUGUGCUGGUCUUGGACCAAAAACUGCCUUCAGUUGGGCUCCAGUAAGUUGCGUGCUUUCACUAUCCUACCGGAUGCGCCUAAAUAUAGUUUUGCUGCGACAGGCAGAUAAAAUAAUUUUGGAGGUCAUGGUCAGUGAGAAACAGAUUUUUACAUUAUUUUUGGCCUCUGUCCAACUAUUUUGAAGUGCAAUAGAAAACAGCUCACUUUUUGUAUUCCUCCUGCCAGCUGUCGCUCAUGACUAGAUGGAAGAGGUCGGGCGCCUCCUUUGUGUGUUGGAAGCAAUGAGAAUGUUUUGGGUAUGGACUGGUGCUUCGUCUUUUUUUCCUUUUUGUUUCAUCUGUUUCUGUCAGCGGAAGCAGAUAUGUAAUAUGUAAGCUCUUGUUAUACGAAAGACAUUGGUGAACCGUGGGAUGGGUAGGUUAUUACAAAAAAAGAUAAGUAUAGAUGAUUUUCUUACCUUUGUUGGUGGAAAAGAACUUUGAAGUUUCUGGUUCGAAUUCUUUGAUUCUUCCAGGUAGAUCCUCGCACUUUACUUGGUUUGUUUCACCAAAUAUGGCUGUAAAUAGAAACUCUGGUUUCCACUCGGCAUCUACGUUGCUUUGCCGCAUGGAGGUCAUUGGAUAUUCUUUUAUUUUUCUUUCAUGAGAUAAUUGAAGUAUUCAAGUAGUGCUGCUUGUAAAAAUUAAAAUUGUUGCUCUUGUACUAUUCACUUACAUCGAAAUCCUCAUCAUCUUUUAUGAGAUCAAUGCCAUUCCAGUAUUUUGCAAAUUGAACCAUGAAGUGUCCGCAUUGGGUACCCAGCUGUUUUGGCACGCAAACUCUGUUAGGUGUUUCUGCUAUCCUCGACCAGUUCGGUUCGCUGUUGGCUCGUAGCUCCGCUUCGCCGUAAUGCUUCUUCAUGAGUGCUUUAAUUAUUUACGGCACACAUUCACUAGAAGAAUCUGUUCGACGCAGGAAGCACGGUGGACUCGGUAGGAAAGAGAGGCACGCACGUGAUGCCCACGAAGGCAUGGGCUAGCACUCUCUGCAGCCACGGUUAUGUACGUUUGUGACUCUCUGUGUUUCAGUCAUUAGGGUCACAGGCACGGGCGUCAAAUCCACAAAGGCAUCAUUUGGUAUUAUAUAGAGUCAUGUUCUGUUGUGUUUGUGUUCCUAAUGAUUCAGACGACUCGUUCAGACGGAGAGGCACGGAUGAGAAGCCCAUGGAGGCAUACUUUAGUAUUAGGCAGGGUCACAAUCAUGCGUUUAUUGCACAUGGUCGAUUGUAUUACAUAGAGUCAUGCUCGCCAGUGAGACUCGACCAGACGAAGAUGCACGGGCGUCUAGCCCACGGAACUGAACCUUUGUCUUACGCACACCCACGGGCGUUUACUCUGUGAGGCACGGAAUUGCCUAUAUGAGAGACGCUGAUUUUAAAGCUGAUUUCCUUGUAUUUAAAAGCACAUACGUGAAGUGCAUAUAGACAUGGUUCAGUACCGAGUUGCGUCACGCUUCUUUCUUGAUAAAGGCGUCGACGUUCGUGGCUAUGUGUGUUUCAGUGUCAAGGGUCACAAGCAUGGGCAUACAGCCCUCAAAGGCAUGGCGUGCUAUUAUAUAGAGUCACACAGAAAGAUUUUCUGAUUGUGUUCCGAAUGAGUCGGUGGACUCGGUCAAAAGGAGAGGCACGGACGUCCAGCCCACGGAGGCAUGGUUUGUUCCUACCCGGAUUCACGUUUGUGCGUUUAUUACGGAAACCUAAUAGAAUCGGGCGACUGUCCUUGUUACAAUUGUUUUCGUUGUAAGAUUUUUAACUCAAAUGCACGAAAGGCGACUUUAUAUGUUUAGUAGCGUCAUGAUCCUUUACGCACGAAGACGACUUUUUGUGUGUCAGUGUUUCAGGUCACAGGCACAGUUGUCAAACUCACAAACGCAUGACGUGUAAUUAUCCAGAGUCACCUUGGUGUCUCUUUGUGUUCCAAAUGCAUCCGUUGACUAUAUUACCAGGACAGGCACUGUCGGGAUGCCGAUGGAGGCAUGCUUGUGUUUUACGCGGAGCCACGUUCGUGCGUUGAUUGCGGAAACCCAGCGUUCUGACGGGCGUCUCCACGUAUUCGGGUGUGAACGCCACGUGGCGCCGCUACGGAAACCCAAGGGUCUGACGGACGUCUCCUCCGGUGAUGCCGAUCUGGUUCGUCGCCCGAGGCCAGGCUCCGGCUAUUUAAGGCGGACGGAUGGCAUCUCGAAACCCUAUCCACACCCUCUUUCUUGGUCUGUCCAGAUCCACGCCACAUAAAGCGGCGCUCGCAGGCCGCGCGAUCCCAGCAAUGGAGACGGAGAUGGAGGUCAACUCCGGUGCCCCGAGCACCAAGAGGGCGAGGCUCGCGCCACCCGCGACGCCUUCCUCUGGUGGUUUGGCGGUAGCGACUGGAAGCGGCGAGGGUGCGCCUACUGGACGAGGAUCAAGAAAAGCAGUCUGGUCCGGACCGCAUCAGCGACCUCCCGGACGGUGUCCUCGGUGAGAUCAUAUCCCGUCUGUCCACUAAGGAAGGCGUUCGCACUCAAAUCCUCACACGUCGGUGGCGCCCUGUUUGGCGCGCCGCUCCUCUGAAUCUGGACUGCUGUGAGAUCCCUGUCCCACGUCUUUUUAACCCUCUAGAUCAAGCACAUUUCGAGUUGGUCACCGCGAACUCCGCCACACCGGACGAACUCGUCCGUGAAGAUAAUUCCUAUGAUGAUUCAUACCUUCCAGAGGCCAUCCUCUCCGGGCGUCAGAGCGCAGUUCGCCGCCUCUGCAUUCCGGCGUCCUACCUGCACUGCAGGCACUCCACAGUCGACGACUGGCUUCGAUCCCCAAGACUGAAAAAUCUCCAGGUGCUCGAGUUUUACUACCUGUUCCCACUAUGCUUGAGACAACAUGACAUAGGGCCAUUCUCAUGCCCUUCGCUCAUGCCAUCACCACCAGAAUUAAACCCUCAGAUUUCCUCCUCUCUCCAAACCAUCGCCUUUACUCUUUGCAAGUUACUAGACAACUAUGUAUGGGUGCUUAAACUACCACUGCUCAGGAAAUUCUCGGUCGUAGAUGUUGAUGUAUCAGACGUCUCAUUACAAAGCAUCAUCAGCUCUACUUCUCCUACACUCGAGUCUCUGCUGCUUGUUUGGAUAGUAAGGCACCAUCGCAUCAGAAUAAACUCACCUAACCUUAUAAGCGUCGGCAUUUCUGGUUACUAUGGGAAAAUUGUUAUAGAAGAUGCCUCGUCACUUCAAUGGUUGCUUUGUGAUGGUGAUUGCAAGAAGUUGCGGAUAGUUAUCACCUCUGCACCUAAACUGCAGGUCAUGGGCAAAUUAUCUAAUAUUUUCUGUGAAUCCGGCAUCACAAAUGACCGUAUAAUUAUUCAGGUGCCGACUUUCAACAAUACUUUCACCUCCAUUCAUUGGUACAAACAAGUUCCAUGCAAUUCAACCUUUACUCUACUAAUAUUAUGUUUUAUUCUACAUGAAGUGUUUGCCGACGGUCAGCACAUCCACAGCGGUUCAUUCUAUCAAGACGUUGUCUAUCAACAUGGAUUAUGACCUGCACACAGUCUUUUCCUUGGUGGAACACUUCCGAAGCUUGGAGAACUUGUAUAUCGAGGUGAUGCUUCUCACACAAAUUGUAAAACACAUACCAUGCAUGGUGUAGAACUCCAUUCAACAAAAAAAAGUCACUUACAUUUGUAUGUAAUGGACAAAGGUGUAUAUAGUCAUGGACCAGUAUUAGGACAAAACUAAAAAAGAGCCUUUAUCACAACAGAGGUUAUAUAAUUAUUCCUUCACUUGCUCUCCCAGCAGAAUCACUCUUUUUGGAGCUUAACCAUUUUAAAUCUUCAUGUUUAUUCAGGAAAUAGCCUCUAAUGAAGAAAGUCUUGCGAACGACUGUUCUUGCAAGCACCAUCAUGACGUUCGUUUGAAGUCACUGACGCUGGAAAUCUAUGUUCAAUGCGAGAAAAGCAUUCGAUUUGUGACAUUCUUUAUUCUCAACGCAGCACAGCUGCAGACUAUGAGGAUCAAGUUUCUUCUUCAGGAAGACUUCACGGAAGAAUUCUACAAACAGCAACAAGACGUGCUUCAGUGUGACAAAAAGGCUUCUAAACAUGCUUGCCUUAGGUUGUCGCCAAGUUGCAACCAUGGGAACUUGGAUCUAAGGCACACAUGCGUUGAGCACCUGGAUUUAAGGGAUCCAUUCACUUGUAGGUGCUGAAAAUAGUGCUGGAGUGAGAUGUUGCCGCCACUUUCCGGUUUGGAAUUUAUGUAGGUGUGGUGAAACAACGCCUAUACCUUUUUGCUCAAUCUGUUACCUUGCCAACAGCGAACUCAGUAUUUCGGUCUAUGGCUAAACGGUCUUUUGCUCAUGCCAUACAUUUCAUUAGCUAAACGGGCUUCAAGUCUCUGCAUCCACGGCUAUGUACAUUUGUGACUUUCUGUGUUUCAGUGAUAAGGGUCACAGGCACGCGCGUCAAAUCCGCAAAGGCAUCGUGUGGUAAUAUAUAGAGUCAUGUUCGCUUGUGCUUGUGUUUGUGUUCCGAAUGAUUCAGUGAACCACGGUUUGUCAGCAAACACACAGACGAUCAUGCCUUCGUAGAAAAGUGUUUCGAGACGCACUGUUCUACCUGUCACACAGGCACGACCAUGGCAAACGCACGGUUUGCCACGAACCACACAAUGGCCGUGAAGUGAUACGACGCGCACUGUUCUAUAUGCCACACAGGCAUGCCCGUGAUUCCACGUGCUUCAGUAGCACGUAAAAUCGUAAUUCUUUCACAGGAAACGCCGUGAACCUACUGCCAGGCACUAUAUCUAUUUGUGAAACAGAAACGCAAACACAACCGUGACCCAUUGUGUUUGAAAUCUUUGCAUCACAGAAGCACCGCGUGAAGGCACAUGAAGUACGGUUGGACACGCAUUGCAAGCACGGUUAUGCACAUGAGGUACAGUUAGGCACAGUGUAGGGACAUAAUUGCAGAUGUCACCGCUGUUGCGCGUUUUUUAAAAGCACGGGCUUGCACUCUCUGUGUUUCAGUGUUUCAGUCAUUAGGGUCACAGCCACGGGCGUCAAAUCCACAAAGGCAUCGUGUGGUAUUAAAUAGAGUCAUGUUCACUUGUGUUUGUGUUCCGAAUGAUUCAGGCGACUCGUUCAGACGGAGAGGCACGGACGAGCAGCCCAUGGAGUCAUAGGUUAGUAUUAUGCAGAGUCACGUUCAUUCGUUUAUUGUGCAAACCGUACAUUUCAUUAGCUAAACGGGCUUGAAGUCUCUGCAGCCACGGUUAUGUGCGUUUGUGACUUUCUGUAUUUCAGUGAUAAGGGUCGUAGACACGGGCGUCAAAUCCACAAAGGCAUCAUGUGGUAUUAUAUAGUCAUGUUCCCUUGUGUCUGUUUUCCGAAUGAUUCCGUCGAUUCGUUUAGACGGAGAGGCACGGACGAGAAGCCCAUGGAGGCAUACUUGAGUAUUAGGCAGAGUCAUGUUCGUGCAUUUACUGCAAAAACAUAACAGAAUUGGAUUCGGAUGUGAACCCUCACUGUUUACUUUGUGAGGCAAUGAAUGACCGAUUCGAGAGACACAGUCCUUAAAAGCACGGGCAAGAACUCUCUACAACCACGGUUCUGUACCAAAGAGCCACUGUCAAACGCAUGGAAGUCAUGCAACGAGGGCCACACUUUUAGUAGUAGAAAAAGCACUUUAUCAACUGGCGUUGCUCCUUUGCUACGCGCACAGUAGGGUGGCUGUGGAAGGCACGUUAUUCAAGCAGAGAACGAACAUCACGAUGCCAGGACAAGGUCAAAAGCAUGGUUGUCAGUCUGCAGUGUCACGGCUAGAAUCCUCGAGACACAUUUCGGUGUGGCCUGUUGAGUAGAAACUCGGUUGUGCGGUCACCGGAGGCACUACGUAACGUCCCGCAAAACAGGUUUGGUUGACCGUUGUGGUGGAUGUCUAUGCUUUCAGCUCUUUUCAUCUCUCCUGUGUCGCAGCAGAGACGCAUGGUUGUAUUGUUACACCAUCCAACUUCAUAAAGAAAGGGCUGCAAACAUUUACAAACAAACCUAUCGCCCUUAUAAUAUUUUCCCAGCUGAGUAAUAAAAAUACCUAAACAAGCAAAAUCUGUUCUGCUUACAUUUGCUUUGUUUCUACAACUGCACCAAAUAAACUUACAAGCCGUUUUUUAUAACCACAGUACGAGGACCAGAAACAGUGCAUCGGCUCAAAUGCAGCUCCAUCAGUGCAAGGCUCAACUGUAGCUCCUCAGUGUGUAUGGCAGGUACAUCCGAGAAGCACCGCUCUACCUGCAACACAGGCACGGUUGUGCAUGCAUUGUGUGCAUGACAGGUACAUAUAUAAGACAGGCACCAUCGUACAUACAACACAGCACGGUUACACAUACAGCACGCAUCUCUUCACUGAAAAAUUAAAUCUACUUUAUGUCUCUUAACCUUGGUGCCACAACAUUUUAUGGUCCUUCGGCCCGUACAAAGCCGCAAAACCACACAUUUCCUUCAUGACUGCACACAACACAAAAACAGACAAGCCUACACACGGUGCAAAGUCUACAACGGUUGUCUGAUAAAGUUUACAUAAAACCCAAGCUCAAAAGAACGCAACAACAAAUAACUCCAUACACCUGGACAACUAACACAAGGCCUGAUUUCAGCAUCCACAUGUGAACGGAACCGUCAAAUCCAGGUACACAACACUCCUCUUCCUUAAAAGCGGACGCGCGUGGCUGCAACUUGACGAUAAUCUAAGACGUGCACGUUUAGAAGCCCUUCUAUGCCACUCCAGAACCCUUUGUUGCUUUUCGUAAAAUACUCCCGUGAACUCUGAGGGAGGGGAGGUAAACUUAAUGGUGAUGGUCUCCAGAUCCUUUGCACUAAGAACAAAGAACGUCGCAAAUUCAGUGUAACUCCCGGAGCGAACAUAAUCUUCCAGCGAUACUGUCCUCAGAUAAACGUCGUGAUGUUUGAGAAACUGCCGGUGCUUAAGACGCCAUUUGUUUGUUUCACCUCGGCAAAUCAACGAUCCCUAAAAUAUAAAUGAUAGGUUCAAAAUACUUAGCGUCUAUAAAAAGAGAUACAGACCAUAAAAAACGAAAUGAAACAAUCAGUUCUACAACCUCCGUAACUAGAAGUUAGACAUAGACUUGUCUAUAUAUGGAUGUAUCCAACAAUAAAUCAUGUGUAGAUAUGGGUGCAUCAAUUCCAGUCAAAAUUAAGACAAGAAUUUUGAAAUGGAACGAGCACUACAGUAUGCACAUUUCUGAAGAUCAUCACCUCGACAAACAAGUUCUCCAGUUUUGGAAAGCACUGCAGCAAUUGAACGACAGUGUCCACCUUAUAAUACAUGUAGAUAAGCAAGGUCUUGACAGAUUGACACAUUGUUGUUAGACUGACUGCCUUCAAACCCUUGAUGAAAAUUAACAGAAGAUGGAUCACAAAACUAAUAGCAUAAAGGUUGGAUGAAAUAAAACUUGUUUCCUCACAAAUAAAGUUAAGCUGGAAGUAUCGUAAAAACUCAAUACCUCAAGACACGUCAGACGACACGGAUAUGGUUCAGACGCAGAUACAUCGGUUACCUCCAAGUCCUGACUCUGCAUGAAGAAUAGAGCAUAGACCAUCAAAUUAAUAGAACAAACAUCGGAACAAGUACAACUCUGUUCCAGUAUGAACGAAAGUCAGUACCUCAAGACACGUCGAGGGAGACACAAACACGAAUUCACCCAACAUCUCCAGUUUAGGUGCAGAGACAACGGUUAUCGAACAGUCGUCAACCAGACAAUCAACAAUCAACCGUCGAACUGAAGGGGCAUCCUCAAUAAUUAGUUCUUCGUGUGGACAACAAAUGCCAAGGCUUACAAGGUUAGACAAGUUUAUUGUGACGCGACGACCUCCUCUAUUGCAAACAAGCAGGAGAGACUCAAGUGCAGGGCAACUAGAGUGGAUUAUGCUUUGCAGCGAGGCGUCUGAUAUAUCAACCUCCACGAGUGAGAGUCUUUUCACCAGUGGUAGCUUAAGUGUCCCUACGUAAUUGUCUGAUAUUUUGCAAAGAGCAAAGCCAAGGGUGUGGAGAGAGGAGGAAAACCGAAACACGGACUCCGGUGCCGAGGGCGUAGUUGAAGUGCAUAGAUCUAAUAGAGUUACCUCUUGCGUCAGAAGUUCUGGGAAGAGGUAGUAGAACUCAAGAACCUGGAUAUUGUUCAACUUCCAAGAUCAGAGCCAGGCAUCAACGGUGGAGGGCCUGCACUGUAGGUAGCACGCCGGAAUAGAGAUGCGGCUAACCGAGCCAGCAUGGCCGGACAGAAUGAAUUCCGGAAGACUAACAACAGGAUUUCAACAGAGCCGCGUUCCGGAAUAGCAUUUGCGAACGCGCCCCUUGGUGAAGGCGGACAGAUGAGAUAUGGUCUCGAUAUAAACUUUUUCUCCAUCGUUAAAAAGACGAGAGACAGAGAUCUCGCGGCAGUCGAGAUUCAAAGGAGCGAUGGGCCACAAAGGAUGCGAGCGACAUGCGAGGAUUCUAGUACGGAUACCAUCCUUGAUGGGAAGACGAGAGAUGAUCUCACCUAGGACGCCGUCGGCGAGAUCGCUGAUGUGGUCCGCACAACAUCCCUUUUCUUCCUCCUCAGAUCGAGAGAGAGCAUGGUCGCCGCUUCCAUCCCCUCCGACGACCAGCACACCUCCAGAAGGCGGCAUCGCCGGUGGCGUCACUCUCGACCUCUUGAUGCUACGAGCAGCGCUUUCCAUCUCCACCUCCGUUGCUCGGGUGGCGCCGCCCACGACCAGUGCUCACUGAGGUGGAUCUGGAGAAAUGGGUUGCAGCAUGUCAAUCCAUGAAACGACUUAAAUACCCACGACGGGGAGCGGAGGGGUCCAGAUUAAUUACUUCUUCUUUUUUUCUUUUUGACAGGAGGGCCCGGGUUAAGUACUACUCGUAGCAAGUCAAUGGUAGAUGGGUGCUUGAAACAUUAAAUAGAACCACGACUUUCAAGGUACGAAAUGCACUGUUGCACACGCAGACCAGGCACGGGCGCGCCCCUGAGUGCUUUAGUUAUUUACGGCACUGAGGCACGGACUCGGUAGGAAAGAGAGGCACGCACGUGACACCCACGAACGCAUGGGCUAGCACUCUCUACAGCCACGGUUAUGUACGUUUGUGACUCUCUGUGUUUCAGUCAUUAGGGUCACAGGCACAGGCGUCAAAUCCACAAAGGCAUCGUGUGGUAUUAUAUAGAGUCAUGUUCGCUUGUGUUUGUGUUCCGAAUGAUUCAGACGACUCGUUCAGACGGAGAGGCACGGACGAGAAGCCCAUGGACGCAUACUUUAGUAUUAGGCAGGGUCACAAUCAUGCUUUAUUGCGCAUGGUCGAUGGUAUUACAUAGAGUCAUGCUCGCCUGUGAGACUCGACCAGACGGAGAUGCACGGCCGUCUAGCCCACGGAACUGAACCUUUGUCUUACGCACAGCCACGGGCGUUUACUAUGUGAGGCACGGAAUUGUCUAUAUGAGAGAAGCUGAUUUUAAAAGCUCAUUUCCUUGUAUUUAAAAGCAUAGACGUGAAGUCCAUACAGACACGGUUCAGUACCGAGUUGCGUCAUGCUUCUUUCUUGAUAAAGACGUCGACGUUCGUGGCUAUCUGUGUUUCAGUAUCAAGGGUCACAAGCACGGGCAUACAGCCCUCAAAGGUUUUCUAAUUACAUAGAGUCACGCACAGAGGUUUUCUAAUUGUAUUCAGAAUGAGUCGGUGGAGAGGCAUGGUUUAUUCUUACCCGGAGUCACGAUUGUGCGAUUAUUACGAAAACCUAAUAGAAUCGGGCGACUGUCCGUAUUACAAUUGUUUUCGUUGUGAGAUUUUAACUCAAAUGCACGAACCGCCAAGUGUGUCAGUGUUUCAGGUCAGAGGGCACCUUCGUGUCUCUUUGUGCUCCAAAUGCAUCCGUUGAUCUAUCACCAGGAGUGGCACGGUCAAGAUGCUCAGGGAGGCAUGCUUGUGUUUUACGUGGAGUCACGUUCGUGCAUUAAUUGUGGAAACCCAAUGUUUCGACAGGUGUCUCCUCGCAUCCGGGUGUGAACGCCACGUGGCACCGCUCCAGAAACCCAAGGGUCCGACGGGCGUCUCCUCUGGUGACGCCGCUCUGGCUCGUAGACCGAGGCCAGGCUCCGGCUAUUUAAGCAGGACGGGGUCUCGAAACCCUAGCCACACCCUCUUCCCCCCUCUGCCUAUCGCCAGGCUAUCCAUUCCUCUUGCUGCUCUCCAUCCCGACCCUCUCCGCCAUGGCUGCGCAGGAGGACACUACUGCAGAACCCCGUGCCCAGACACUGGAGGGGAUCAAGGAUGGCGAGGGUUCCUCAUCUGUAAGUUCACUCUGCUUCCGCUUCUUUCCUUUUUUCUUUCUUUCGGCUACUUGAUUUAGUUGUGAAACGUGAAUAAGCCAGACGGAAUCUCGAAACCCUAGCCACAUCCCCUUCAUCCUUUUAUCCACCUCCAGGCCAUCCACUCCUCUUGCUGUUCUCUAUCCUGACACUCUCCGCCAUGGCUGUGCAGGAUGACACUACUCCAGAGAGCCGUGUCCUGACGCAGGAGGAAAUCUCGUCUGGCCAGGCUUCCUCAUCUGUAAGUUCACUCUGCUUCUGUUUCAUUCAUUUUUUCUUUCUUUCGGCUACCCGGAUUAGUUGUGAAACAUGGAUCAUUGUGGUGAACUUCAUCCUAAGUUGAUGAUAGUGCGUCCUGCCAUCAAUCUGACACCUUCUCUUUUGUCCAGGUGAAGAACCGGUGGGAGGCUACGGAAGCUCACCUCUUGAAGAUCGUGGAGAUAUCCACGAGGUUGUAUGAUCUUCUGGAUGAGAAGACGAAGGCGAAGCUCAAACUUGAGUACGACAAGCUCACGCUGGAGACAUACGUUAUGAUAAAAGAGGUCAAGGAACUUCGCGCCCAGCGACCCUGAUCGCUAUAUCUGAAGCAAUUAAGCAGUGGACUAAAAAGUUUCUUAUUUUGUCUUGCGUCACCUCGUAGUCAGUAACUUUGAUAAAAAACGUGUUUUGGUUUCCUGGGUCAAGUUUAUGGGUAUAGAUGUGAACAUUAAUGUAAUGGCCAAUUCGAGAGGUGCUGUUUUGAAAAGCAUGGGCGUGAAGUCUCUGCAGCCAAGGUUGUUUGUACCAACUAGAGUCAUGUCUUGUGCACACAUGAAGGUGUGGACAUUCCUGCCUUUCUUUGUUUAAGUGUUUCGGGUCACAGGCACGAGCAUGAAGCGCUCAAAGGCAUGGUCGGUGGUAUUACAUAGUCACGCUAGCCUGUGACUCUAUCAGACGGAGACGCACGGGCGUUUAGCCCAUAGAGGCACGCAAUGGCCUAUGUGAGGGAUGCUGUAUUUAAAAUCUUAUUUCCUUGUAUUUAAAAGCACGGACGUGAACUCCCUAUGGACACGGUUCCCUAUUGAGUUGUGUCACACAUCUUUCUUGAUGUUACGUAUAUUAUUUCGAUAUAAAAGGCGUGGACGUUCGUGGCUAUCUAUAUUUCAUUGUUUCACAAUGAAGCACGGGCACACUUUUAAACAAAGCACAAGCACGUCUCGAUUUGCAGAAAAAACACUGUCGUGGUUCUACAGGACGCUAUGUUCUAGGCUGUGUGCAGCAUGUUUCCACCCAAACGUUCACCACAGGGUAACAGACAUACACAGAGGAAGUGCCGUGCAGUGAUAACAAACGCACAGUCUUACAGAUACAAGAGGCACGAGGAGGCAUAUUAAUUAACAUCAUCAGAAAUGAAUCAGAUUAUACAUGCGCACGCAUAUAGAGAGAUGCAUAAAAAGUGGUAUUAACUAAUAAUAGAACUUAACAACAGGCAUACAACAUUAGACUCAAACUUAUAGUAGAACACACACAGUAACUAGAAGUCCUGAUCAUGACAGAUCGACUGGGUCACUGAAAACUCAAAAGUAGUAACAAGUCAAUGCUAGGUGGCUGCUUGAAGCAUCAAAUAGAGCCACGGCUUUGAUGGUACGAGAUGCACUGUUGUACUUGCAGACCAGGCACGGGCGUGCCCCUCCAUGAUUUAAUUAUUUACCGCACACAUUCACAAAGCGUGCCUGUCUUUGUGAAUCUGUUCGACGCAGGAAGCACGGUUGUACAGUCAUCUUCCCUCUGCAAGCGGCAAAAUUUUCCACGGGCACGUUGACAAUUAAGUCACUAGAAGAUUCAAGGCCCUGCCUCUGCUUUGCAGAUGAUUCUGCUAAAACGCGGACAAAACCAAGUAAGUGAAGUGAUGGCAGAAGCACGACUUUUCAAGAACGAGACACACUGUUCUACAUGCCACACAGGCACGACCGUGAUUCCACGUGCUUUAGUAGCAUGUAAAGACGUGAUUCUCUCACAGCAAACGCCAUGAACCUACUGCCAGGCCCUAUAUCCAUUUGUGAAACAGAAAAACAAACACAACCGUGACCCGUUCUGUUUGAAAUCUUUGCAUGACAGAAGCACAGCGUGAAGGCACAUGAGGCACGAUUGGACACGCAUCGCAAGCACGGUUAUUUAAAUUACUUACAGACAUGCAUUCAUAACAGAAGAACAUGUGUAAGAACAGGCGAGGCACCAUUACCACGAAAGCCAUAGUUAUGCAGCCCCAGAAGCACGACCCAGAUUCUGUGCUUAAAAAUGUUUUCGUUCCAUAACGGCGGGCGUGACCAUGCAACCAUGAGAGUCACGGUUGAACACUCACCGGUGGCAUGGCCGUGUCUUCCUGUGGCCUUAGGUUAUUUUUAUCUCUCUGUCACGCAGCAGAGAAGCAUGCUUGUAUGCUUACAACAUCCACGUUCAGAAACCGACGCGGCUGCGGAAAAUAACAAGGAAACCUAUGCCUUUGAUAUUUUUCUCCGCUGAGUAAAAAAUACAUAAAGAAGCAAAAGGCGUUCUUAUUUAAAUUUGUUUUGUUUCUGCAGCAAAUUAACUUACAAGCCGUUCUUAUACCCACAACACAAGAAAAUAAACAAUCGACACCCGCCUGCCCUCCCCACCAAUUGCUUGCUAUUUCAUCGCUCCACGUGCGGCCUUGUUUUUGAAUGUUCAGCGAUCCAUUCUUCCUUCUCGACCCUUGUGCAACCCCACCUUUCUGCGUAGCUAUUCAACCUAUUUACCUGUAAAAUUAAUAUUCAUACAUAAAAACAAAGCGAAAGAUUGCGGUCGCCACUAUUUUUUUGCUUACGUCCUGUUUAAGCUGCAUUAUUACCUUUUAAUUUUUCUAUUCGUACUGUUCUACGGUACCAAAAAGUUUCCACUCAGACCUUUCCUUUCUGAAAAUGGACUGUGCAGAUUCCGUGCCUUGUCCCGGGCUUCCCUGCACGCAUUCUGUGUGCCUGGCUUGUGUGAUGUUCGAUUCUGGCAUAGAUGCAAGACUUUGGUAAAUGCUCCCUGCUGUCAGUGGGGUCGUUGGAGUUGCUGGCGUAUGACGUCUUCCUCCUGGGCUUGGAGUGCAUUGUCCUGAGCCGUUUGAUGUCCUCGAUGGUGUUGUUGGUGUUGUCGGCCAUUUCAUUGACCUUGCCCUCUUCUCCUCCUGCGAUUUCCUCUUCUCCUCUUCAAUCCUCAUCCUCUCUUGGACUUCUGGGUUAUCCAGGCAGUUUGUUUUCCUAUGACCCUUUACUCUACAACAGCCGCACUUGGAUGCAGCUUUGUUGCCUUUUCCUUUCUUCUCAGAACCAGCUUUGAUUUGAUCUCCUUUUUUCGUGCCCUUUGAGCCACUCAUGGGAGGGUUCUUGAGAGUUUUGGCAAGAAUGCAUGUGUCUGGUUCCUCGGCAAGUGCCGCCAUGACUUUUAUUUUCAUAUCUACCAUACACUCACGAAGCACACUGUAUGCCUUCUCUUUUCUGCAAGCAUUUGAACGGAUAUCCGACAACUCAGCGUAAGCGAGGCCGGAUCUCAUAGUUUCAUCGUCUUGUGCGGUCAUGCUAUCACCUUGACUUGUAGACAGAACUUUCAGACUCUCUGAUAGAUUCCUGGUCCAUCUGGGGAUGACAAAGGAUUUUGGAAGUUGAUUGAUCAUGCCUGUUUGGUCCAUCACCUUAAGCACAUGGCAGCACUGAAUGCCAUCCCUACUCAUUUUCUUGCAGCUGCAACUGUAUAUUUCUUUUUGCUCAUCCACAUCUACCCUGAACUCAGACCUGUCAAAUUCCUCGCCCGGAUAUGGUUUCCACACUUUUUCUCCAGGCUCAGUAAUCUUUUAAAAAAAAUACUGCCUCCCCUUUGUCAGGUCAGAGCACUUGAAGUAAGUCCGGUUCCAUAGCUCCAUCUGGAAUUUCCUAAAAAUUUCAUUUGUGUAUACUUGACUUGCUUGUCUUUCAAUCGGAAAACCCGUCUCUAGUGAUGGUGCCUUCUCUUCUGUUCGGUGUCUUUUCUUGUCAAGAGUGGCGAGGCAAUUUUGCUGAAUCAUGUGAUACGCAUCAACAAACCUUUUUAUAGUGUCCUUGUGGUCGACGUAAUUCUUCCACAUUGAAUUCGUGCUCUCACUGCGAGUGGUUGUUGACGAGAAAGGAUAGAAGCAGUCCGUGAAGUAGGCCGGCACGCAAAAAAUUCGGAGUUCCCAUAGCAUGUUCAGGUGUUUGUUGCCUUCCACCUUGUGCAUAGAAAUGGCUUCUUUCCAGGCACGAUCAAACUCGUCUUGAUCUAGUGAGUUUUUGACGAUUCGAAAUAAAUCAUCAGACAUCCCUGGGUGUUGCGCAAACACUGCUGCAUUAUUUUCCUUCUGGUUCUUCCUAAUAUGCCACCAGCAGAACUUGUGCCUCGUUCUCGGAAGAGCUUCCUCUAUUGCAGUCUUCAUCGCCUGGUCCUGGUCUGUUAUUAUGUAUUUCGGCUCUUUACCUCCCAUUGCCUCGACAAACGUGCUUAGGAGCCACUUGAAUGACCCUAUUUUCUCAUCCUUCAAAAGACCUACUCCAAACAAGACGGUCGACCCAUGGUUGUCGACACCUAUAAUUGGUGCAAAUGGCAAGCCAUAUAUAUUCGUAGAGAAUGUCGUGUCAAAAGACACGAAAUCUCCAUAUAGAUCAUAAUUCAUCUUACACAAGGAGUCUGUCCAGAACAGGCUGCGCACUACAUUGUUCUCUGUCUCUUCCACAUGGUGGAAUCCCGGCCUCCGCCUCUGCAUAUCGGCAAACAGUUUCAUGGUGUCUGCGAUAUCAGUGCCGCGCUCUGCAGCCCUAUCCCGGCAUGCAAUGUUGCUUAUGUCAAUCGUGUCGAACAUAAUUUCUCGCCUCGGUUUCCCCAUGGCAGUAAAAAUCCGCAUAACCUUCCUUGGUUCUAACCUCGCCUUCUGCAGCACUUGUAUAAAGAAUUUCUCCUGAGGUGUAAUCUUCUUAUAGCAUCUCAUGAACUUCAGCAUCCAAUCAGAUGGGUGAAGCUGGUGGUUGUGCUCUAGACGCACGUUCUUCAGAUACCAUUUCCUCCUAUCUGUAUCCCUCUUACCUGUUAUUUGGAAUGGGCAGCUUGUCCGGAUCAAGCAGUUGCUCCUUCUCUCCUUAACAUGUCUCUCAGUUGUUUUAUUCUGCCCUUCCUUGGUGCACUGAAACACCUGCUUGUCAAGCUGCUGAUCAUAUGUCGAUCUUCUGCUCGUUGAUCGCUUGGCAGCAAAGCCAGCCUUUCUAGCAUAUCUGUAGAAAAAGAAAAUGCCCUCAUCCAAAGAUCCGAAUACCAUACCACCUUCUAGUUCGACCGCUUCGGUGACCUCCUGAAUCGUUGGGUAUAUGCCUUCUUUAAACAUGUCGUCCAUUUCUUUCUCUACAAUGGUCGGCGGCGCCAUUAUGAUUCUGUCUACCGUGUCUUCAUUCGUCUGAUCGCAUUCACUUCUGACGACAUCAGUUUCAUCGCCAACCACAGGUCCACUUACAGCAGAGCUGCUGCUGCUCUGUUGUUUCACACGCAGCAGCGUCGUUUCUGCAUGGCACGGUCAAAUCCAUAAAUGAGUCUGCCUCUCCACUGUUGCAUUGUGCAAUGCUGCUACCUGUUUCUCCGGCACUCGUGCAACCAAGGGAUUGUGCUGCUUCUACCAUGCAAUCCGUGCUAGCGCUGUACGAUACUUGCUGCUGUGAACGUUGCGUUUCCUUCGAAAUGGAUGGAGAACUAUGAUAUUUCUUUGCCUCAUCUGUUAUCCCCUCCGCCAAAUCCUGAACACAUGGCACGAAACAGAAUUAGAUGUCCAGAGCAGCAUAUGCAUUUUUUUAAUUUCUAAACAAAAGAUUUAUAUGACUCAUCAGGGCUCAUCUGGUAUACCAAAACCAGACCCGUGCCUCUUCACCGAGUAUAAGCGGUACACCAGAUGCACUGUUCACAUUACACCCAGCAGCACGAAUGUGACCAUGCUACACACACAUCUGCACAAAGAGGCACAUAUGUGCUUCUGUUUACACCAUAACCGGAGAGGCACAACAACAUCGUAUACAAAAGAACAACUGCAGAUACAGCCAUCCUCCUGUUUUGCACUUUACCCUGUUCUUCCAUAAAACUGUUUGUGUGUUGAAUUGAAAAAGCAUAGUUCCGACGUCACCUUUUUUUUCUCAUGCCUCUCUUGUCCAGCAAAACUUGGCGACAACCUCCGUGCAUUGGUGAUUUCGCUGACGAUUCUGAAUGCCAUCGGAGAUCCUUUGGAAGGACCCCUCGUGUUGAACGCCACAGGUGAUCCUUUCAAAGGACCUUGCCUUAUGUUUUCAUCGAUCCGUGGACUACCACGAUACUUGCUUCCUUGUUCGUACACCUGCGUGUGGAAGAUACUACAAUUUAAAUAUAGCAGACGAAAACAAAGAAAAAAUUGCUCACAAAAAAAUAUACAUUUGCUUUAAAUGUUGUUGGACGUUCGUAUAUGCUGUCACCUGUAUUGCUGUAUGGUAGAGUUUAUUGGUCCUAUGUUGGAUUUUGUCGUUGGGCUCUUCUUGCUUGUGCAAACCGUACCGAAUCCUUGAACACCAAUGCUUUUGUUGCCAAUGAUCCUUCUGCUUGCAUCAAAGGAAAUUCUGUUACCCUGUACCUCUUCAUUAUGACCGCCUACAAACGCUGGGCCGUCACAACACCCACUCUGCGCCUUUGUGGGCAUCUGUGUCUUCAAACCAAAAAAUAAUUAGAGGCAUGUGCGAGUAAAACUUCCACGUACGUUAAAACCAGCGUUUCAAGUUUUCGCCGUUACCUGCACAAUCUGCUUAGUUGAGUCUCUGCUGCUUAGAAUGCUCCUCUUCGCAGGUGUCUGUUGCACACCAUGCUCCUGGUUGGGACGUUUGCCAAGAACAUGUAUCUCACUCUUGACUCCAAUUAUUCCAGCCCGCAUGGCAUGUGCGUGUUUGGCAGCAUCUGCAUCCUUGAUCUUCUUCUCGUUUUCUAGUAAUUUUUUUCUUCCACCUUUCUAUACUCAACUGCAGAGUAGAUGCACAGGAUAAAUAGAUAUUACAUCAUUCAUCCAGGAUAUAUAAAUCAUUUUUGUUGUUGUUGACAGCAAACGUCCCAGAAAUAAAAGACCAAACACUAAUGUUCAACUGCCUUACUAUUACCUGCCUCCCAUAAUCCUUGCUGAUGUCGUUCAAAGACCGACCGUCCCUGUUGUCCUGACUAGAUGACGCACUCCUGAACAUCUGCCCGAAAAAGAGACGAAAUAAAUAUAAAGGUUAUAAACCUGCAGUAUCAGUGUUGAAACGUUUCGAAGUCGAUCUCAAUCUUUCUUACUAACCUUUUACACUUACAACGCAACAGAGAUAUAUUUUUAGUUCUAUAUAAGUGACAUAUAUAAAUAUACACAUAUAUUAAUUUUUAAUUAAACUACAACCUCAACCAAAGUGAGAUCCUCUGAUGCUAAUUUGCUUGUGCAACACUUAACACAAAGAUAACCAUGAAACCUAACAAAAGUCACUUGACCGUCGACGACACUGACAAGUGGGUUCUCAGUUACUAAUUCCUCUAAGUCUCUCACUAACUUGUGGGGUCGGCCUUAUAUGAGUCCUACGAGGAGUACCUCCAUCUGGGGUGAGAAAAUGUGGUAGGUGGACUUCAAACUCAUACUGACAUGCGGGCUCUCAAAUAGUUCCUCCAAGUAUUUGACUAACUUGUGGGGCCGUCCACAGAUGAGUUCCAGAUCUCUCUCCAUCUAGCAUCGGUGGCGACAGGCGAGGCAUAUUCUGGCUCUCCAAAGGAAAGCCAAUCCUGAUCCCUCCGCAGAGUUCGCUCGUCACCGAAAAAUUAUCGGUCUCCUUCAUCUCACUCGCCAUGGAUCUCCUGUUCAGGUAAUCCAUUGCAUCCUCACCAUGAUUAUGCCACCGAUUCAACGUUUGAACAAAAUAAAUUACUGGUGCUAGCAAUUCCGCGGGCUGCGUACACACCGCAUGUGCGCAACACAGCAGGUGGGGCGCGACUUGAAUAUCGGUUCCGGAUCCAAUUAUCUUCAGCUGGUCCGUGCUCAAACUGUUGCGCCGUCUUAACAGCAGAAGGGUUAUGGAUUUAAAAUUAGGACUCAGCUGACCUCACUUUAAUCAUGCCAACUGCAUGCUUGCGCCGUGGUUUUGCUAAGUUGAGUUAUAUCUCUAGCCAUGCAAAACUUAAGCACUCUCGUGACCACAGAUUAUAUUAGUUGUAGAGCUCAAUGAAACUGCAGUCAAAAUUCACUAUCCUGAUCCCUAACAUGAGGACACAGGUAAAAUUAUUUUUAUAGAUCCGAAUCUAUAGCUGAGAUCCAAAGGACUUACGUCCGUUUUUGCACAGCAGUUACUAACUCAGAGUUAGAAUCCGUCUUAGCUAACCACCCUAUUGAUGAUGGUCUCACAUGGACUGCUAACAACUGUCUUACAUAGCUGACCUAGUAAUGAUGACGUCUCAUGACCUCUUAUGUAGAGUUCGAUGAGAUGGACUCCACCCCACAGCUGUCGGAGACUCAGUCUCAGUCUGUCGAUGACAUGGAGAUUGUCACCCAAGAUUUCAUGGUUCAUGACCAACUAGAGACAGAGAGACUAAGGAUCGAGUUAAAACGUGCAGCACACAAAAAGCUUGUUGAGGAGUACAAGACAAAGAAGCAGCUUGCUGCCUCGAAGUAGGUGUUUUUUAUCAUGCAUGUCGCAUGUGUCGUUGAAAUUUCUUUGGAAAUCAAUGCCUCUCAUUCUAGCUGCAUUUUUAAUCACGGCUUAAAUAUUUGUCUCUGUUUUGCUGACUCGGCGUUUAUAUGUAAGCUUCUGCCAGAAAAGCAUGUGGUUCAACAAUACAUUUGCUAAAGGUCAUUUCUUAUCUUUGUCCACAGAGCUGUUGCAAUGGGUGAAUACGAAGAAGAGUUCAGCACAAAACUUAGCUUCCAGAAAUUCAUUACUGUCUGUGAAAAGCUAACAGAACCACAACAGUAGCUUGUGAGAGAUAUUGGUUUUGGAUACCUUCUAGAUCUGUGCUGUCGCGAGCUUCCAAGGUGUUUCGUUCACUGGCUUGUUCGCUAUUUUGAUUGCCCUUCCAGGUGUUUCAUACUGCCUAGUGGAUACAGAUUCCUUAUCAACUCAUACACCGUGCACCGGAUCUUAGGAAUUCCACUGGGCGGGCAGAUUAUCCCUAGAAAAUGCUCAGAAGCUUUCAAAUGUCAGGUUAAGUCUGAAACUCGGUGUGCUGGGCACGCUCCAAACAUCAGAGAGUUAACUGAUCUCAUAACCCCAGAGCUGACAGGAGAAGUGUUUCAACGGGUUUUCGUUAUGUUUGGAACAGCAGUAUUUCUAUGCCCAACGACAUAUGAUUGCGUUAGCCCCGACUACUUAGCCGCUCUAGAAGGACCAGCAAGUAACAUAUCAUCAUAUGAUUGGUCCAAUGCUGUCACAGAGAAACUGGUGACAUCGCUCCAGACCUUCAAGGACAAAGGAUUCGCACGCGCCCUAUGUGGCUGCCUCCUGAUUCCAGUGGUUCGUUCACUAACUUGUACACUUCUUUAUACCCACAAGCAGCUACAAGAACAAGAUCAAUUUUUACCUCUUCCCCACUUGCAGAUAACGUAUUUUGAGUACCUGGAUACGAAGAUUAUGGACCGGGAACCUGACACUCAUGCAAGACUUGUCAUGUGGGACACAGAGGCCAUUAAGAAUUGUUCUAACAUAGACAGCCUGUCAACAGAGGACAAAUUUUUUGGGAAACACACGGUGAGUCAACUUUUCAUCAUUUUCCUUUGGCGAAGUUUUCGACUCAACAUAAUGACUUCGCUGCCAUGUAUUAAUUUGACUUGACUGUAAUUGUUUCCUUCCACAUGGCAGCUGACAGACAUUAGGCGCAUGCCUUUCCAACCACCGCCUGGCUUUUAGGCGCCAUUUUUCCAAAUGAGUCCCAGACUAGAAGCCUACAUAGAAGAAUUUGUGCCUCAAGAAAAACUUUGUUCCGUAAGUGAUUUCCAGCUUCUGCACCUGAUUUUAUGUUUGAAAUGAUGUUCCCUAAGUUCUUACGAAACAGAUACAUGUCCUAGUGUGUUCAUCCAGACAGUUUCGUAUAGUACUUUAGCUGUGCUUUUGUGUUAAAAUUAGAAGUGCUUCAUAUAGGACGUUAGCUGUCCUUUCAUGGUCAUCCAGACAGUCUCCUAUAGUACCUUAGCUGUGCUUUUGUGUUAAAACCAGAAGUGCUUCCUAUAGGACGUUAGCUGUGCUUUUGUGUUAAAACCAUAAGUGCUUCCUAUAGUACGUUAGCUGUGCUUUUGUGUUAAAACUAGAAGUGCUUCCUAUAGGACGUUAUCUGUGCUUUUGUGUUAAAACUAGAAGUGCUUCCUACAAGACGUUAGCUGUGCCUUUGUGUUAAAUAUAGAAGUGCUUCGAAUAGGACGUUAGCUAUGCUUUUGUGUUAAACAUAGAAGUGCUUCGUAUAGUACGUUAGAUGUGCUUUUGUGUUAAAUAUAAAAGUGCUUCCUAUAGUACGUUAACUGUGCCUUUGUGUUAAAUAUACAAGUGCCUCCUAUAGUAUGUUAGAUGUGCUUUUGUGUUAAAACUAGAAGUGCUUCAUAUAAUACGUUAGCUGUGCCUUUGCGUUAAAACUAACAGUGCUUCCUAUAGCACGUUAGGUGUGCCUUUGCGUUAAAUAUAGAAGUGCUUCCUAUAGUACGUUAGCUGUGCUUUUGUGUUAAAUAUAGCACUGCUUCCCUGCGGUGGUAGAUCAACCAUGCUUCGUAAGGUACGUCGGGUGUGCUCUUUCAAGGAAUGUGUUCACCACGAUUCAUGGACUUUGUUACCCGCGCUUCCCGCAGCACAUCAUGUGUCCUUCUGCGCACAUUAUUCCAUGCCCUUUCUGCAAUUAUUGACAGAACAUACAGUAGUUCACAAGAUAUUUUUCAUUUUCGGUAUUAAUAACUUCUUUUCAUUCUUGGUAUUAAUAAUUUCUGAUGGUUUUUGUUUCAAUUCCAGGCCAAGGCGAAAAUUGCCAAAGUUAUCAAUGAAAUGUACACAGAACUUUUCUCGCGGUUUCAACCACUUCUCGAGCAGAAAUUGGAGAAGCUCCUUUCACUUGGUAGGGAUCUUAGUGCAAAAGAAACCAAGACCAGAGACCGGGGCAUUUAUUGUAACUUGCAACAGGACAACUCAAAUGAAAAAGAAACUUUUUCAUCACUCCCUUCAACAUAUUCUACGCUUCCAAGUUCUAGCACAACAAGCAGUCAAAGUUCUUCCAGCAGUGGCUCGACCAGUGUCCUUCACGCCACAUCAUACUCCCUGGAAAAUUUAAAGGGUUGAUGCGAUACCCCUGACCCAGAAUCCCAGAAUCCGUACGACAAAGAACAGUCCCAAAUUCAUCUAUCUUCACGCCUAAAAUCAUCAACCCAGAUUAAGUUGCUACUGGAGGUGAACAUGAUCGACCACAACAAAGAGGACAUUGAUGAACAAGCCAAGAUUCAUUUGGACAAAGUGCAUAACCAUCUGCACAACUGCCUUGAUGGCUUGCCGGUUCAUGAGCCCUUUGUGUCAGCAACUGAGAUGCUAGAGAGCGGGGCAAUUAUAAUGACAGGUGAAAAUUCGUCUGAGUGUUCUGUAUCGAUUGAAACCCAAAAUUCUGCUGGAGGGUCUGCAGACCACAACUCUCUGACAAGCCCACUGGAAAAACUCUUGGAGGAAACAACAAAACCUACUGCAACAGAAACAUCAGCCUCGCACUCUGCGGUUGACAAACAAUUACUGACUGAUCCAAUCUCAACAGAUACACUUGGAGCACCUGUUUAUCACAUUGGGAAAACGUCAGCAGCUACUGCAUGGUCCAACGGUUCUGACAGCGCUCACAACAACUCUUCAACCAACACAAAGAGCCUCACUGUAUCCCAACCUGCACAAAAAUCAAACAAUGUCACUGGACAACGUUCUUCUUCGCUGCCGGAAGAUAAGGUCCAUCUUGUUUCAACUUUGAGUGACGAGAAGAACAUUGCUGAAACAGAACGCACAAGAGCUACUUCCUCCUUUGCUCCUACAGUAGAAGUCCCCAGUGAUUCUGCCAGCGGUUCUGGCUCAGUACUGGACACGGGAAAAGCAAUUCCAUCCACUAGUGAUGAUCCACUGGUUGCUGCAGCAUCUGUCAAUGCAGAAGAUAAUAACAUUGCAGAAGAACAUGAACAAUGUACGAAGCAACCACCUAUUGAUCCCACAGACAGCGUCCCUAUUACCACAAGCGCACAUCCGCCAGAACUGGAACCACAAAUGGCAGCUCACAAGCGGUCCUUACAGCAGUCAGAAGAUCCUGGUAACAAGAGUACAGCGCCUCCUAAGAAAAGAGUUAGGAUACUGGAGACUCAGCAUAAUUCAACAGAAACUGCAAACAACCAUUCUCUACAUGCUGACAACCGUAGAGGCCUCCUUGAUUGUGGAUUCAUUGAUGAUGAUCAAGUAUGGUCUGGCCCAUCUAUCUAUGAACAACUUGACAGAGUCAUUGAACAAAAAAAGAAACAACCCUUUCAUAACCAAGUAGCAUCACAACAAUGCCAACCUGAUACUGUCUCACACUUGGCCAAUAAUUCAAGCUCGUCAGCUAGAUCUUCCCUUUCUAACUAUCCAGAGCCACCUAUACCCAGCAGAUCAGGAUCAAUGUCAGGCGGUAGCCACCUCACACAGGCCUUUGAUACGUCAUACUCUACAGGUUUAACUCAAACUGUCUUGUCCCAAAGUUUACCAGCAACUGCUUUGUCCCAACACUACAACCAACAAGCUCCUAGUAUCAAAAACCACUUCUACCGACAUCCUGGUGCUCAGAAUAACGGCGGUUCAAACAACAGCCAGCGCUCACCAUAUGCGAUGAACAACCAAAGUCACAAGCAGUACCAGCAACAAACCACUGUCCGUGAUGCCCACUACCCCCAACACAAUGAUGCUCAGAAUAACAACACUACACGGUGCCAACAACGCCAGCCUCAAGAGCAGAACAAUGAGCAACCACACAGAGGCGAGUCUAAUGGGCAAAGUUACAGUGCCUUGCACCAACAGUUCAACAACAUGCAGUAUUCCGGCCAUCCUCUCCAGCAUUUUCCAACAGAUAUUCCUUCAAGCUCAACCGAUGAUCCAACUGUCAGAACAUUAGAACUGCGCAUGCAGCACCAACCACAAUGCCUGUUCCAAAGAAACAACAAUUAUAAUGAGGGUCGUCUGCAACUUAGUAAUGGUCAAUUGAACUCCGCAGGUCAUGUCUUCCAGCCUCAUCAACAUCAUUCUGAGCUAGAACAAACUCGAUUCACUGACCAAGGGAAUGACCAUCAAGAUCACUGCCAACUUUUAUAAAUAAGAGACUCUACAAUGGAGGAGAAAGAAGUGUAUGAAACAAUCGUCGACAAUACGCCAGGUGUCAAGCAAAAUGAUAGGUAAUGAAUUCGUUGUUCCUGUUACAGUAAAGUUUUGGUCCCUUCGUUUACUAAUGCAAUAUAUUCUGCCUGAAGCUAUCAUAUUCAAAUGUUUCGGCUCGAUUCUUGUACUAUUGUAAUUGAAUACUAAUCAUUUCCUCUUAUGUUAAAAAAGAAAAUCUUAUGAUUUAAAAUUCAUUUGUUUUUUUUUUGACAGCAAGAGGAUAUUCUUCGUCGAUCGACGUUGGGCCGAUCAUCAAACUUUAGGUUUGUCAAUGAAGGUAUACAAAUAUAUCAACUAAUUCGUGGUCGAUGCUUACUCAGCGUUGCUUAUGAAAGAACAAUUCUACGCAACGCCAACAUUUGUGCACAAGCAUAUAAUGUACAUUGACGCUUCUGUAAGUUCUUGCUUCUCAUAAAUAAUAAUAACAAACCACAUUUACUACUACUACCACACUGAGUGACACAGCUUCAAUUUUCUGCAGGAUAAAUUUAAAGUUCUAGGAGCAAGCACAGAACUACUCAAGGAACACAUUGUGGAAAAAACUAUUGGGUACAGGCUGCCCAACAAAUGUAACAUUGUGAGUUCACCCUACUCACUCUAUCUGCUCAGUGUUCGUCUUUGAUUGUACAAGUUUUUCUUGUUACAAUGAUAUUAUUCCAUGUUAAUUGUUUUAGAUCUUAAUACCUGUGAGAAAGGAUCCACAUUUUAUCUACCUCAUCAUCGCGAAUCUUGCAAUGCGUCGCUUCGAAAUUCUGUGUCCUUAUAUCAAUUGCGACGGUAUAAAGGAACACUCAGACAUUGUCAUCGAAAACUUCAAGAGAGCUUACCAUUCUGCUUACAACAACUAUCCUCACACCAUGGCCUCCUUUCAUGUCAAACCUGUGCAGAGUGUAUGUAACUCAGACAGAGAGUAAGUUUCUUUUAACUGUAGCUCUGCCUCAUUUAAACCAUGCAUCUUUUUGUUCCACUACACAUCCCAUAUCUACUGUUCACCUUCUAUUCACAGACAUUAAUGCUCUCAAUUUUCAGGGAUGACAGUGCUAUUUACACCAUGCAUUUGAUGCCGCUCAUUAAUUUGAAUAAUAAUUCAUUUUUUAUCAAUAAUGUAAGUUCACUCUCAUUGACAACACAUCAACAUACGUUCAUCCAAGCCAGCUGAACAUUAAGUUUUACAAUAAAUUUUAUUAGUUUGCACAGUUAUGUGUUUGCAGAUCCAUGUGAAACCGAUGAGAGAACAACUAACUUUCAAAAUGAUAACAUCCAACUACAACACAUGCCAUGUAUUUGAGGCACUGAGCAUCGUCCUCGACAAACACAAUAUCCGGCGCGAAAGAAGAAGAGUUGGAAGAAGAUGACUACUGCUUAACUGUGCCUUAAUUUAGCUGGAGCCAUCCGAACAUUGUUUCAGCCAUAUCGACUCAUAUGUAAUCACAACAAUGUUUCAGCUAUUUUUGUGUCCGUCCAAGAUAUCUGCUAUGGAUCCCGUUAAACACAGCUGUGUGUUCAAAAUGGUCAAGUCUUAAAUUCCUGAACAGCAAACACUUACAAAUAAGAAUCGUAUUUUUUCAAAAAGUUCUAAACAUGAUAUUCAAGACAUCACUUCCUUGCACUAGAACACCACUCACUUCGAGUAGACAUAAUAAAAGAAACAAUUGGAACACAGAGGAAAAACACUAUCGAUUCGUAAGCAUCUGACGAAGGAGCUAAAUGACUCACCUCCAGUAAUCCGGGUCACAGAGGCACUGUCGUGCCUCUUAUCCACGUAGAACGUGCCUCUCUUACCACGGACAACUAAGCUGACACACACAAGUGCGCCACCAGUUAACACAGGACCGUCCCUUCUCGAUAGCUGGUCCCUCUCCAAGCCAAAUGAGUCAUGGAAGCAUGACCGUGGCUCAAGUUAAUGAAGGAAGAACCACCUGUGUGAUAGACAACUAAACUGAAAAAAUACCAAAACAGAAGAAUGACCGUGACUUCAACUAUAAAAGGUCCGUGACCUCACAAGUUUCAACGACGAGUCUCUCUCAGCAAAUAAGUGAAAGCAAACGUUUCGAAAGAAAGGCACGCCCGUGCCUUUGAAUAACAUCAUAGACGUGCCUCUCCGAGCGAACGUGUAAGAGAAAGCAUUUGCGAACAACAGACAGAACUCUGACUCAACAUAACAUAGGACAUGCCUCCACUAACUAGACAGACGUGACUUCACUAGCAGACUAACUAGAAAUAUUACAGAACAUACAACCAUGACAGUAACUCAUACUAACAUAACGCAGUCCCUCUCCGAAUUUAAUACCCAAAGGAAGGAUAACGCCUCUACCAAACAUACGACAAUGCAUCCAAUGCCUUCACGGCCAUGCCUUUCAAAAUCAAAGUACCACCACAUUAAUUGAAACAUAGAAACGCAACCGUCGCUAACACAAUACUCCCACAGCAAGUAUCACACUGGAUUACCGACCCUAAAACAGACAACAUAUAUUGAAACAGACAACACAGUGAGAAAAUCUGAAGAAUCUUAAACACACUCAAGCUCUGCAUAAAAACAUUUCAAACACACAACCACAAUCGUAUAUUCAAUAUAAAAACAACCGUGCCAAACAUAGUACAAACACAAAGCGAAAAAUCAUAGAGGAAAAUAUUCUUGAAGGCACCCAAUCAAGAAAACCACAAUGGAACGAAAAUAAACUUAAAUUUCCAAACUAGUCAACUCCAUCCGGUUCAAAAUAAAACCACCACAAUUACAAAUUCAUCAGUCCAUGUAAUAUUACCCCAUAAAAUAACUAUCAAAUAACUAAUUCAUCACACAAUCCAUCUUGCCAGCACUUCCACCUGGACUACUCCUCAGAAACUUCCUCGCCAUCUGAGAUCAGGAAGACAACGACGAUGCAGGAUGUCCCUCAUCGACAGAGACCGGCGGUAUAGCUCAUAGCUCACAUACCCUUCCUAAAGGAAAAGCAAAUGAAAACAUGAAUAUACAAAAAAAUAAGUACUGUUCUACCAACAAAGGCAGAAACUAACGAAAAUGAAAUCUUCACUUACAGUAGCUCCAUAUUUCAGGUGAUCAAAUUAAAGUAAGUGGCUUCCAAUCCCAGUAGUGACGAAGAAGUUCUGGAAAAGAUGACUCCAGCUUCGAAUAAGAUUCGUCAAUGAUGGCUCCUGCUAAGUCCUCCACGAGUCCCUUUCUUCGCCGCCUUUGAGCAUAAACUUCUCUUGGAUGUCGAUGUGGUACCCUUCUGGAAUUCUGAUGAAAUCUUGAAAAAGAGCAUCUCUAAUAUUCCUGACGCCCAUACUAGAGAAAGUUAUACCUCUAUUCUCAAGGAAAUCCUUCAGGGCAGGACACUCCGUCCUGGCCCUUCAGAAGUGAUAGACCAAAACAAGAUUCCGCAUAGCCAGUUGCAUGACGGCGACUUUUCUACGCCCGUAACAAUCCUUUCGCGUGAACUCGAUGCCAAGACCAAUAAACUUGUGCUUCUCCUCGCACAACUAGUUCUCGUACAAGGCAAUGAUCUCCUCCACCUUGCCAGGCUCGUUGGUGUACCACACGUCGAGCUUCGUGUUACCAUCGGCAACUAUAGGAUGGUACUCGGUGGUGUUCAAAAAGUCAUCCAUGGCAGCGAGUAGCAAGGUGCCAAUGGAGAUUCCGGAGACCCAUGCGACAAGGUUUGGGAGUGGUGAGGAGGGUGGGAACUGACUGAUGUUCUAUGGCUACAAUACGACGUGAAGACCUCACAAACACGGCCAGUAUUUAACCUUGGCGAGGGACAUUUGAGUUACAAUGCGCAUUAACGUGUGAACUAGGAACAGCGAAUAGACGGUUGUGCUUCCGAAGCUCAUGAAACCAUGCACUUCGUAAAGUCACGGCUGUGCACAAAUAUUUGAUGCCGUGGAGAAAUCGAGGAGCCUCUAACUUUAUUUUACGGUAACUGACACACGGAAUAGUCACAUCAAACAGCCGGCACAUCGGUCAUCAAUUCCUCCUUUGAACAAAGACCACCGACGAAAGAAUCCAAUGAAGCAAACGAACAGCCAGCCGUACACCUUAGAUCCGAAGGCCAAAACUCAUCUGUGCCUCAUCUAGUUAGAUUCACAACAUCUGUCCCUCUAUAGUCAAGGCUGGUUUCACGUGAGGCCCGGGUAUGCAGGCACAAGACGCACAUACAUGUCUAUCCCACAGGCACGGGUAUGCAUGCACACGACGCACAUACGUGCCUAUUCCACAGGCACGGGUAUCACCACAGGCACAUAGAGAUACAGGCAGCAACUCGCCGGAAACACGUGAAUGCAGGCAACGAAGGCACGAAAACGUAGCCUCUACAGGCACGUGCUUCGGCUUGGCAAGGCACGAAUACGGCCUUGCAAUUGACGUUCUCGAGCCAUGGCUACACACCCUCUGCGUACAGACACAGAAUUGCAGCUUCUCCGACGCACAAGCACGGUUUUCGAAUUGGCAUUCUCGAGGCACAGGUACAAAUCCUCUGGAUGCAAAAAAGAGAGGUGGCAGAGGCAUCGGUAAGAACACUCUGUUCGAGAGGCGCAGUUGCAAACUCUCAAGAGGGACAGCCAUGUGACACCGUAGACACAUAGAGUCGUGACGUGUAUCACGUCAGAUACAUCAAAUACAAGCAGCGAAUCAACGGGAGAAGUGAAAGAGCCACAGUUUUAAAGUGUCCAGAGGCACGGGCGUGUAGAAGCACAGGCACGACAAGUCACAACCACCGCAUCCCCUCACGGACGGGCGUCUGGCACCACAGGCACCUAGAGUCACAGCCAGCGUGUCUCCUGAGACAAGCGAAUGCAGGUACAGGACGCACAGAACUGAAGCGUAUACAGGCACGGAAUUGCGGCUUUUGGCGCACAUGUACGGCUUUGAAAUUGGCAUUCUCGAGGCACGGGUACAAACCACCUGGACGCAUAAAAGAGUGGUGGCAGAGGCACGGUUGAGUAGUCUGAAGAGAAACUGCCGUGUGACACCACCACAUAGAGACAUCGCGUGUGUCACGUGAGGUACAUGAAUAGCGGAAAAGAAGCCAUGACAGUGAAGCCUCCACAGACACGGAUGCCGAGCUUCUAGAGGCACGGUCCCGAAGAACACAAAGACAGGAAACUGAAAGUGUUGCCUCGUACGUUACCAGACGUGCCUCUCUUGUGCGAAUGUGUAAAACACAACAGUACAAACACAAACAAACGGCAGUGAAUAUAAGCCAAACAAAAAACACGCUUCUCCCAAACAAUACAUAUGCGUCCCCUCACAGACGGGCGUCUGGCACCAGAGGCACGUAGAGUCACAGCCAGCAUGACGCCUGAGACAAGCAAAUGCACGUACAGGAGACACGGAAUUAAAGCGUAUAUAGGCACGGAAAUGCGGCUUCUCGUAGUUCUCGAGGCACGGGUACAAACCACCUGGAUGCACAAAAUAGUGGUGGCAAAGGCACGGUUGUGUAGUGUCAAGAGGAACUGCCGUGUGAAACCAGCACGUACAAACAUGGUGUGUGUCACGUGAGGUACAUGCAUAGACAGAAAGAAGCCACGGAAGUGAAGCCUGAACAGACACGGAUGUCCGGAUUCUCAAGGCACGGUCCUAAAGCACACAAAGACAGGAAACUAAAAUGUUGCCUCGUACGUUAGCAGACGUGCCUCUCUUGCGCGAACGUGUAAAAGACAACAAUACAAACACAAACAAGCGGCACUGAAUAUAAGCCAAAACAAAGCGCGCUUCUCCCAAGCGAUACAUAUGCGCCACUUCAACAGGUUAUCUAAAAGUACAUGAACUCGCGCAAACGUCAACAAUGAACUUGUAUCAUGAAAAAACAUAAGAAAUUAUAUUCACAUAACAUGAGACGGUACUCCAUAGGUUUGAACUAAAAGUACUCAUUAAUUAUACAAAAAAAAAUGAAAGUCUUCCAGGAGUCCAUUCUGCUCAGACCACCAUGACCAUUCUACUCAGUUGGAGUUCUGCUCAGAAGCAUCAACGACGUGUGCGGUCGGGAAGACAACGAGGAUGCAUCAUGUCCCUCAUAGACAGAACUCGGCGGUGGAGCUCGUAGCUGACAUACCCAUCCGAAAACAAAAAGCGGAUGAGAAUGAAGAUAUACGUAAAGGGGAAAAAGUACUAUUGUUGCAAUAAAACAAAAAUAUAAAGACAGAAAAUCAUAAAAAACGAAUUUUUCACUUACAAUUGCCGCAUAUUUCAGGUGUUCAAGGGAAAGCGGCUUCCAUUUCCAGUAGUCAUGCAGACCUUGUGGAAAAGACAACUUCAUACUCAAGUAAGAUUUGUUUAUGACGGCUCCUGCCAAAUCUGCCAUGGAAUCCCUUAGAUUGCCUCCUUUGAUCAUGAGCUCCUCUUGAAGGUCGAUGUGACACUCUCUUGGGAUUUUGAGGUAACUGUUUGCAAGAAGAUCCCUAUCGUUCCUGACGUCGACACUAGCGAAAAUUAUACCUUUGUUCUGAAGGAAAUCCUUCAGAGCAGCGCACUCCGUCCUGGCCUUGCACAAGUGAUAGACAAGAACAUGCUUGCGCAUCGCCAGUUGCAUAACGGCGACUUUUCUACUACGAUCAAAAUAAUCCUCUCGUGUGUACUCCAGAUCAAGACCAACAAACUUGUACCUGUCCUCACACAGCCAUUCCUCAUAGAGAGUAAGAAUCUCCUCCACCUUAUAGGGCUCGUUGGUGUAUAACACCUCGAGCUUGGUAUUACCAUCGGCAUCUAUAAAGAGACGCUCAGUAGUGUUCCUGAAGUCGUCCAUGGAAGCGAGGGUGAGACGACAAUGGAGUUUGGCUGUGCUUCUCGUACGAGGCGAGGAUGACGGGAGCUAACUGCACUUCUCUGCAGAGAAUAAGAAGCGAUAAACUCCCGCAAUAGACCACUACUUAACCUUGGGGAGAGACGACUCGGUUACCAUGUGCCCAUUAAAUUGCAUCGGGAAUGGUGUGAAUGGACGCUUUUGCUUCUGCAGCUUAUGAAACCAUGCACUUCAAAAGUCACGGCUGCCACGUUGUAAUCGAGGAGCCUCUAGAUUAACUCUAGAACGGUAUCUGGCACAAUGAAUACUAACAAUAAAUAGUCAUCCCAUCGGUCACCAGCACAUCUUUUGACCGAGAGAACAAUGAGAGGAAGCAAACAAGAUGACCCCGUCGUACAAAUACUACACGGGGACUGAACAAAAAUAGAAGCACGGUUCGGCCAGCACAAAAGCCACACGCGUGCCUCCACUUUGCUUAAAGACAAACCUCGGUAAGUCAACGGACCUGCAUCUCUAUGUCUGCAUACCACCGAAAACAUUGCCAAAACAAAAGCACGUCCAUGCUUCUCACAUAGAAAUAACUGUGCGCUAUCAUACAUAUUCCCGCCUGAACCCAACGUACAUAAAAACAGUGGCUCCCUGGUUCAACGACUGCUUGAAAAAAAUUGCAAUAACAGAGUCACGAACCGUGACUCCAUUCCAGAUACAAAAGUGCCUCUCAUUAGGAACCAUCAUGCCUCUCCUCAAUUUUCCUCCCCCGACGUAUCGACCAUGCCUCUCCUGCUACAAUGACCGUGCAUCUAAUAACAUCAUCACCGUUCCUCUCCUAAAGACACACCCAACCAUAUCUGAUUAAACAUGUGAUUAAAAAAUUAAAACACAGAAGCACGAGUAUGCUUUUCAGUAUGUAUAACCGUGCCUCACAAAAAGUAUGUGAGGCAGGAUAGGCACGUAAAAGACUCCACUGGGAGGCAGCACAGCUGGACAACUAUAAUGGGAGGCAGUUGGACGAGUCAAACAUCUCAUGUCGCCACAACACCUCGGAAUGCACGCACACCAUUCGCAGAAUAAAAAAUAAAACAAGAAGCACUCAUUAUUACUCUUGCUCUCUUCCGUCUCCUUUAUAUUUCAAUAAGCUCCGACUCCCUCAGCCACAUCACAACUCAUUUGCCUUCUCCAUCACCUGCUUCUAGGGUUCGUGCUUCUUCUCCAUCGCCCGCUUCUAGGGUUCGUGCUUCUAACCCGCACACAAUCGAUUAAUUUCUAAGCCAUGCUUCUGUCGUAGAUUGAUGGCCGUGGGUGCUUGCCCUAAGCUUCCCAUCACAACCCAUCUGCCUUACCCGUCCGCCUACUUCUAGGGUUCGUGCUUCUUCCCCGCACAUAGUCUCAUUUCAAACAAGUUAUUGUAGAGUUUUUAUUGGGUCUCUUGAUUAACUUCUAAGCCGUGCUUCUCUCGUAGAUUUGCUAGCCGUGUGUGCUUGCCCUAAGCUUCCCCUACCCCAAUCUCCGUUCGUCAACCCUCGUUCUUCUUCUCUCCCAGGUAAAAAGCAUAUGCGUAAGCAGCAUGCUCCGAUCCGUAUUUACGUUUGACGUUUAGGUUUUUCAUUUGAUAGUUAUUGAAGCAUCAGAUCCGGUACAACGACUUCAUUCUCUAAAGGAAUAUAAAAACCAUUUGAAAAUCUAAACAAGUGUUAUAAACUCUGUCAUACUGCUUUUCUGGAAGGAGUAGAUGAGAAGAUUUCUGGUAAAUUUGUAGUUGUUGCCUGCCUUCAAUAUGACUAACAUAGUUGAAGCUAGUCGUUGUCUACCUUCGACGUUGAAGCUUGUUUUCAAAUUGUUAUGAUAUUCUUGUUUUCUUAACAUAGUUGUUCUGAAUUAUGUAGGUAUGAUUUGCCGUACCUGCCGCCAACCAGGUGGCCCUUGCGAACCACACCCUGAAGUUCUCCAGGAGUUUGAGAUUAUUCUUGAUGAAAAUUGCUGGAGCCGCAUGGUUAGUAAGCAUCACUAACAUAUUAGUUGCUUACAACACAGUAGAAAUCGUCACUGUCACUCAUACCCCCUUGCACCUACACUAGGUUCCCCUGCUGCCACUUCUUCGCACCUGCCUUGUGUUUUCAUUUUCCAUUAGUUUGCCUGCCUAUGCCCUGAUUAAUAUAGUCCAUUAGUUUUGCCUGCCUAUGCCUUGAUUACUAUAAUGCAUCUUCAGUUCUAAUUAAACUUAGUCAACAUAUGCCAAAAAUCUGUAUCCAUUAAUUAAUAAUACAACUAUGUUGUUAUCUGUAAUUCUUAUCAAAAAUUCAUAUCCAAUUUAAGAAAACUUUUAACAUUAAUAGUACGCGAGUUCAAAUUUAUACUUACAGGUUGUUAUUUGCACUAUUUUUUCUAGUAUGUACCUUGUAAUAUCAGAGCUUUUCUCGCUGAAUACAUUGAAGAGAGGAAGAAAGAAGCAAGAAAAUUGCGUAAACAGCAGGUAGGGCCAGCCUUUCUUACACAUGAAGGAAGGUCUUACAAUGCUUUGUUUAAGCAUAGGGCGAACUACACAAAGUUCUGCGGGCUGAGUGGAACAUCUUUGCGGCUGAUUAUGAACUUCGUGCUGGAGACCGCAUAGAAUUUGAACUACCAGGCGAGGGUCUCAAUCUCGAAUUACAAACAUAUCGGGAUGACAAAAGGCUGCUUCCAUUACCCCACGUUGGUAGGUAUUUUAUAUUAGAAACUUAUCUUCUUUCACUGUAAUUUUAUAUGCAUGAAUCAAACUGAAUAAUAUUAACCCUGUGUUGGAUAUAACUUUAUCUAAUUAACUUUAAAAUCUUUUUCUUUUUCUAGCUCUCGACGAUCUUUCUUCUGACGAUUUCGACCAUGUUCACUGCUGUGUCUACUCUAAGGAUAUUGAGCUUACCUAUGAUGAGACACGAUUCUUUCUACAACACCUUUUCGGAGAUACUUUCAUCCGUUGCCGUCCAUUUGUCCACGUAUUGACUCCCACUAACACCAAAGACUGCGUCAUGGUUGGUUACAACUGUCCUUGUUAAAAUACCAAACGUAUUUUGCUCAUAUGUAAAAUUAUAAAGAACCUAUUUAUUCAAACCUAAAACAACAAAACUUUUGUUGUUCUCUUAAUAUGUUGUUUUAUCUGUUUACACACAAACCUGAACAUGCCAGGAAUUAUAUUACUUUCAAUAUGGAAUUUCUUAAUGUUUGUGCACUCACCAUAUUCAGCCAUUCUUUUAUUGUCCAAGUGACAAAUCAACGAUUUUAAUUUCUAUUUAAUUUCGAUUUCUUCUAGAAAAUUCCGAGGAGCAUUGUCUCGACACUGAAGAGAUGGGUGGACAUGCCAACCAAUGGCAGGGUGACCCUUGAAGCUCCUGAUGAACCUACCCAUGUCAUCACUCCUUCGUCGUACUACAUCUCCAAAAAUGACGGCAGGAUGGUAAUAGAAAAGUCUUCUUUCAGAGACUUCAUAUCAGCUGCAUCCUUUGUUGAAAAGAACGUUGUUCUAAUCACUUUCAAAGAGCGCCAUGACCGUACUGUGUCCAUCAUCAUUCAGCGCAUUCUGUAGAUUCCGUCGGAACCAGCACCUAAAAUGGAAGCAAGCAGUGUAUCUCCUAGGAUGUCAGCGCUCAUUUCAUGAUGAUGCCUCCAGCAGCAAAACACUGGUUACUAUAAGUUUGCUAGUUAGGAUGGUAGAGUAAUGUAACUAUUAUGGACCAUGUGCUUGCUUGAACUAUCAGAAUGAUCUUUUGCAACUUAUGUAGCUCUUACGGACACUCAACUUGUUGUUUCAACCAUCGGAAUGAUCCUUUGCAACAAAUACUAUUUGAACUAUCGGAAUGAUUCAUGCGAAAAAAUCAUAAUUCAAAAAACGAAAAAACUGAAAGAAUCAUUUUCAAAAAUCAAACGAAACAAGAAUCAGUUUUUGAUUCAAAACCUAUAGCAAUACCAUGUUAUCAAACUUAUUCAAACCAUCUAGUGAAACAUAUCUCAAUUCAAAACUAAACAGGACUCCGUUUUCAAGUCCAAACUAUAUUUACUUCAACUUUUCCUAAACACACACUUGUGCACCGAAUAAUAUAACAACAGUGCCUCCCGAACCAAGGAAGAUUGUUAAUUGAAAAAAAUGUUUUCACAACAAAGGCACGACCAUGCAUCUGCUGAGUGUUCUACCGUUUACAGGACUACUUUCACAGCCAAAGAUGGAAUACGCACGCAGCACCCAACGAAUAAAAAAAAUUCAACGAACAAGAUAAGUGAAAAUCUUAAAAAACCCAGAUAAAACAAAUCCAUGUUUCCGAAAAUCUACGCCUGGAACCACCGGGUGACUAGCAACUGCUCUUUGGCGGUUUCCUUUUUUGCACGACAAAACAUCCCUUUCCCUUUUCUGACUCCAUUUGCAUCCUCAUCCUCGAAAGUUUCUCGCCGGCCGCAGUUCACCACCGCACACCUCCUGCCAUGGACGAUGGGAAACUAACAACACUCACCGAACACAUCUCCACUAAGGAUAAUUUUGACCGCUGUCCAGUGAUCUACUCCUAGAUCACUAUUGAACUCCCUUGCCAAACUCAGUGGUAGGGUAUACAAUAGAUCUGGUACACAGCAUGACAUACUUUGUAGAACCUAUGGCAUAGGGAAUGACUUUCCUUCUCUUUCUAUCUUCUGCUGUGGUCGGGCUUUGAGUCUUACUCAAUUUCACACCUUGUAACACAGGCAAGAACUCUUUCUUUGACUGUUCCAUUCUGAACUACUUCAAAAUCUUGUUAAGGUAUGUACUCAUUGAAAAAACUUAUCAAGCGUCUUGAUCUAUCUCUGUAGAUCUUGAUGCUCAAUUUGUAAGCAUCUUCACCGAGGUCUUUCUUUGAAAAACUCCUUUCAAACACUUCUUUAUGCUUUGCAGAAUAAUUCUACAUUAUUUCCGAUCAACAAUAUGUCAUUCACAUAUACUUAUCAGAAAUGUUGUAGUGCUCCCACUCACUUUCUUGUAAAUACAGGCUUCACCGCAGGUCUGUAUAAAACUAUAUCCUUUGAUCAACUUAUCAAAGCGUAUAUUCCAACUCCGAGAUGCUUGCACCAGUCCAUAGAUGGAUCGCUGGAGCUUGCAUAUUCUGUUAGCACCUAUAGGAUUGACAAAACCUUCUGGUUGCAUCAUAUACAACUCUUCUUUAAUAAAUCCAUUAAGGAAUGCAGUUUUGUUUAUCCAUUUUCCAGAUUUCAUAAAAUGCGGUAAUUGCUAAUAUGAUUCGGACAGACUUAAGCAUAGAUACGAGUGAGAAACUCUCAUCAUAGUCAACACCUUGAACUUGUCGAAAACCUUUUUGCGACAAUUCUAGCUUUGUAGAUAGUAACACUACUAUCAACAUCCGUCUUCCUCUUGAAGAUCCAUUUAAUCUCAAUGGCUCGCCGAUCAUUGGGCAAGUCAAUCAAAGUCCAUACUUUGUUCUCAUACAUGGAUCUCAUCUCAGAUUUCAUGGCCUCAAGCCAUUUCGCGGAAUCUAGGCUCAUCAUCGCUUCCUCAUAGUUCGUAGGUUCGUCAUGGUCAAGUAACAUGACCUCCAGAACAGGAUUACCGUACCACUCUGGUGUGGAUCUCACUCUGGUUUACCUACGAGGUUCGGUAGUAACUUGAUCUGAAGUUACAUGAUCAUCAUCAUUAGCUUCCUCACUAAUUGGUGUAGGAGUCACAGGAACAAAUUUUUGUGAUGAACUACUUUCCAAUAAAGGAGCAGGUACAGUUACCUGAUCAAGUUCUACUUUCCUCCCACUCACUUCUUUCAAGAGAAACUCCUUCUCUAGAAAGGAUCCAUUCUCAGCAAUGAAUAUCUUGCCUUCUGAUCUGUGAUAGAAGGUGUACCCAAUUGUCUCCUUUGGGUAUCCUAUGAAGACACAUUUCUCCGAUUUGGGUUUGAGCUUAUCAGGAUGAAACUUUUUCUUAUAAGCAUCGCAACCCCAAACUUUAAGAAACGACAACUUUGGUUUCUUGCCAAACCACAGUUCAUAAGGUGUCGUCUCAAACGGACUUAGAUGGUGCCCUUUUUUUUACGUGAAUGCGGCUGUCUCUAAUGCAUAACCCCAAAACUAUAGUGGUAAAUCCGUAAGAAACAUCAUAGAUUGCACUAUAUCCAAUAAAGUACGGUUAUGACGUUCGGACACACCAUUAUGCUGUGGUGUUCCAGGUGGCACGAAUUUGUGAAACUAUUCCACAUUGUUUUAAUUGAAGACCAAACUCGUAACUCAAAUAUUUGUCUCCGCGAUCAAAUCAUAGAAACCUUAUUUUCUUGUCACGAUGAUUUUCCACUUCACUCUGAAAUUCUUUGAACUUUUCAAAUGUUUGAGACCUAUGUUUCAUCAAGUAGAUAUACCCAUAUCUGCUCAAAUCAUCUGUUUAGGUCAGAAAAUAACGAUACCUGCCGCGAGCCUCAACACUCAUCAGAUCGCAUACAUCAGUAUGUAUUAUUUCUAAUAAGUCAGUUGCUCGCUCCAUUGUUCCGGAGAACGGAGUCUUAGUCAUCUUGCCCAUGAGGCAUGGUUCACAAGUAUCAAGUGAUUCAUAAUCAAGUGAUUCCAAAAGUCCAUCAGUAUGGAGUUUCUUCAUGCGCUUUACACCAAUAUGACCUAAACGACAGUGCCACAAAUAAGUUGCACUAUCAUUAUUAACUUUGCAUCUUUUGGCUUCAAUAUUAUGAAAAUGUGUAUCACCACGAUCGAGAACCAACAAACCAUUUUCAUUGGGUGUAUGACCAUAGAAGGUUUUAUUCAUGUAAACAGAACAACAAUUAUUCUCUAACUUACAUGAAUAACCGUAUUGCAAUAAACAUGAUCCAAUCAUAUUCAUGCUCAACGCAAACACUAAAUAACAUUUAUUUUAGGUUCAACACUAAUUCCGAAAGUAUAGGGAGUGUGCGAUGAUGAUCGUAUCAAUCUUGGAACCACUUCCAAUACACAUCGUCACUUCACCCUUAACUAGUCUCUGUUCAUUCUGCAACUCCCGUUUCGAGUUACUACUCUUAGCAACUGAACCAAUAUCAAAUACUGAGGGGUUGCUAUAAACACUAGUAAAGUACACAUCAAUAACAUGUAUAUCAAAUAUAGCUUUGUUCACUUUGCCAUCCUUCUUAUCCACCAAAUACUUGGGGCAGUUCCGCUUCCAGUGACCAGUCCCUUUGAAGUAGAAGCACUUAGUCUCAGGCUUAGGUCCAGACUUGGGCUUCUUCACUUGAGCAGCAACUCGCUUGCCGUUCUACUUGAAGUUCCCCUUCUUCCCUUUGCCCUUUUCUUGAAACUAGUGGUCUUGUCAACCAUCAACACUUGAUGUUUUUCUUGAUGUCUACCUUCGUCGAUUUCAGCAUCACGAAGAGCUUGGGAAUCGUUUCCGUUAUCCCUUGCAUAUUAUAGUUCAUCACGAAGUUCUAGUAACUUGGUGAUAGUGACCAGAGAACUCUGCCAAUCACUGUCUUAUCUGGAAGAUUAACUCCCACUUGAUUCAAGUGAUUGUAGUACCCAGACAAUCUGAGCACAUGCUCACUGCUUGAGCUAUUCUCCUCCAUCUUUUAGCUAUAGAACUUGUUGGAGACUUCAUAUCUCUCAACUCGGGUAUUUGCUUGAAAUAUUAAAUUCAACUCCUGGACCAUCUGAUAUGGUCCAUGACGUUCAAAGCAUCUUUGAAGUCCUGAUACUAAGCCGUUAAGCAUGGUGCACUAAACUAUCAAGUAGUCAUCAUACCGAGCUUUUGUCAAAACGUUCAUAACGUCUGCAUCUGCUCCUACGUCUUAUGCCUUGACGGGGAACACGUUUGAACCUUUUAUACGCCGACACACCAUCCACCAAGCUGUAAUGGAGUUGUUUCCCUCAUAAUUUAGAUUUUGACAUGGCAAAAGGGAAUGAUCGUGACAAGAUCUAACUAUUGACUCAAAAAAUGCUAGACACACGGACUAAACAAUUGGAACUUUACGAAAGCUGACUUGUCCAGUUUUAAUUGGGCUAAAUAACCUACUCCUAAUUAACCGCCCCCUUCCCCUAUGAAUUUAACUGGUGGGCUGGGGCACCCAGCCUGUAAACCCUAUGUAAAUUGCCAAUUGUUGUAGCAAAGCUCCUAUUGACUGGGUUUGGUUCGGAUUCAGGUUCCAAACUGAAUUUGGGGCAAAACUCAUAUUGUGAAGGAAGUUGUAUUCCUUACAUACAACCUAUGCAACAUUAUUUUAUAAAGGCCAAGUUACUUUUAUGGUGAAUUUAGAGGAUCUCUUGCCCUUUCCCCAGACUUUAGCUCCUCAAAUUUGAGGGUCAAACCUUCUAUGAUACUUUCCCUCAAAAAAGAAAAAACCUUCUAUGAUACCAAUUGUUUCAUCGUCAAAUCGGUACUUUAACAUCCAUCUUAUGAAGGCCAAAAUCCCUCUAUUGUAGCAUGCUCAUCAACAAGUUUUGUAUGAACAUUAUCAGCGUAGCUUUGAGGGCACAUCAUAGAGCUCAUUAUUUUUCCCAAUAUUCUUAGUGGAAAUUUUACCAUCUCGGUCAUCUUCAUGGAACCUUCUUAGCUUGAUGACCUUGGAUGAAGGCGACGCUUUUUUUUCCAGUUUAUCUUCCGGGCUCCGAUCCUACUUGAGUUCGUCCGUCUGUAUGUAGUUGACAGAGCUUCGGCGUAGAUUCAUGUCGUCUCCUUGGGGCCAUAAGGUUGGGGUCUCUUGUCGUGUGGUGAAAUUUUUUGCCGGUUGCUUCAGAUAUAUGCAAGGGUUUAACGGCGACGACUGCGGCUUUAGGACGCUGGUCCUUAGGGGCAUGUGCACGAAAACUUCCCGGCUGGCAUCGACAAGGUCAAGCCGGCUCCUAUAGGAGAGUGCGUUGGCAACUCGUUCUGGCGACAGUAGUGGUUUAUCGGUGGUCUCAGUGUAAACUUUAUUAUGUUUGAGAUGCUUUAUAUGAACUUUUACUUUUUUUUUUGAAAAAAAGGUGUAUGAAUUAAGCACGACUUUGUUUAUAUUGACUUUGUUCACCCUGCUCCUUCCUGCCCUCCUCGCCCGGCCGUGUCUCCGAAUUCCCCGUGUGGAUUCGGCGAAGCCGCGGGGAGAUCCCGAGCGCGGCUGUACGGACCGUGAGCACCCUCCGGCGAUCCCCCCACCCCGUCCGCGGCAGCGGCCCCCGCCGUUCCUGAGAGCCGGGAGGAGCCCCUUCCGGUUCUUGACCCAUCUGCGGCAGGUCGGAUGCGGGGUGGCCAAGAGGAGGAGGAAGGAGAUUCAGAAGCUGAAGCAGCAGCGGCGGCCUGCGGCGAGCCUCCCCGCCGACCUUCUCGCGAAGAUGGUCCUGCCGCGGGUGCCGUACAGAUCGCUCUGCCGCUUCAGGUGCGUGUCGAGGUCAUGGCGCGCGCUCUGCUCCGACCGCCGCGUCCUCCGCAGGUCGCCGCAGACCCUCUCCGGCUUCUUCUGCCACUCCCGCGACGCGCGCCGCCGCGGCUCCGUCUGCCACAGCCGCGACGGCCAUCUCCUCGGCUUUCGCAAUCUGUCCGGGAGAGGCCGGCCCCUCAUCUACCCAUGUCUGCCCUUUCUGCGCCAGCGCGGCUAUAGAAGCGUCACGCUCAUCCACUGCUGCAACGGCAUCCUACUCUGCUCCGCCCACCGGGAGAGGCCGCCGUCUCCGGCGGAGUACAUUGUGUGCAACCCUGCGACUGAGGAGAUCUGGGCGGUGCUGCCCGUGCCCGCCUCACACGGCGACCAACGGGAUAGCAACAUCUGUCUCUGUUUCGAUCCUGCAAUAGUUCCAUCCUACUUUGCGGUGUUUGUGAAACCAUCGGAGAGCGGCGGAGUCGAGGUUUACUCGUCAGAAACUGGACGCUGGGCAUCCCUGCUGAGCGAGUGUGGUCACCUUGGUUUUGCCGGUGACGAUUUAGGGUAUGUCUUCUUCAAUGGCACUUUGCAUUUGAGUGCCUACUACUCUUCUUUGAUCGUCACGCUGGACACCAAGCGACAGACAUGGGGGGAAAUCCCAAUGCCGGAGGACAAUAAACCAGCUGCCAUAGGGCUGUCUCAGGGGCGCUUACACCUUGUAUGCAUAGACUAUGACAAUGAUUGGCAACUAUCUGUUUGGGUUCUCGAGGAAUAUGCCAGUGGUCAGUGGACCUUGAAGCACACCGCGGACUUUCCGGGUCUGCUAGGAACGCCUCGUCGCAUACCCACCGAGAUCUACCAGUCGGUUGCAAUCCAUCCGGAAUGUAAUCUGGUUUUCUUUACCGGUGGGGAGGAGAGGUCAUGGUCGCUCAUGUCGUACGACAUGGAUACCCGGAAAGUGCAGCAUAUCAGCAGUCUUGAAAGUCGCCGUUAUCUCCCGUGUCUGCCUUACGUCCCCUGCUUCGUGAAAUGGUCCCCGGAUGGUCACUAAAUCAGGCGACCAGACCCACUUUUGAGGCGGUGGCCUGGACAAGUUGUGUGCCUAGGUCAAUUUGCUUAUCUGUUGGUGUUCAGGUGCAUGUCGUUGAUUAACCGUGGAGAUUUUGUGAGGUAGCUACUGUCUAGUUAUUUGGACAGACCUACACAGUAAACUUAUUUGCUCUCAUUUACUGAUAGUUGUCCACACUUGUUAACUGGAUGUGAUAGAACACAUUAUCUCUGUUUGAAAUCAUUUGCAUUUUCAAAUCUUUCCGUGCAUCCAUCUAUCUAUUCAAAAGUUUUAACUCAGAAAACAGGGUACUCCAAGGAUGCGAUUAUCGCCUGCAUUAUGUAUGCAGACAUGGCGGACCUGCACAUAUCGGUGCUUUGUAGCUGCUAUAUACAAAGAUUGAUGGUGUGAAGGUGUUUGUUGAAAUGUCUUUGGGAGUUGUGUGAGGUGAACCAGUUCAGCAGCAGGUAUGCAUACUUCUCCUGAAUUGUCAUCUCACUAGAUCACUUUGAAAAGUCAAAUGACAUUGCCCACACAAGUUCCCUUUGUACCAGGCUACCAGGCAUAGCAAGUAGCAACGGUUGUGGAUUUCAAAUGUUCAAGUUUCCUUUUUCCAGCCAUAACAGUUGUGGUAGAUUUGAAAAAAAAAAAUCAAUGUUGUUUCGAAGACUAAAGCUAUCUGUCUCAGUGCAUUCACAGCUGCUUUGCACAUAGGGAUAUACCAUUAUUUGCAACCAAAAUGUUCAGUAUGAAGUUUUAAUACUCUGCCCAUAACUAAAAAAACCUACUCCCUCCGUAAAGAAAUGUAAGAGCGUUUAGAUUACUAGAGUAGUGAUCUAAACACUCUUAUAUUUAUUUACAGAGGGAGUAUGUUAUACCUGAGUUCUUUGAUUGCAUCAUUUUGAUAGUAUUUGAUGAACUUCACAAGGUGAACAAAUGCUAGGUGUAUCAUGUAUGCUUACACAGGUGACAUGACAAUGGGUUAAAGAAAUGAUGCUGGACCAUCCAUCACUUAUAGAAACAUGAGGACAAAGCUAUAAAUUCUUAUAGAAAUGAUUAGCUGGUGAAGGUUUCCCCGCUAUGUACAAGUCCAUGUGCAUUUUAAACAGUCCAUCUUGGGAUUGCAAGCCGGCGUUUUAUUCUAUCACUACUAAGGUGCUAAUCUGUUGUAUAUAUUGGUCUUUAUGAGACAGGCAGAGCUCUGUUCAUCGUUCAUUGGGGUAUGAGUAGACAUCUAAAACAUAUAUAUUUAUAAAUAUGGAAUUGUUCGUGCUGCGAAUUAUUUUCUGGAGUGAUAACAACCUUCAUACAAUGAUGCCUUAUCACCCUGAAGAGAGUGAACAUCGUCUAUCGAAUAUACACCUUCGGCUCGCUCCAGUGCUUGUAGUCGUCGCUAGAUGGUCAACGGACCUGGAUGUAUUUUUUACUUCUGAUGAUCUUUGUACUACUUUGACAGUUGAUAAAUAGAUUGGAAGUUUUCUCGCACACACACAACUAUGUUCCAGUUUUCCUUGUAAGGGCAAACUAUGGCACUUGUAAACACAGAGGUAAAUCCGUGACCCUUCAGACAUUGGUGUCAAUUGUCACCUAUGUUGAUCAGCGGAUCAAGAGCCUUGAUCAGAUUGAUAUACUGCAGGACAUAUAUGUAGCAAAAGUAUAUUUGUCCUCACCGGUCCAUGCUGCUUUACUGCCUCGGAAUGAGGUACCUUGCUACAUUUUUAGGCACAAUUCUGCCAUGGAUCCUGUUUAUGUGCAGAGACCAGAGAUAACGUACACCACGAUAUGUCGUUCCCUCGAUAUGCCGGGUUUCCUGAACUCAUGCUUGGGUGGAAGUAAUGUUGGAUAAGUAGUGGCAUGAGGGAGCACAUGAUGAUAGCUAAACAUAAUAGAAGGGGAAUCAGGAAUGGAGGCAGUUUUUAUUGCUCGGGAAGAAAAACUGAAUAUGUUGCAACAGAGAAAGUCGUCCCAUAUAUUAUUCGGGAAAUGUAGAUGGAUGCGAAGAUGGAUAAGCCGGUAAAAGAGGAACAUACAAGACACUAAUGUUAUGCAGAAUCUUUCAAGCAGUUACCAAACUGUAAUAUGGUUGUGAUACCAAUAUUUAAAACCUUCGGGUUUCCAGUGUGUGUAUUCGAAUAAACAGAGGUAGUUCUACCAUGGAUCUUGCUACAUUUUUAGGCACAAUUCUACCAUGGAUCCUGUUUAUGUGCAGAGACCAGAGAUAACGUACGCCACGAUAUGUCGUUCCCUCGAUAUGCCGGGUUUCCUGAACUCAUGCCAUACCUGGAACAGAGUGAUGAGGCAGCAGAGCAUAACAGAGUGAGUGGAGGCAACCACCUCGAUCGACGUGGUAUAUAUCCAAGGAGCAAGCGAUGGACAUGUUGUGAACUUGCUGACCGACCUGAGGGUGAAAGCAUAAUGCCAGCUGAGGGACGCGAUCGACCACCGGCCGAGUCGACCACCAACCGAGUAACUGGCCAAUGACGUGGAUCAAAUCGACGGUCGACGCAUGCAUGCAUGCAGUGCAUGGCGUGAUGAGCCGACGGAGUUUUAAUUCGGCAUCUGCAAAUUCGGCGCGCCAAAUCAGCCGGUCUCUCCUUGUCUCGCUUCACUGCGCCGAUCGACGGCCGACCACCACCACCAUUGGAGCAUUCAACCAGAUCGUCCAUCGAGCUGUGCCGCUGCCGACCAAUGCGGAGCGGAGGCCUAUAUAAGCCAUGCGUCGCCUCUUCCAUCCAUCCAUCCAUCGAGCUGCCACUUGACGCCAGCAGGCAGCUGAGUUCAGAGAGGAGACUCGAACAUGGCAGCUCCGACAGCAUUCUUCCUCGGCGUUUGCGCGGUGCUGCUGGCGGCCGCCGUCGCCAACGCCGACGCGGCUUCCGUGGUGGUCGGCCUGGCCAAGUGCGCCGGCUGCACCAGGAAGGACAUGAAGGCCGAGGAAACGUUCAAGCGUCUCCGCGUGGCGAUCAAGUGCAGGAACGUUGAGGGCGAGUACGAGAGCAAGGCGGUGGGCGGCCUCGACCGCACCGGCGCCUUCAGCGUGCCCCUGGCCACCGACCUCCACGGCGCCGACUGCGUCGCGCAGCUUCACAGCGCCGCCUCCAACGCGCCGUGCCCCGGCCAGGAGCCGUCCAAGAUCGUGCCACUGUCCGAGGGCGCCACCACCUUCGGCGUCGUCGCCGGCGCCAAGACCACCACCACGCCGUCGGUGGCGUCCCCGGAGUGUGCGUCGGCCUUCUGCCCCUCGACCACGCCCUGGAAGAAGCCCCGCGGCGGCGGCCACCACAAGAAGAAGCACAACCCGCACAAGCCGGAGACCAAGGCCCUGCCGUAAACAGAACUCCAUCCGACUCCAUUGAAAUCCCCAUGAUUUCGUUAUGUCACCGUGUGCUAUUUACGAUUUCAGUGUCUGCAGAACUCACCGUGUGUUAUGAGAAGGACAGACGGAUCUGCGUGUGUCACGGUGUAUCCUUCUUACCAGUGUUUGUAAUAUCAGUGUGAUUUUUCUACGGGAAACAAGAAGUUAUCGUAAUAAAUCAAGUAAUAUAUCCGGUUUUGAUGGUUCAGGGUUGAAACUUAGCCGGUUUAGAGUCUAGGGUUGAAUCUUAUAGAUAAACCAAAGAGAUCAGAGCUAUAAUAUGGUACUUACAGGGCUUCCAAACGCGGCCAGCAAGUCAUGAACAUGACAAACAAACGAUUAAGAUUACAACGGGGGAACACAAAGUCAUUACUACUGUUGGCGCAGCCCUUGCUAGCUCUCUCUCACAGCUGGACGGAGGUAGAAGAAAGAAGAACGAGAAGGACACAGCAGGAUUUUGCCCGGCGCACGAACGCCGCCGGCCGCACGAACGGCCACUUAGUUUCUUUCCUGAGCACGAACUCAGCUGCAAAACCACCUGCCGAUACACAGGGGCUAGCGAGCCUUUAUACGUGCGCUCGUACGCACGCCACGCCGCUCCAUACGGCGCUCCCAGUCGCCCACAUCCCGCGUCCCACGCCAUACCUGGCCUGCGCUCCCGUCGCGCCCGUACGCGGACGACGCGGCCACCAACAGCUCUGGACGCGUUCUCCUCCGGCUCCAUCGGCAACAAGCUCACACACGCGCACGUACACGUGCUGCUACACACACUCGCAGCUACGGCCCUGACUAUGCCCGGCUCGUCUGGCACCCGCACGCACGCGCGCCUGACUCGCCCUGGCCGAGCCACGGUUUAUUUGUCUAACAACUACAAGUCAUGAACAUGACAAACAAACGACAUCAUACCUGGAGCAACAUUAUCCAAAAAGCACCCCCAGUAAUGAACUCCAUAUAAGAUGAGAAGAUAGCAUAGUGCACAAUGAACAAGAACCACGUAGUGAGCAACCAGCAGGGUCACACAUUCAAAUUUAAGGAGAGAUUAGGUGUGUGCUGCUGAAUGCAUCCUGAACUCUGACGGAUCAAGGUAUGACAUAUCAGUUCAAGAAACCUCAACAUAUGAGUUCAGGCCUACCAAGUGCAUCACUGUAGCUACAGAGAAUUUCUGCAUGGCGACAUAUCGUGUGUGUAUUCGAAUUGUGCCUAAAAAUGAAUUGUGCCUACGGUCUGUUUGCAAAUUUUUAGAAUCCCUCAAAUUCUAAAAGGAAAAAAAGUUAUGCUCAAAUUUUAGUUUUUUUUGAAUUUUUGUUAAAUCUGGUCAAACUACUUAUUCAAGAAGUAUUAGUGUUACUAAAUAAUUACUCAAGAAUAUUAGUGUUACUAAACAAUUAUUUCAGUUUUUUUGAAUUUUGGUCAAAUCUGGUCAAACUGUGGUCAAACUGUGGUCAAACAAUGGUCAAACUAAUUAUUCAAGAAAUAUUAGUGUUACUAAAUAAUUAUUUCAGUUUUUUUGAAUUUUGGUCAAAUCUGGUCAAACUGUGGUCAAACUAUGGUCAAACUACUUAUUCAAGAAAUAUUAGUGUUACUAAAUAAUUAUUGUUUUUUAGAACAAUAGUUCCAAACUCAAACAGUGAAAUGUGUGACUUCAUGCUCAAGCUAAAUUCCUAAGGGUUAAUAGGAUUGACAUCUUACUAUUGUCAGGAAAACAACAAGUGCAGACUUGGAAACGAGGGAGAAUAGAACUCGGAAGUUAAGCGUGCUCAGGCUGGAGUAGUGAGAGGAUGGGUGACCGUCCAGGAAGUUAGAUGAUUUGGAAUGAUGAGGGGUGAUUAAAGAUUAGAGGUUAAAUUGAGCAGUGAUGAGGGGUGAUUAGAGAUUAGAUGUUAAAAUAAUUCAGAAAUUUGAAAACUAAAAAAAUUCAAAAAAAAAUUAAUUUUUUUUUUCAAAAAAAAAUCUUAAAAUUUCCUUUAGUACCGGUUGGUAUUACCAACCGGGACUAAAGGUGGACCUCCAGGCAGCGGCCACGUGGAGGGCCUUUAGUCCCGGUUCGUGUAAGAACCGGGACUAAAGGGGGAGGCUUUAGUAACGACCCUUUAGUCCCGGUUGUAGAACCGGGACUAAAGGCCCUUAUGAACCAGGACUAAAGGCCCUUUUUCUACUAGUGUGCCCAAGCCGCAGCCCCACCCCGACUACCACCCCGUCCCUCCCACGCCUACAUACGGUGGCGGCGGCAGCGGCGGCGGAUACCACGGUCACCACUGACUCCGAUCUGCAACCAUCCGGCCCAGCACUGAAAUCUCAUCACCGAGGGCAUGAUCAGUGUCAGUGAGUGACCGAUGGUACUAUUUAUCAUCAGUUGCAUGUGUGGCCGCGUGGGUAUUCUUUGGUGGUCUUCUGCCAUUCGCUGCCCCAUUUUAGUAUCUGCACGGCAGAGUUGAGAGUUCAAAAUAACAUUUGUGAGGAACGUGUAUUGCUUUUUUAAGAUUUGUAUAAUUUCAGCGUGUGUUUUGUAUAAGAAGUUACUGUGAAUCAAGUAAUUUAAUGAAGUCGUUGGUGUGGAUCUGUGGAUGGAUGAUUGGGUAUGACGAUGACAAUGUUUUUGCCAUGCAUUGCGUAGUUUUCUGAGUCGAUUUUCAGAUCUGUGGAGUGGAAUCCAGGCAAGUGUGCAAAUGGAUUUGUGAUGGACAACUCAUGGCAUUCAAAAACAAAAUGGUAGCUACCUGGGAUCAUGCAUUCGUACUACUGGUCUAGGCUUGUGAGUGGAUUAAUUUGGAAGCGGCACUGUGGGUACGAGAGCUAUGGCCUGGUCCAGCUCAAGUACACAGGAGGGCAUACCUUGCCCAAACCGGUGAAGACCAAACAAUCAGUACCACUUGGACAGAAGGGGCGCGGCUGCUGCGAUAUGCAGAUCGGAGCAAGGCGUCUACAUUGGUGCAUUGGCCAUUGUGGCGGAGGGUAUUAACGAACCUGCCGAGAGGGCCUAGGUUUGGCGAAGGAUCUUUUCUCUCGAAAAUUGUACUUCCUUCAUUNNNNNNNNNNNNNNNNNNNNNNNNNNNNNNNNNNNNNNNNNNNNNNNNNNNNNNNNNNNNNNNNNNNNNNNNNNNNNNNNNNNNNNNNNNNNNNNNNNNNNNNNNNNNNNNNNNNNNNNNNNNNNNNNNNNNNNNNNNNNNNNNNNNNNNNNNNNNNNNNNNNNNNNNNNNNNNNNNNNNNNNNNNNNNNNNNNNNNNNNNNNNNNNNNNNNNNNNNNNNNNNNNNNNNNNNNNNNNNNNNNNNNNNNNNNNNNNNNNNNNNNNNNNNNNNNNNNNNNNNNNNNNNNNNNNNNNNNNNNNNNNNNNNNNNNNNNNNNNNNNNNNNNNNNNNNNNNNNNNNNNNNNNNNNNNNNNNNNNNNNNNNNNNNNNNNNNNNNNNNNNNNNNNNNNNNNNNNNNNNNNNNNNNNNNNNNNNNNNNNNNNNNNNNNNNNNNNNNNNNNNNNNNNNNNNNNNNNNNNNNNNNNNNNNNNNNNNNNNNNNNNNNNNNNNNNNNNNNNNNNNNNNNNNNNNNNNNNNNNNNNNNNNNNNNNNNNNNNNNNNNNNNNNNNNNNNNNNNNNNNNNNNNNNNNNNNNNNNNNNNNNNNNNNNNNNNNNNNNNNNNNNNNNNNNNNNNNNNNNNNNNNNNNNNNNNNNNNNNNNNNNNNNNNNNNNNNNNNNNNNNNNNNNNNNNNNNNNNNCUGCCGGGAAGGGAAGGCCACGGGUGUGCAGGUACCUGGUCGAGGAGCUAGGGGUCGAUGUGGACGCCGUCGACGAUGGAGGUGCGUGCCUCUACCGUUUAAUUUGCCUCUAAACUGUAAAUGUGUCUGAACUGUACUCCUAUAUGGCUUGCGUUCAGAAUUGGGCUAUAGGAAACUGUAUGUUGACCAGCAAUUUACAACCGUCAUGCUAUUUUGUGAAUCAGAUGCAUAUAGACAAGUUUUAGUGUGUUUGUUCACUGAAAUAUCCAAAACAUCUUAUAUUUGUCAACUGACGGAGUAGAAAACAAAGUGUUAUGUUAUGACAUAUUUAUGUAUUAACUUUGUACAUUCUGACAUGCUCUGAGAGGAAACGUCUUCAUUCUGAUAGGCAACGCAAUCCAUCCAUCCUCUCUAAGCUCCUGCUGAACUAUGGAAAUUUUAGUUUCAGUACUAUAGUUAUGUAUGCUUGCUUGCUGAUGUAGUGUGUGUGUGUGUGUGUUUCAUGUGCUUGCUGCCACUGUGUGCUGCGCUGCGUCCCUCGCCUACUUCCGCCAGGCACCGGCACCCGGCGGUGCGCUCUCCGGGACUCUGCCACUUGAAGGGGCGAGGAGGAGCUACGGAUGCUAGCGAUUAACAACGUUGUGCAGAAGGCAAGCGCAGGUGAGGGGUCCCAUCCUCAUCCCCAUCCCAAUUUAUGUUUAUACUAUUAUAAAUUAGACUAUAUGAUAUGCAUUAGUUGCUUCCUUUUGUAGCUGACAUGCACAUACACCGUCUUAGUAUUACAAUCCAUUCUGAUAAUUAACCUUUUUUAGUGAUCCAGUUCAAAUUUUAAUACUAAGUACGAACUUAUAUUCAUAAUAUGUGGACUGAAGGACAUACCAUUGAUACAAUCCGACUGUACUCAAAAUCGGCAGUGCAUUGUUAUGAUUUUGUAAUUACCCCGAAGCAAAAAUAUUUUACUGUACAAAAAUAACAAACAAACAAAUGAAUAAUAAAGAUUCUAUUUUUGCGACGUGCUACUGUAUAUGUUCUCUUUUCACAAAUGGUGCUUUCAUUUGGUCACUUAUUAUACAUUUUUCUUUCCAACAAAGGGAGUAUUGUACUGCAAUCUCAAACAAUUUCUGCUCUCAUUGGGAGUAUAUAAUUCUCUUGUCAUUGCAUUUUGCAAGUGUUGGGUGUAAUAAAUGAAUCGGUUGUUCACCAUAUCAAAUUUUAAGAUGAAAGUGUGUUUCUUUGUGACCUUCUUACAUCAAAGACCACAUGGAGUUUGAAGUCGAUUUCAAAUGAAUGUACAUCUACCGAAUUUUGCUCCACAAAGAAAUGAGAUGAAAUCACUUUAAUUGGAAUGCGACGAAAACAUACUCUACCNNNNNNNNNNNNNNNNNNNNNNNNNNNNNNNNNNNNNNNNNNNNNNNNNNNNNNNNNNNNNNNNNNNNNNNNNNNNNNNNNNNNNNNNNNNNNNNNNNNNNNNNNNNNNNNNNNNNNNNNNNNNNNNNNNNNNNNNNNNNNNNNNNNNNNNNNNNNNNNNNNNNNNNNNNNNNNNNNNNNNNNNNNNNNNNNNNNNNNNNNNNNNNNNNNNNNNNNNNNNNNNNNNNNNNNNNNNNNNNNNNNNNNNNNNNNNNNNNNNNNNNNNNNNNNNNNNNNNNNNNNNNNNNNNNNNNNNNNNNNNNNNNNNNNNNNNNNNNNNNNNNNNNNNNNNNNNNNNNNNNNNNNNNNNNNNNNNNNNNNNNNNNNNNNNNNNNNNNNNNNNNNNNNNNNNNNNNNNNNNNNNNNNNNNNNNNNNNNNNNNNNNNNNNNNNNNNNNNNNNNNNNNNNNNNNNNNNNNNNNNNNNNNNNNNNNNNNNNNNNNNNNNNNNNNNNNNNNNNNNNNNNNNNNNNNNNNNNNNNNNNNNNNNNNNNNNNNNNNNNNNNNNNNNNNNNNNNNNNNNNNNNNNNNNNNNNNNNNNNNNNNNNNNNNNNNNNNNNNNNNNNNNNNNNNNNNNNNNNNNNNNNNNNNNNNNNNNNNNNNNNNNNNNNNNNNNNNNNNNNNNNNNNNNNNNNNNNNNNNNNNNNNNNNNNNNNNNNNNNNNNNNNNNNNNNNNNNNNNNNNNNNNNNNNNNNNNNNNNNNNNNNNNNNNNNNNNNNNNNNNNNNNNNNNNNNNNNNNNNNNNNNNNNNNNNNNNNNNNNNNNNNNNNNNNNNNNNNNNNNNNNNNNNNNNNNNNNNNNNNNNNNNNNNNNNNNNNNNNNNNNNNNNNNNNNNNNNNNNNNNNNNNNNNNNNNNNNNNNNNNNNNNNNNNNNNNNNNNNNNNNNNNNNNNNNNNNNNNNNNNNNNNNNNNNNNNNNNNNNNNNNNNNNNNNNNNNNNNNNNNNNNNNNNNNNNNNNNNNNNNNNNNNNNNNNNNNNNNNNNNNNNNNNNNNNNNNNNNNNNNNNNNNNNNNNNNNNNNNNNNNNNNNNNNNNNNNNNNNNNNNNNNNNNNNNNNNNNNNNNNNNNNNNNNNNNNNNNNNNNNNNNNNNNNNNNNNNNNNNNNNNNNNNNNNNNNNNNNNNNNNNNNNNNNNNNNNNNNNNNNNNNNNNNNNNNNNNNNNNNNNNNNNNNNNNNNNNNNNNNNNNNNNNNNNNNNNNNNNNNNNNNNNNNNNNNNNNNNNNNNNNNNNNNNNNNNNNNNNNNNNNNNNNNNNNNNNNNNNNNNNNNNNNNNNNNNNNNNNNNNNNNNNNNNNNNNNNNNNNNNNNNNNNNNNNNNNNNNNNNNNNNNNNNNNNNNNNNNNNNNNNNNNNNNNNNNNNNNNNNNNNNNNNNNNNNNNNNNNNNNNNNNNNNNNNNNNNNNNNNNNNNNNNNNNNNNNNNNNNNNNNNNNNNNNNNNNNNNNNNNNNNNNNNNNNNNNNNNNNNNNNNNNNNNNNNNNNNNNNNNNNNNNNNNNNNNNNNNNNNNNNNNNNNNNNNNNNNNNNNNNNNNNNNNNNNNNNNNNNNNNNNNNNNNNNNNNNNNNNNNNNNNNNNNNNNNNNNNNNNNNNNNNNNNNNNNNNNNNNNNNNNNNNNNNNNNNNNNNNNNNNNNNNNNNNGAGUCCCCGAUAUUGUCUGCCUAGGAACUAUUCUCCUUAAGCAACCUAGAAACUUAUUCUACUGAGAUAUUUUUCGUUGAUAUUGAAUUGUCGAAUCGGAAAUGUAGCAUGCAAAACUUUAAUGGUACUGCUGAGAUAUUUUUCGUUGACAUUGAACAAUCCAACUUCCUGUAACGCCUAUAUGAGGUAUUUCCUGAUUUUUACUUGCAUUUCUUGCGGUCCGGUAUGAAAUAUAGAGAGAAGAGAGGAUCUUCUAGUGAUUAUUCAAAAUUGUUCAAACUUUAGGUGUACAGGCUUGUGCUAAUUGAUUCUUCUAUUUAGCCUGAUAGCAUUUUUUUUGCAAGUGUAAAAUCUGGGGAGACGUGAGGAUGAUUUCUUGGCAGUGGUUGCUGUGAUAUUUUGCAAGAAAUAUUGAAGCGAAGAUGUAUCCGUUUUUGGUGUCAUAGGAGAACUUAAUUUGAAUGUCUGCUCUGCUAGGAAGUACUUAAUCCAUUCUUGUAAUUGUUGUUCUCCUGUACCAAUCUGUGGGUAUGGGCCUAAUUCAAUUGUUGGCUAAGCUAGGUUCUUCAUGGAUGCCAAGUUUAGUUGUUAAUUAACUAGGGACAUGGUAACCUUUGUUGCUGUUAAGUAGAAGUGCAGUCAUGUAGCUUUUAGUGCUGCUGGACAGGCUGGUCUGAACGUGCUAGAUAGAUUCAGUUAGAGGGGAUUCUUUUGGUAGUGCUUUUAGAAAAUGAACAUGUCUAUAUGUGUCCAAGCAAUUGAACUUGGGAGAGAGGUUAGUUCUGUAAAGAAUAUUCCUGUAGUUGCUUACACAUGAGGAUUGCAACUGCUUCUGUACCAUUGGAUAUCCCUUGCUGCACAUCACUGAAAUUGGUUCAGUUAAAACUGCACUAGCUGUCAGUUUGGGCAGCAAGCUUCUAGCUAAAAAAUGAGUUAGUUAUGCCUAAAAUUUCGAGUUGGCCCCUAUAUAUAAGUUGUAGAACAAGUUCCAAGGUUUCUCUAAAGUAAUUUUUGUGUCGUUUGGAUGCACGGUUUGAGAGCAACCACCAACUUAGUUUGUUUUCUACAAAGUUAUUUUCUUGGGUGCAGUAGUUUUCAUAUGGCAGAUUAGGCCCUGAUAGAGAUUGAAUUGAAAUGAAGCUAAAACAUGAAAGUUUUAGAGGUUGUUCUGUUGAUACUGAAACACAUGUCAUUUGUUGUAUUUCGUUUUGUAUAUUAAAUCCUAUGAAAACAAUAUAGAGGGUUCUAUACUAUGUUGGACAAAAUUUAAUGAUGCGCAUGGUUCGAUGGAUGAAGACUUACGUCAUCAAAUUGCUUCAACCUCGUGUGAAAUUUAAUGUGAUAAAGUAGAUAUGAGCUGGGGUCUUGUGCGUAAGAGUAUGUGCGACGAGUCCAUCGUUGUAUUGAUUGUGAUAUAUGCUUCAUUAAGCAUAAUAUUAAGUGUUAAAACUUCAAUUGUGUAUAUACUUAGUGAUGCAAUUUCAAGAAUUAAGUGUCCAGGCAUGUCAUCAUUGAAGUGCUGCUGGAUAUUAUGCUUAUUUGUAUUUACGGGCAUUAACAGAAUUACUAAGACUAUUUCAUUAUUUCCUUCGUAGAAGACUGGAUAGUGUCUACAACAAUUGCACAUCAAUGCGGCCCAAAAAUUAGUCAAUUCGAGGUGGAUUUCACUCGUUCUCAAGGAGCACACCAUUCAAAAAUCAAUGUUUUUCUAGGAUGUUAGGAAUUUCUCAUUGCACAAGGAAAUAUGUGAGGAGAAUCACUAUUUUGUACCAUACAUCUAGCAUUUUUAUAUUUUGGUAGAUUCUAUAUUGUUGGGUACAACCAUGGGUACAGCUUGCAGAGGUAAAAAUCCCAAGCACCCCUCAUGCAAAGAGAAGGGUAAUCUCCUUUUUUGCGUACUGUAUGCCUUCUCUACUUAUUUAUAUUGCAAUAAUAAUAUCCUACAAGUAUUCGGAAUAAGAGCAAUGUUUUUAUGAUUAUCUAGAAUUUUCAUUACUGAUGUUUGUUUAUUGGACUAUGUGUAUGUAUUCAGUCUUNNNNNNNNNNNNNNNNNNNNNNNNNNNNNNNNNNNNNNNNNNNNNNNNNNNNNNNNNNNNNNNNNNNNNNNNNNNNNNNNNNNNNNNNNNNNNNNNNNNNCUUGUGUCACUCGCAACUCACUAACUCAUCACAAAUUCUUCAUACGAGCAAAAUAACACUACUAGGGACAAAGCAGGGCUUCGAUUUUCUUGCACAACAGCUAACAGUUAGAGCUUUUAAUUCAUGUUUACCCAAUAAUUCUCCACAAUUCCUCACAUAGUUUCUAGUUCAACCAUUACUGGUAUGUAAAUAGACAAGAUUAGAUCGAUACUAAAAUUUGCAUUACGCUAUCGACGAAUGACGGCUCAAUUUUAUCUCCACAUAGAUGACACAAGAAUCUCAUUUGAGCAGUUGGUCACAAUGCAUACUAGCAUACUAAUGUUUCCAAUCGAACCGCAGCCAGAAACUUAGAACGACUUAUCCAACUUCUACCACCAAAUCAAAUUCAUAAUAUGAUGUUGCCUCCACGUUCCACGAUCCCGGUAGGUACAUCCAUGCACUUUCCACAUGCGAGAUGUGAUGAAGAUGUGAGAUGUGGCCAAAGAUUUGGGAUGUUGUAAACAUAUCUACGAGAUAUUUUUUUCUCUAUGUAUACCUAAUAGUUUACUAGAAGCCGCUAUCAGGAUAUUUCUGACUUUAAAAGACACACACACACACACAGAGAGAGAGAUACGUAUAUACUAUGGUCAUGUGAGUGUCACAAAUUAAUCCAUGAAACAUGCAAUUUUAUGUAGUCUAUUUUCUUAUGGUUAGAGGGGUUAAGUUUAAGUAUUAUUUUAUGGUGCAAUCUAUUGAAUAGAAAGAAACUAAUCAAAUUUAGCGUAGGGCGUGCAUAUAUUUUAAUGACACACAUUACAACCUAGCAGAAAAUACUAUUAUUUAUAUUGAGCAUAAUUAUCGUAAGUAAAUAUAAAAAAGAAGUAACCGCUCGCAGUUAAUAGUGAGUUUUAAACAUGUAUAAAAGUUUAAUAUAAAUAUUCAAUUUAAUUAGACUCGAUUUCUUGUCACCGCCCUAGAUUCAUGUUUGUAAUUAGUGGCAUUGCAUCCAUGCAUCAUGUCUAAUUUUAUCAGAAAUUUGAAUUGAGGGAAUUUUCAAAACCUCAGAAACAUUUUAGAAAUUAUCAACACUAAAAUCUUCUCAAAUAAGUCCAAGAAAAUGUUCCUGUUAUUUUAUGAAAAUAUUGGAAAGAGGUAAAAUUAAAACCAGUGUUUUUGGAUUGUCAGAAAUAUUUAUUUUGGGAAUUUGAGUUAAUCUAAUAAUUAUUUGCAUUAGACUUAUAUUUAUUAUAUAUUAAAUAUUGGUCCAAAAAAUUUGAAAGUUUGUAUGAGGCUCUGGACUAGUUCCCUAAGUCCAAAUAUUGAAUUUCAGAAGUUUAUAAAGUGAUUUGGUAGUUAAACCAAAUCAAACAAACAGAACAAAAUGGAAAACAAAAACAGAAAGGGAAGAACAGAGAGAGAGAGAGAGUUUACCUGGCAGCCCACUUACCCGGCCCAACUCCUCUAGCCGGCCCAGCCUACCUGGCUCUGCCAGUCGUCCUCUACCUCGUGCCAGAGGGCACGAGGGCGUGUGGCCGCCGCCCACGCGUACGCACCGCGCCACCUCCUGCUUGCCGCUUCGCUCUGGCCCUCUCUGGACGUCGACACGUAGCCCCCUGGUCCUCUCCCUCGCUCCCCUCGUCCUUCCCCUCCUCUGGAUCCCUCUCUCUCUCUCACCACCGAGCGGGGCUCAUCGCCACCGACGCCGUUCACCGUAGCCACCGCCUCCUCCUGAACCUCUCUCCGCGCCCAGAAGCUCCGCCACUUCGUCCUCGACCCCCUCGCUGAGCCACGCAACGCCGGACGCCCUGAAGCCUCGCCAACACCGUCGUUCCCCUCGUCGGUCGCCGCGGAUCCUCGCCGUUGAUUCAGGAGCUACAGGACCUCCCCGAGCACUCUGAGCUUCUCUACAAGUCCUCCGUGAGCCCCUCUUUCCCCUACCCUAACCUCGUUGCUUCGCUCGACCUCUAGCUAGCGCUGCCGCCAUGGCCGAGCUCCGCCGCCGCCUGCCUUGUCAUGCGCCACCAUUGCAGCCCGCGCCCGUCGUUGGAGAGCAUGGCAACGAGCUCGUCGUGCCUCCAGGAGGCCGGCUAUCCCUUUUGCUAGCUCGCCCGUGCCCCGUAGCACCGCUGCCCGCUUGCGCCCGAACUCCGGCCGCCGCCCAAGUGGUCGCCGCCGUCGACCCCGGCCUCCCUGCGCCUAGCUGCAUGCACCCCUGGAUGCGGGCGAGCGAGGGCUUCCUCAUGGUGCCCUGCUACCUCUUGAGCACUGCGUUGGUUUUCCCUAGAAAAGGAAAGGGUGAUGCAGCAAAGUGGCGUAAGUAUUUCCCUCAGUUUUUGAAAACCAAGGUAUCAAUCCAGUAGGAGGCUACACACGAGUCCCUCGCACCUACACAAACGAAUAAAUCCUCGCAACCAACAUGAUAAGGGGUUGUCAAUCCCUACACGGUCACUUACGAGAGUGAGAUCUGAUAGAUAUGAUAAGAUAAUAUUUUUGGUAUUUUUGUGAUAAAGAUGCAAAGUAAAGAAAGUAAAAUAAAAACGGCGCUAGAAAUAGCUAAGUGUUGGAAGAUUAAUAUGAUGGAAAAUAGACCCGGGGGCCAUAGGUUUCACUAGUGGCUUCUCUCGAGAGCAUAAGUAUUUACGGUGGGUGAACAAAUUACUGUUGAGCAAUUGACAGAAUUGAGCAUAGUUAUGAGAAUAUCUAGGCAUGAUCAUGUAUAUAGGCAUGACGUCCGAAACAAGUAGACCGACUCCUGCCUGCAUCUACUACUAUUACUCCACACAUCGACCGCUAUCCAGCAUGCGUCUAGAGUAUUAAGUUCAUAAGAACAGAGUAACGCUUUAAGCAAGAUGACAUGAUGUAGAGGGAUAAACUCAUGCAAUAUGAUAUAAACCCCAUCUUGUUAUCCUCGAUGGCAACAAUACAUUACGUGCCUUGCUGCCCCCACUGUCACUGGAAAAGGACACCGCAAGAUUGAACCCAAAGCUAAGCACUUCUCCCAUUGCAAGAAAGAUCAAUCUAGUAGGCCAACCCAAACUGAUAAUUCGAAGAGACUUGCAAAGAUAACCAAUCAUACAUAAAAGAAUUCAGAAGAUUCAAAUAUUGUUCAUAGAUAAGCUUGAUCAUAAACCCACAAUUCAUCGGUCUCCACAAACACAUCACAAAAGAAGAUUACAUCGAAUAGAUCUCCACAAGAGAGGGGGAGAACAUUGUAUUGAGAUCGAAAAAGAGAGAAGAAGCCAUCUAGCUAAUAACUAUGGACCCGAAGGUCUGAGGUAAACUACUCACACUUCAUCGGAGAGCCUAUGGUGUUGAUGUAGAAGCCCUCCGUCAUCGAUGCCCCCUCCGGCGGAGCUCCGAAACAGGCCCCAAGAUGGGAUCUCACGAAUACAGAAGGUUGCGGCGGUGAAAUUAGGUUUUUAGCUGCGUAUCUGAUCGUUUGGGGGUACGUAGCUAUAUAUAGGAGGAAGGAGUACGUCGGUGGAGCAACGUGGGGCCCACGAGGGUGGAGGGCGCGCCCAGGGGGUAGGAGCGCCCCCUACCUCGUGGCUUCCUGGUAGCUUUCUUGACGUAGGGUCCAAGUCAUCUGGAUCAUGUUUGUUCCGAAAAUCACGUUUCCGAAGGUUUCAUUCCGUUUGGACGCCGUUUGAUAUCCUGCGAAACUCUGAAAUAGGCAAAAACAGCAAUUCUGGGCUGGGCCUCCGGUUAAUAGGUUAGUCCCAAAAAUAAUAUAAAAGUGCAUAAUAAAGCCCAAUAAUGUCCAAAACAGAAGAUAAUAUAGCAUGGAGCAAUCAAAAAUUAUAGAUACGUUGGAGACGUAUCAAGCAUCCCCAAGCUUAAUUCCUGCUCGUCCUCGAGUAGGUAAAUGAUAAAAACAGAAUUUUUGAUGUGGAAUGCUACUUGGCAUAAUUUCAAUGUAAUUUUUAUUAAUUGUGGUAUGAAUAUUCAGAUCCGAAAGAUUCAAGAUAAAAGUUCAAUAUUGACAUAAAAAUAAUAAUACUUCAAGCAUACUAACUAAGCAAUUAUGUCCGCAGCAUCGCCGGAGUGCGCGUCCAUGACCCUGUGCGGGCCGAUCAAGAAGCACAUCAUCGAGCACUUCCACCACAAGAAGCCCGUGCCGCCUAAGCCGGAGCUCAAGCCCCAGCCCCACCCGGACUACGGCCCCGUGCCCAAGCCGGAGCCGAAGCCGCAGCCCCACCCGGACUACCACCCCCCUCCCACGCCCACCUACGGCGGCGGUGGCGGCGGCGGUGGAUACCACAGGCACCACUGAGUCAGGUCUACCCCCGUCCUGCCCAGCGAUGAAAUCUCAUCAUCAGCGGGUUGGUGAUCAGUGAGUGGUCGACGGUGCUAAUUAUGAUUGGUUUGCAUGCGUGAGUAUCGUUAGGUCUUCUGCCAUUCCCGCGAAGCCCCGUUUAUUAUCUGCACUGCAGAGUUGGGAGUUCAGAAUAACAGAUGUGCGUGUGUGUGUCGCUGUGUCAGGCAAGUGUGAGGGUGUGUUGGCGUGUUGCUUUAUCAAGAUUUUGUAAUUUCAGUGUGUGUUUUGUAUAAGAAGUUAUUAUGAAUCAAGUAAUUUAAACAAGUCGAUUUGUCAACCGAACAACUGCAGCUGUUCGAGACGAUUGGCAUGAUAAGGAUAGUGUGAUUUUACUUCAACUCAAUUUUCAGAUCCGUGAACUGAAACUGAAGUGAAAUUCAGGCGUGUGCAAUGCAUUCAUACUGCUGGUCAUAGUUUUUUCUCUUACGAUGAACAAGUCGAUUUAUGAACAUUUUUCCUAGAUAAGUGAGGCUUUUAAAAAAUGUUCAUCAUGUGUUCAAAACAAUGAUAACCGUAAAUUUAAAGCAAAAUUGUUCGCCGUGUAUCUUAAAAAUGUUCAUCAUGAAUUUAAAAGGUUUGCCACUAAUUUUAAAAAGUUCAUCAUGUAUUUAUAUCACUAAUUUAGUUAUCUAAACGCUCUUAUAUUAGUUUACAGAGGGAGUAUUUAAAAGUUGUCAUCACGUAAUUAAAAAAAGGUUAAUUGUGCAUUAAUGAAAAUUUUCACCAUGUUUCAGAAAUGUUCAUCAUGUAUUAAUAAACUUAACCUUGUAUUUUUAAAAGUAAAAAAAUGCUCAUUGUGUAUUUAAAACAUAUAAAGAUAUUUUUUUGUAAAUGAACUAAAAAUAUUCAUUCUGUAUUAAAAAAAUAUUCACCAUGAAUUGUUCAAAAAAAUCACCUUGUAUUAUUCAAAAACGCUCAGACACAAAGGACAAAUGCUCAUACACGGUGUGGGGAAAAGGAGAAAAUGCAUAGAGUAAAAGAACAACAAAAGAGGAAAAAUGGACAAUGAAAAAAAAAAGGAAAGAAUGAAGAAUCCAACUAAGAAAAAAAACAGUUCAGAAGCCAAACACAAAAACCAUGCAAAAAGACGCAGCAGGAACCAGCGAACGAAACAACACCCCUAGCUGGCCUGCCCAAGUCACCUUGCUUGUGACUGUCUUCGCAUCCAUUUGACGUGUGUGCGUAUUUGCCGGAGACCUCCUAUUCCCUGACCUACGCGGGGAAAAGUGAGGAAACAUGCACCUAAACCUGUGGGUAGCCCGACCCGAGCCUGGCCCGAAAAAUCCAGGCCACGCUGGGGCCUUGUUUUGCAGCCCAAUGUACAUUUCGCCUAGGCUCGGGCUUUUGUAACAAUACUGAGAAAUAGUAUUUGGUCGGGCUUUCAAUAUUCAGGUCGGGCUUACAACUAACAACAUUGAUAAACACCAUUCGAGCUAGACUUUCGGGCUUCGGGCCUAUAUUUGGCUGAGGCUCGAGCUUGAGAAAGUGUGUACUUUCGGGAUUUGGACCAGCUGGGGCUUGAAGUUUGGGUUUCUGGCUUUUUGAAGCCCAGCCCGCCAUAUAAUCAGGUUUAAGUGCACCCCCGCCCCCCACGCGUGCUUUUGGCCGGCCCAUAUGCGGGGUGAGCCGGGCUUAUUAUUAUUAUUUUUGCUUUUGUACUUUCGUUCUUUCUCAAUUGCAAGAAAUGUUCAUAAAAUAAGCAUAUGUUUGCACAUUUCUCAAAGUGCUUCAAAUUUUCAAAAUAUUAUAUGAUUUAAAUUCUUCAUAAAUUGAAAAUUUUCUUGAAUUUCAGAAAAUGUUCAUGAAUUGUAAAAUUGUUCCCCUAGUUCACAAAUUAUUCAUGUAUUUGAAAGUCCAUGGAUUCGAAAAUUGCUCGCGAAUUUGAGAAUGGAAUAAUAGAGUGAGUAUAGCAAUUGAUAUCUAUAGAUACUUUGCGAGGUUUAUAUCAUUAAAUUUAGAAAUGAUGUCAUUAUCACGACAUGUAUUGGAUGUCCUUUUUUCACUAGUUAAUAUCCAUAAAAUAUCAUGUUAGAUGACCGAUUUUUCAUAAUAUAACAUUUAUUGUGAAUCAAAAACCAGAAAGCAAGAAUCCUGCAAAGAAAAUGUAACACAUAAUCCUAGAGAGCGCCUUACACAUCUCAUUUCUAAGUGUGUUUACUUAUAAUUUGGUAAACAUAAGUCCAAGCAAAUCAAAGAAAAUCAAAGUACAGAGAAUACCUACAUACCAUGGCCCAUUGACCGGUCCACACAAUUGACUGCUUUAAUGUGACCCAUCAAAGACACUCAGAGCUUCAAAGGUGAACUGUUCUUUGAUCCAGGCUUUGGUUGGCACCGUAAAGAAUGCAAAAUAACAGCUCAAAUAUUUGUAUCAGCAAAAGAUCAAACAACUGAAAUAAGAAGCACAGAGCACAUGAGCAAGGAACAUAAAUGUUGUUAAUAAAACAAGAAAAAAACUAAGAUACACUUGUGUCACUCGCAACUCACUAACUCAUCACAAAUUCUUCAUACGAGCAAAAUAACACUACUAGGGACAAAGCAGGGCUUCGAUUUUCUUGCACAACAGCUAACAGUUAGAGUUUUUAAUUCAUGUUUACCCAAUAAUUCUCCACAAUUCCUCACAUAGUUUCUAGUUCAACCAUUACUGGUAUGUAAAUAGACAAGAUUAGAUCGAUACUAAAAUUUGCAUUACGCUAUCGACGAAUGACGGCUCAAUUUUAUCUCCACAUAGAUGACACAAGAAUCUCAUUUGAGCAGUUGGUCACAAUGCAUACUAGCAUACUAAUGUUUCCAAUCGAACCGCAGCCAGAAACUUAGAACGACUUAUCCAACUUCUACCACCAAAUCAAAUUCAUAAUAUGAUGUUGCCUCCACGUUCCACGAUCCCGGUAGGUACAUCCAUGCACUUUCCACAUGCGAGAUGCGAUGAAGAUGUGAGAUGUGGCCAAAGAUUUGGGAUGUUGUAAACAUAUCUACGAGAUAUUUUUUUCUCUAUGUAUACCUAAUAGUUUACUAGAAGCCGCUAUCAGGAUAUUUCUGACUUUAAAAGACACACACACACAGAGAGAGAGAGAUAUACGUAUAUACUAUGGUCAUGUGAGUGUCACAAAUUAAUCCAUGAAACAUGCAAUUUUAUGUAGUCUAUUUUCUUAUGGUUAGAGGGGUUAAGUUUAAGUAUUAUUUUAUGGUGCAAUCUAUUGAAUAGAAAGAAACUAAUCAAAUUUAGCGUAGGGCGUGCAUAUAUUUUAAUGACACACAUUACAACCUAGCAGAAAAUAAUAUUAUUUAUAUUGAGCAUAAUUAUCGUAAGUAAAUAUAAAAAAGAAGUAACCGCUCGCAGUUAAUAGUGAGUUUUAAACAUGUAUAAAAGUUUAAUAUAAAUAUUCAAUUUAAUUAGACUCGAUUUCUUGUCACCGCCCUAGAUUCAUGUUUGUAAUUAGUGGCAUUGCAUCCAUGCAUCAUGUCUAAUUUUAUCAGAAAUUUGAAUUGAGGGAAUUUUCAAAACCUCAGAAACAUUUUAGAAAUUAUCAACACUAAAAUCUUCUCAAAUAAGUCCAAGAAAAUGUUCCUGUUAUUUUAUGAAAAUAUUGGAAAGAGGUAAAAUUAAAACCAGUGUUUUUGGAUUGUCAGAAAUAUUUAUUUUGGGAAUUUGAGUUAAUCUAAUAAUUAUUUGCAUUAGACUUAUAUUUAUUAUAUAUUAAAUAUUGGUCCAAAAAAUUUGAAAGUUUGUAUGAGGCUCUGGACUAGUUCCCUAAGUCCACAUAUUGAAUUUCAGAAGUUUAUAAAGUGAUUUGGUAGUUAAACCAAAUCAAACAAACAGAACAAAAUGGAAAACAAAAACAGAAAGGGAAGAACAGAGAGAGAGAGAGAGAGUUUACCUGGCAGCCCACUUACCCGGCCCAACUCCUCUAGCCGGCCCAGCCUACCUGGCUCUGCCAGUCGUCCUCUACCUCGUGCCAGAGGGCACGAGGGCGUGUGGCCGCCGCCCACGCGUACGCACCGCGCCACCUCCUGCUUGCCGCUUCGCUCUGGCCCUCUCUGGACGUCGACACGUAGCCCCCUGGUCCUCUCCCUCGCUCCCCUCGUCCUUCCCCUCCUCUGGAUCCCUCUCUCUCUCUCACCACCGAGCGGGGCUCAUCGCCACCGACGCCGUUCACCGUAGCCACCGCCUCCUCCUGAACCUCUCUCCGCGCCCAGAAGCUCCGCCACUUCGUCCUCGACCCCCUCGCUGAGCCACGCAACGCCGGACGCCCUGAAGCCUCGCCAACACCGUCGUUCCCCUCGUCGGUCACCGCGGAUCCUCGCCGUUGAUUCAGGAGCUACAGGACCUCCCCGAGCACUCUGAGCUUCUCUACAAGUCCUCCGUGAGCCCCUCUUUCCCCUACCCUAACCUCGUUGCUUCGCUCGACCUCUAGCUAGCGCUGCCGCCAUGGCCGAGCUCCGCCGCCGCCUGCCUUGUCAUGCGCCACCAUUGCAGCCCGCGCCCGUCGUUGGAGAGCAUGGCAACGAGCUCGUCGUGCCUCCAGGAGGCCGGCUAUCCCUUUUGCUAGCUCGCCCGUGCCCCGUAGCACCGCUGCCCGCUUGCGCCCGAACUCCGGCCGCCGCCCAAGUGGUCGCCGCCGUCGACCCCGGCCUCCCUGCGCCUAGCUGCAUGCACCCCUGGAUGCGGGCGAGCGAGGGCUUCCUCAUGGUGCCCUGCUACCUCUUGAGCACUGCGUUGGUUUUCCCUAGAAAAGGAAAGGGUGAUGCAGCAAAGUGGCGUAAGUAUUUCCCUCAGUUUUUGAAAACCAAGGUAUCAAUCCAGUAGGAGGCUACACACGAGUCCCUCGCACCUACACAAACGAAUAAAUCCUCGCAACCAACAUGAUAAGGGGUUGUCAAUCCCUACACGGUCACUUACGAGAGUGAGAUCUGAUAGAUAUGAUAAGAUAAUAUUUUUGGUAUUUUUGUGAUAAAGAUGCAAAGUAAAGAAAGUAAAAUAAAAACGGCGCUAGAAAUAGCUAAGUGUUGGAAGAUUAAUAUGAUGGAAAAUAGACCCGGGGGCCAUAGGUUUCACUAGUGGCUUCUCUCGAGAGCAUAAGUAUUUACGGUGGGUGAACAAAUUACUGUUGAGCAAUUGACAGAAUUGAGCAUAGUUGUGAGAAUAUCUAGGCAUGAUCAUGUAUAUAGGCAUGACGUCCGAAACAAGUAGACCGACUCCUGCCUGCAUCUACUACUAUUACUCCACACAUCGACCGCUAUCCAGCAUGCGUCUAGAGUAUUAAGUUCAUAAGAACAGAGUAACGCUUUAAGCAAGAUGACAUGAUGUAGAGGGAUAAACUCAUGCAAUAUGAUAUAAACCCCAUCUUGUUAUCCUCGAUGGCAACAAUACAUUACGUGCCUUGCUGCCCCCACUGUCACUGGAAAAGGACACCGCAAGAUUGAACCCAAAGCUAAGCACUUCUCCCAUUGCAAGAAAGAUCAAUCUAGUAGGCCAACCCAAACUGAUAAUUCGAAGAGACUUGCAAAGAUAACCAAUCAUACAUAAAAGAAUUCAGAAGAUUCAAAUAUUGUUCAUAGAUAAGCUUGAUCAUAAACCCACAAUUCAUCGGUCUCCACAAACACAUCACAAAAGAAGAUUACAUCGAAUAGAUCUCCACAAGAGAGGGGGAGAACAUUGUAUUGAGAUCGAAAAAGAGAGAAGAAGCCAUCUAGCUAAUAACUAUGGACCCGAAGGUCUGAGGUAAACUACUCACACUUCAUCGGAGAGCCUAUGGUGUUGAUGUAGAAGCCCUCCGUCAUCGAUGCCCCCUCCGGCGGAGCUCCGAAACAGGCCCCAAGAUGGGAUCUCACGAAUACAGAAGGUUGCGGCGGUGAAAUUAGGUUUUUAGCUGCGUAUCUGAUCGUUUGGGGGUACGUAGCUAUAUAUAGGAGGAAGGAGUACGUCGGUGGAGCAACGUGGGGCCCACGAGGGUGGAGGGCGCGCCCAGGGGGUAGGAGCGCCCCCUACCUCGUGGCUUCCUGGUAGCUUUCUUGACGUAGGGUCCAAGUCAUCUGGAUCAUGUUUGUUCCGAAAAUCACGUUUCCGAAGGUUUCAUUCCGUUUGGACGCCGUUUGAUAUCCUGCGAAACUCUGAAAUAGGCAAAAACAGCAAUUCUGGGCUGGGCCUCCGGUUAAUAGGUUAGUCCCAAAAAUAAUAUAAAAGUGCAUAAUAAAGCCCAAUAAUGUCCAAAACAGAAGAUAAUAUAGCAUGGAGCAAUCAAAAAUUAUAGAUACGUUGGAGACGUAUCAAGCAUCCCCAAGCUUAAUUCCUGCUCGUCCUCGAGUAGGUAAAUGAUAAAAACAGAAUUUUUGAUGUGGAAUGCUACUUGGCAUAAUUUCAAUGUAAUUUUUAUUAAUUGUGGUAUGAAUAUUCAGAUCCGAAAGAUUCAAGAUAAAAGUUCAAUAUUGACAUAAAAAUAAUAAUACUUCAAGCAUACUAACUAAGCAAUUAUGUCCGCAGCAUCGCCGGAGUGCGCGUCCAUGACCCUGUGCGGGCCGAUCAAGAAGCACAUCAUUGAGCACUUCCACCACAAGAAGCCCGUGCCGCCUAAGCCGGAGCUCAAGCCCCAGCCCCACCCGGACUACGGGCCCGUGCCCAAGCCGGAGCCGAAGCCGCAGCCCCACCCGGACUACCACCCCCCUCCCACGCCCACCUACGGCGGCGGUGGCGGCGGCGGUGGAUACCACAGGCACCACUGAGUCAGGUCUACCCCCGUCCUGCCCAGCGAUGAAAUCUCAUCAUCAGCGGGUUGGUGAUCAGUGAGUGGUCGACGGUGCUAAUUAUGAUUGGUUUGCAUGCGUGAGUAUCGUUAGGUCUUCUGCCAUUCCCGCGAAGCCCCGUUUAUUAUCUGCACUGUAGAGUUGGGAGUUCAGAAUAACAGAUGUGCGUGUGUGUGUCGCUGUGUCAGGCAAGUGUGAGGGUGUGUUGGCGUGUUGCUUUAUCAAGAUUUUGUAAUUUCAGUGUGUGUUUUGUAUAAGAAGUUAUUAUGAAUCAAGUAAUUUAAACAAGUCGAUUUGUCAACCGAACAACUGCAGCUGUUCGAGACGAUUGGCAUGAUAAGGAUAGUGUGAUUUUACUUCAACUCAAUUUUCAGAUCCGUGAACUGAAACUGAAGUGAAAUUCAGGCGUGUGCAAUGCAUUCAUACUGCUGGUCAUAGUUUUUUCUCUUACGAUGAACAAGUCGAUUUAUGAACAUUUUUCCUAGAUAAGUGAGGCUUUUAAAAAAUGUUCAUCAUGUGUUCAAAACAAUGAUAACCGUAAAUUUAAAGCAAAAUUGUUCGCCGUGUAUCUUAAAAAUGUUCAUCAUGAAUUUAAAAGGUUUGCCACUAAUUUUAAAAAGUUCAUCAUGUAUUUAUAUCACUAAUUUAGUUAUCUAAACGCUCUUAUAUUAGUUUACAGAGGGAGUAUUUAAAAGUUGUCAUCACGUAAUUAAAAAAAGGUUAAUUGUGCAUUAAUGAAAAUUUUCACCAUGUUUCAGAAAUGUUCAUCACGUAUUAAACUUAACCAUGUAUUUUUAAAAGUAAAAAAUGCUCAUUGUGUAUUUAAAACAUAUAAAGAUAUUUUUUUGUAAAUGAACUAAAAAUAUUCACCAUGAAUUGUUCAAAAAAUUCACCUUGUAUUAUUCAAAAACGCUCAGACACAAAGGACAAAUGUUCAUACACGGUGUGGGGAAAAGGAGAAAAUGCAUAGAGUAAAAGAACAACAAAACAGGAAAAAUGGACAAUGAAAAAAAAAGGAAAGAAUGAAGAAUCCAACUAAGAAAAAAAACAGUUCAGAAGCCAAACACAAAAACCACGCAAAAAGACGCAGCAGGAACCAGCGAACGAAACAACACCCCUAGCUGGCCUGCCCAAGUCACCUUGCUUGUGACUGUCUUCGCAUCCAUUUGACGUGUGUGCGUAUUUGCCGGAGACCUCCUAUUCCCUGACCUACGCGGGGAAAAGUGAGGAAACAUGCACCUAAACCUGUGGGUAGCCCGACCCGAGCCUGGCCCGAAAAAUCCAGGCCACGCUGGUGCCUUGUUUUGCAGCCCAAUGUACAUUUCGCCUAGGCUCGGGCUUUUGUAACAAUACUGAGAAAUAGUAUUUGGUUGGGCUUUCAAUAUUCAGGUCGGGCUUACAACUAACAACAUUGAUAAACACCAUUCGAGCUAGACUUUCGGGCUUGGGGCCUAUAUUUGGCUGAGGCUCGAGCUUGAGAAAGUGUGUACUUUCGGGAUUUGGACCAGCUGGGGCUUGAAGUUUGGGUUUCUGGCUUUUUGAAGCCCAGCCCGCCAUAUAAUCAGGUUUAAGUGCACCCCCGCCCCCCAUGCGUGCUUUUGGCCGGCCCAUAUGCGGGGUGAGCCGGGCUUAUUAUUAUUAUUUUUGCUUUUGUACUUUCAUUCUUUCUCAAUUGCAAGAAAUGUUCAUAAAAUAAUCAUAUGUUUGCACAUUUCUCAAAGUGCUUCAAAUUUUCAAAAUAUUAUAUGAUUUAAAUUCUUCAUAAAUUGAAAAUUUUCUUGAAUUUCAGAAAAUGUUCAUGAAUAGUAAAAUUGUUCCCCUAGUUCACAAAUUAUUCAUGUAUUUGAAAGUCCAUGGAUUCGAAAAUUGCUCGCGAAUUUGAGAAUGGAAUAAUAGAGUGAGUAUAGCAAUUGAUAUCUAUAGAUACUUUGCGAGGUUUAUAUCAUUAAAUUUAGAAAUGAUGUCAUUAUCACGACAUGUAUUGGAUGUCCUUUUUUCACUAGUUAAUAUCCAUAAAAUAUCAUGUUAGAUGACCGAUUUUUCAUAAUAUAACAUUUAUUGUGAAUCAAAAACCAGAAAGCAAGAAUCCUGCAAAGAAAAUGUAACACAUAAUCCUAGAGAGCGCCUUACACAUCUCAUUUCUAAGUGUGUUUACUUAUAAUUUGGUAAACAUAAGUCCAAGCAAAUCAAAGAAAAUCAAAGUACAGAGAAUACCUACAUACCAUGGCCCAUUGACCGGUCCACACAAUUGACUGCUUUAAUGUGACCCAUCAAAGACACUCAGAGCUUCAAAGGUGAACUGUUCUUUGAUCCAGGCUUUGGUUGGCACCGUAAAGAAUGCAAAAUAACAGCUCAAAUAUUUGUAUCAGCAAAAGAUCAAACAACUGAAAUAAGAAGCACAGAGCACAUGAGCAAGGAACAUAAAUGUUGUUAAUAAAACAAGAAAAAAACUAAGAUACGCUUGUGUCACUCGCAACUCACUAACUCAUCACAAAUUCUUCAUACGAGCAAAAUAACACUACUAGGGACAAAGCAGGGCUUCGAUUUUCUUGCACAACAGCUAACAGUUAGAGCUUUUAAUUCAUGUUUACCCAAUAAUUCUCCACAAUUCCUCACAUAGUUUCUAGUUCAACCAUUACUGGUAUGUAAAUAGACAAGAUUAGAUCGAUACUAAAAUUUGCAUUACGCUAUCGACGAAUGACGGCUCAAUUUUAUCUCCACAUAGAUGACACAAGAAUCUCAUUUGAGCAGUUGGUCACAAUGCAUACUAGCAUACUAAUGUUUCCAAUCGAACCGCAGCCAGAAACUUAGAACGACUUAUCCAACUUCUACCACCAAAUCAAAUUCAUAUUAUGAUGUUGCCUCCACGUUCCACGAUCCCGGUAGGUACAUCCAUGCACUUUCCACAUGCGAGAUGCGAUGAAGAUGUGAGAUGUGGCCAAAGAUUUGGGAUGUUGUAAACAUAUGUACGAGAUAUUUUUUUUCUCUAUGUAUACCUAAUAGUUUACUAGAAGCCGCUAUCAGGAUAUUUCUGACUUUUAAAGACACACACACACAGAGAGAUAUACGUAUAUACUAUGGUCAUGUGAGUGUCACAAAUUAAUCCAUGAAACAUGCAAUUUUAUGUAGUCUAUUUUCUUAUGGUUAGAGGGGUUAAGUUUAAGUAUUAUUUUAUGGUGCAAUCUAUUGAAUAGAAAGAAACUAAUCAAAUUUAGCGUAGGGCGUGCACAUAUUUUAAUGACACACAUUACAACCUAGCAGAAAAUACUAUUAUUUAUAUUGAGCAUAAUUAUCGUAAGUAAAUAUAAAAAAGAAGUAACCGCUUGCAGUUAAUAGUGAGUUUUAAACAUGUAUAAAAGUUUAAUAUAAAUAUUCAAUUUAAUUAGACUCGAUUUCUUGUCACCGCCCUAGAUUCAUGUUUGUAAUUAGUGGCAUUGCAUCCAUGCAUCAUGUCUAAUUUUAUCAGAAAUUUGAAUUGAGGGAAUUUUCAAAACCUCAGAAACAUUUUAGAAAUUAUCAACACUAAAAUCUUCUCAAAUAAGUCCAAGAAAAUGUUCCUGUUAUUUUAUGAAAAUAUUGGAAAGAGGUAAAAUUAAAACCAGUAUUUUUGGAUUGUCAGAAAUAUUUAUUUUGGGAAUUUGAGUUAAUCUAAUAAUUAUUUGCAUUAGACUUAUAUUUAUUAUAUAUUAAAUAUUGGUCCAAAAAAUUUGAAAGUUUGUAUGUGGCUCUGGACUAGUUCCCUAAGUCCACAUAUUGAAUUUCAGAAGUUUAUAAAGUGAUUUGGUAGUUAAACCAAAUCAAACAAACAGAACAAAAUGGAAAACAAAAACAGAAAGGGAAGAACAGAGAGAGAGAGAGAGAGUUUACCUGGCAGCCCACUUACCCGGCCCAACUCCUCUAGCCGGCCCAGCCUACCUGGCUCUGCCAGUCGUCCUCUACCUCGUGCCAGAGGGCACGAGGGCGUGUGGCCGCCGCCCACGCGUACGCACCGCGCCACCUCUUGCUUGCCGCUUCGCUCUGGCCCUCUCCGGACGUCGACACGUAGCCCCCUGGUCCUCUCCCUCGCUUCCCUCGUCCUUCCCCACCUCUGGAUCCCUCUCUCUCUCUCACCACCGAGCGGGGCUCGUCGCCACCGACGCCGUUCACCGUAGCCACCGUCUCCUCCUGAACCUCUCUCCGCGCCCAGAAGCUCCGCCACUUCGUCCUCGACCCCCUCGCUGAGCCACGCAACGCCGGACGCCCUGAAGCCUCGCCAACACCGUCGUUCCCCUCGUCGGUCGCCGCGGAUCCUCGCCGUUGAUUCAGGAGCUACAGGACCUCCCCGAGCACUCUGAGCUUCUCUACAAGUCCUCCGUGAGCCCCUCUUUCCCCUACCCUAACCUCGUUGCUUCGCUCGACCUCUAGCUAGCGCUGCCGCCAUGGCCGAGCUCCGCCGCCGCCUGCCUUGUCAUGCGCCACCAUUGCAGCCCGCGCCCGUCGUUGGAGAGCAUGGCAACGAGCUCGUCGUGCCUCCAGGAGGCCGGCUAUCCCUUUUGCUAGCUCGCCCGUGCCCCGUAGCACCGCUGCCCGCUUGCGCCCGAACUCCGGCCGCCGCCCAAGUGGUCACCGCCGUCGACCCCGGCCUCCUGCGCCCAGCUGCAUGCACCCCCUGGAUGCGGGCGAGCGAGGGCUUCCUCAUGGUGCCCUGCUACCUCUUGAGCACUGCGUUGGUUUUCCCUAGAAGAGGAAAGGGUGAUGCAGCAAAGUGGCGUAAGUAUUUCCCUCAGUUUUUGAGAACCAAGGUAUCAAUCCAAUAGGAGGCUACACACGAGUCCCUCGCACCUACACAAACGAAUAAAUCCUCGCAACCAACAUGAUAAGGGGUUGUCAAUCCCUACACGGUCACUUACGAGAGUGAGAUCUGAUAGAUAUGAUAAGAUAAUAUUUUUGGUAUUUUUGUGAUAAAGAUGCAAAGUAAAGAAAGUAAAAUAAAAACGGCGCUAGAAAUAGCUAAGUGUUGGAAGAUUAAUAUGAUGGAAAAUAGACCCGGGGGCCAUAGGUUUCACUAGUGGCUUCUCUCGAGAGCAUAAGUAUUUACGGUGGGUGAACAAAUUACUGUUGAGCAAUUGACAGAAUUGAGCAUAGUUAUGAGAAUAUCUAGGCAUGAUCAUGUAUAUAGGCAUGACGUCCGAAACAAGUAGACCGACUCCUGCCUGCAUCUACUACUAUUACUCCACACAUCGACCGCUAUCCAGCAUGCGUCUAGAGUAUUAAGUUCAUAAGAACAGAGUAACGCUUUAAGCAAGAUGACAUGAUGUAGAGGGAUAAACUCAUGCAAUAUGAUAUAAACCCCAUCUUGUUAUCCUCGAUGGCAACAAUACAUUACGUGCCUUGCUGCCCCCACUGUCACUGGAAAAGGACACCGCAAGAUUGAACCCAAAGCUAAGCACUUCUCCCAUUGCAAGAAAGAUCAAUCUAGUAGGCCAACCCAAACUGAUAAUUCGAAGAGACAUGCAAAGAUAACCAAUCAUACAUAAAAGAAUUCAGAAGAUUCAAAUAUUGUUCAUAGAUAAGCUUGAUCAUAAACCCACAAUUCAUCGGUCUCCACAAACACAUCACAAAAGAAGAUUACAUCGAAUAGAUCUCCACAAGAGAGGGGGAGAACAUUGUAUUGAGAUCGAAAAAGAGAGAAGAAGCCAUCUAGCUAAUAACUAUGGACCCGAAGGUCUGAGGUAAACUACUCACACUUCAUCGGAGAGCCUAUGGUGUUGAUGUAGAAGCCCUCCGUGAUCGAUGCCCCCUCCGGCGGAGCUCCGAAACAGGCCCCAAGAUGGGAUCUCACGAAUACAGAAGGUUGCGGCGGUGAAAUUAGGUUUUUAGCUACGUAUCUGAUCGUUUGGGGGUACGUAGCUAUAUAUAGGAGGAAGGAGUACGUCGGUGGAGCAACGUGGGGCCCACGAGGGUGGAGGGCGCGCCCAGGGGGUAGGAGCGCCCCCUACCUCGUGGCUUCCUGGUAGCUUUCUUGACGUAGGGUCCAAGUCAUCUGGAUCAUGUUUGUUCCGAAAAUCAUGUUUCCGAAGGUUCAUUCCGUUUGGACGCCGUUUGAUAUCCUGCGAAACUCUGAAAUAGGCAAAAAACAGCAAUUCUGGGCUGGGCCUCCGGUUAAUAGGUUAGUCCCAAAAAAUAAUAUAAAAGUGCAUAAUAAAGCCCAAUAAUGUCCAAAACAGAAGAUAAUAUAGCAUGGAGCAAUCAAAAAUUAUAGAUACGUUGGAGACGUAUCAAGCAUCCCCAAGCUUAAUUCCUGCUCGUCCUCGAGUAGGUAAAUGAUAAAAACAGAAUUUUUGAUGUGGAAUGCUACUUGGCAUAAUUUCAGUGUAAUUUUUAUUAAUUGUGGUAUGAAUAUUUAGAUCCGAAAGAUUCAAGAUAAAAGUUCAAUAUUGACAUAAAAAUAAUAAUACUUCAAGCAUACUAACUAAGCAAUUAUGUCCGCAGCAUCGCCGGAGUGCGCGUCCAUGACCCUGUGCGGGCCGAUCAAGAAGCACAUCAUUGAGCACUUCCACCACAAGAAGCCCGUGCCGCCUAAGCCGGAGCUCAAGCCCCAGCCCCACCCGGACUACGGCCCCGUGCCCAAGCCGGAGCCGAAGCCGCAGCCCCACCCAGACUACCACCCCGUCCCUCCCACGCCCACCUACGGUAGCGGUGGCGGCGGUGGUGGAUACCACGGGCACCACUGAGUCAGUUCUACCCCCGUCCUGCCCAGCGAUGAAAUCUCAUCAUCAGCGGGUUGGUGAUCAGUGAGUGGUGGACGGUGCUAAUUAUGAUUGGUUUGCAUGCGUGGGUAUCGUUAGGUCUUCUGCCAUUCCCGCGAAGCCCCGUUUAUUAUCUGCACUGCAGAGUUGGGAGUUCAGAAUAACAGAUGUGCGUGUGUGUGUCGCUGUGUCAGGCGAGUGUGAGGGUGUGUUGGUGUGUUGCUUUAUCAAGAUUUUGUAAUUUCAGUGUGUGUUUUGUAUAAGAAGUUAUUAUGAAUCAAGUAAUUUAACCAAGUCGAUUUGUCAGCCGAACAACUGCAGCUGUUCGAGACGAUUGGCAUGAUAAAGAUAGUGUGAUUUUACUUCAACUCAAUUUUCAGAUCCGUGAACUGAAACUGAAG